UCGUGGUCCUUGAGCACGUGACGGGCCAUGGAAGAUGAGGUGACCACGAUGGCAAGCUUGCUUCCGAGCCAGAGCUUGAAAAUCGGGCCAUGGGUUCGGGCCAACCUGGCGAAGUAAGUGUGAAGUUCCGGGUCGAGAGAUAGAAGGUUCCCGAAGAUGGGGAGGCCCGGUGGGCCUGGUGGCAGUGGUGGGCUCUGGGCUUUCGGUUUAAGGAAGCAGAGCCGUGCGUACCAAGUGGUGGCUGAAAUGACCAAGGUUGCUACGAUCAGGUUUGUGGUGUCACUACACCAAUCCUUCAAGUUCAGGUAUUGAAGCAAAGUUGAGAGCUGAAUCAUGGUGCAAUAACUAUUAGUGUUGAGAUUUCAGAAAGGAAAUAGUUGAAGGAUAAAUCAUAAGAUGUGGAGAUAAGGUAAUAUAGAGAAUAUGUCUUCUUUUUUUUUUUUUGAAACAAUAUAAUAUGUCAGUCCAAUGAAAUAUCAUAAUUUUUUUUUUCAUUUCAAAAAAAAAAUUAGGUUUUUAAAAUCUAUUUACCGGGUUCAUUUAUCAUACACAACUUUUAUCUUGUGCAAGGUUACACAACCCUAGAAUUACAUGCUAUAGCAGGUCAAGCAGGUCUUUUACUUUUAAAAAUAAAUAUUGAUGUAUUUUCAUUUAAAAAAAAUUACUGAUGCAUUUUCACACUUGGUUUUGGCCCACCCAUCCUCCUCUCAACUCUGCCGGUCAUCUGCCAUCGCCGUCGCCGCCACCGCCACCAGAUCUUCAGCUCCCUCACCCACCAAUCACCACCCAUCCCUUUCUCCUUCCCCUAGAACCCAAGAACACCGCCACUGAAAACCCCACACCCAACUACACCACCACCAGCCGUAAACUCAUCUACUCCCCUUCCUUUCCCCCAAUCCCUCCUCCUCUACUCCCUCUCACCAGAUCUAAACCCAAAGAACCCAACCUCAACCGUCGAACAAAAGAGGGAAGAUGGGAGAGGGGUGACCCUGUGGUGGAGACGCGAACGACGUCAGCCAUGGCCUCGAUGGUUUCGCGAAGACUGAAACAGUGGAGAUGCGGUGCUGCGUGACGACGCCUAGGGCAGAGAUUGUUCGAUUUCAGCGGAGUGGUGGCUUCCAGGAUCUCGACGGUGGAGGAAGCCAUUGGCGGUGAAGAGAAGCUCGGGGUCUAGUGAGAUGGUUCAUCCGUUAUUGGGUCGGUGAUGGUGAUUGUUGGUUCGAGGGAUUCAGGUUUGAUGGCUAUUCUCCUUCGUCUCCUUUCUCCUUGGUUGUGGUUUUGAUUCAGCUGUGGAGGCUGGGCUUGGGAUGGUGAUUGGCUCUGUUUUUGGUGGUGGAUAAGUGGCUGAGUUUAUGGGUGGUGGUGGUGCUUUUGGGUGGGUUAUUGUCGUGGUGUUGUUGUUGGAUUCCAGGGGAAGGAGGAAGAAGGGGGAGAGAAGGAAAAAAGGUGGAGGAAGGGAGGGCUGGUGAUUGGCGGGGGGGAGGAGAAGAAGAUCUGGCGGCGGCAGUGGUGGCGGCGUGGAGGUUGACGGGAGGACAAGUGGUGGGGAGGGGAGAGGAAAUAAACACAUAAAUGUUUAAAUUAAAAAUAGAUUUUAAAUUAAAAAUAAAAUUUUAAAUAGGUUACCUGUAAAGCAACCUAUAAUAACAGGUAAAACUAGGACUUGUGCAACCUUGCACAAGCAAAUUUUUGUGUACAGUAAAUGAACCCGGCAAAAAAAAUCAUAGGUGUUAAGGAUAAAAUCAUUUGUUAAGGAUAAAAGUGUUUCAUCAAUAAAAAAGAUCAAAAAAAUAUAAUUUUUAUCCACUUCAUGACAAUACGAUAAACCUCAUUCAUUUAAGUUCUUAGUCACCAUAAAUAACAAUAUUUACCAACCAGUGAAUGUAAAGGUGAGAGUUCGUUUAUAUUUUGUAGAAAAACUUAUUAGCUAGUGGCCUAUUAGCUAGCGACCAAUUAGUCAGUUGUCAACUGGCCCCUUCAAGAUGUUAUUCUAUGCUAAAUAGAUUUUUAAAAGAGUUAGUACUUAGUAGGUUAAAUCAAGCCGUUUAAAAAGUUAGGUUAGACCAUAAAAUUCAGUCUUCAAUCUCGAAUUUAAAUAAAAAUCAAGCUUAGACCACAUAAAGCCUUACUUAAUCUAUUUUCACCCUUGUAUAUACACAUGCAAGAGAUGAUACAAGGGCGCAUGCUCUUUGCAUCCUUAAAAUUGUAAGGGGAAUCAAAUUGAGUCCCUGAAAAUUUUUCGCAUUAAAUUGGAUCCCUAGAAUAUUCUUUUUAAUAAAUUCAAGUUAUUUUGCUCAAUUUUGACCGGUCAACGGUCUAGUGGCAAGCCUAGUCAGCUGAGGAUGACCACAUUGACUUUUUCACAUCAAUUUUAGUCUUUGACAAAUAUUUUAAUCAAUUUAAGUCCUUGUUCUUCCACCUUGAAAAAUAUUUGUUGUUGCCUUUGAUUUUCUAGGUUUGGAAGAACAAGGUGAAUAUGAACAUAUAGNNNNNNNNNNNNNNNNNNNNNNNNNNNNNNNNNNNNNNNNNNNNNNNNNNNNNNNNNNNNNNNNNNNNNNNNNNNNNNNNNNNNNNNNNNNNNNNNNNNNNNNNNNNNNNNNNNNNNNNNNNNNNNNNNNNNNNNNNNNNNNNNNNNNNNNNNNNNNNNNNNNNNNNNNNNNNNNNNNNNNNNNNNNNNNNNNNNNNNNNNNNNNNNNNNNNNNNNNNNNNNNNNNNNNNNNNNNNNNNNNNNNNNNNNNNNNNNNNNNNNNNNNNNNNNNNNNNNNNNNNNNNNNNNNNNNNNNNNNNNNNNNNNNNNNNNNNNNNNNNNNNNNNNNNNNNNNNNNNNNNNNNNNNNNNNNNNNNNNNNNNNNNNNNNNNNNNNNNNNNNNNNNNNNNNNNNNNNNNNNNNNNNNNNNNNNNNNNNNNNNNNNNNNNNNNNNNNNNNNNNNNNNNNNNNNNNNNNNNNNNNNNNNNNNNNNNNNNNNNNNNNNNNNNNNNNNNNNNNNNNNNNNNNNNNNNNNNNNNNNNNNNNNNNNNNNNNNNNNNNNNNNNNNNNNNNNNNNNNNNNNNNNNNNNNNNNNNNNNNNNNNNNNNNNNNNNNNNNNNNNNNNNNNNNNNNNNNNNNNNNNNNNNNNNNNNNNNNNNNNNNNNNNNNNNNNNNNNNNNNNNNNNNNNNNNNNNNNNNNNNNNNNNNNNNNNNNNNNNNNNNNNNNNNNNNNNNNNNNNNNNNNNNNNNNNNNNNNNNNNNNNNNNNNNNNNNNNNNNNNNNNNNNNNNNNNNNNNNNNNNNNNNNNNNNNNNNNNNNNNNNNNNNNNNNNNNNNNNNNNNNNNNNNNNNNNNNNNNNNNNNNNNNNNNNNNNNNNNNNNNNNNNNNNNNNNNNNNNNNNNNNNNNNNNNNNNNNNNNNNNNNNNNNNNNNNNNNNNNNNNNNNNNNNNNNNNNNNNNNNNNNNNNNNNNNNNNNNNNNNNNNNNNNNNNNNNNNNNNNNNNNNNNNNNNNNNNNNNNNNAAGCUUGAAAGGACGAAUGAGAUUCGGGCCAUGUUGUGGUGUUGUAUGGAUCGAGACAUUCUCUGGAGUCAUUUGGGGAUUAGGAGAUCCCGAGAACUUAUAGGAUUUGCGAUAAGACUAAAAAGGAUAUUAUUUUGAAAAGAAAACUCAUAAGACAUUAAACAACCUCUAAAUCUUUAAAUAAAGAUAAUAAACUCGAAAGGAAGCUUUGGAUGCAGAUCAUAGUUUUGGAAAACGAGAAUUGUCGUCGGAUCCCAGCAUUGAGAAAGUUGAGGGGCUUCGAGUAUGUAGAUGUUGUGGUGCUGUUGGAGCAGCGUUUGUUGUUGUGCUGUUGGAGCAGCUAUUGUGGUUGUGCUGUUGGAGCAGCUAUGUUGUUGGGCGUAUCUUCGACUUUGCGGCGCGAAUCCGUAUGUCCAAACCCGACGGUUUGGGCCGAUUCGGCAAUAAUUGUUGACACGCGCGAAUCCGUAUAUUCAAUCCGAUGGAUUGGAUCGAUUCGGCGGUAGUCACUCAGGCUCGCGUGAAUUCGUAUGUUCAAUCCGAGGGAUUGGAUCGAUUCAGCGACAACUUUUCGACACGCGCGAAUCCGUAUAUUCAAUCCGAUGGAUUGGAUCGAUUCGGCGGUAGUCACUCAGGCUCGCGUGAAUCCGUAUGUUCAAUCCGAGGGAUUGGAUCGAUUCAGCGACAACUUUUCGACACGCGCGAAUCCGUAUAUUCAAUCCGAUGGAUUGGAUCGAUUCGGCGGUAGUCACUCAGGCUCGCGUGAAUCCGUAUGUUCAAUCCGAGGGAUUGGAUCGAUUCAGCGACAACUUUUCGACACGCGCGAAUCCGUAUAUUCAAUCCGAUGGAUUGGAUCGAUUCGGCGGUAGUCACUCAGGCUCGCGUGAAUCCGUAUGUUCAAUCCGAGGGAUUGGAUCGAUUCAGCGACAACUUUUCGACACGCGCGAAUCCGUAUAUUCAAUCCGAUGGAUUGGAUCGAUUCGGCGGUAGUCACUCAGGCACGCGUGAAUCCGUAUGUUCAAUCCGAGGGAUUGGAUCGAUUCAGCGAUAACCUUUCGACUCGCGCGGAUCCGUAUGUUCAAUCCGAUGGAUUGGAUCGAUUCGGCGAUAGUCAUUGGACACGCGCAAUGUCCGUAUGUUCGACUCUUUUGAGUGAACCGACUUGGCGUUGUCAUUUGUUGCGUGUGCGAGUCCGUAUGUUCAACCCAGGGGGUUGGAUCGACUUGACAUGCCUAAUUGUUGGGCUAUCCUGGGGAUAAGUCCGGGAAACCGGGAGUUUCCGAGUAUGUGAUACUCUUUGCUUGUUGAGCAGUUGUGACCAUCGAAUUGAGAUGAGUCGGAUGAUCCGGAGAUCAUUAUGAGUUACUAUGUGGAUGUGAAGAAGUGUCUUUUGUCGCAGAAUCGACUUUACCUUAGGGUAAGCUUUUAGAGACUUUAAUUUACCUAGAACACGUGGCGACGUGACGAGUGAGAGUCGGAGACGUUGUUUGACUAAUCAUCCUGCAUUCAUGCAUACUGAUUUAGUUGUCGAGUGUGAUUGUUAAUUGUUAAUCCUAUUUGGAACAUGUUAAUUGUUAUUAUUGCUGUUAAGUUCAUUAUGGAAAAUGCAACCCUAGGAUGUUAUCCCUAGCUAUAAGCCUAAGUGGCUAUUCUCUUAUCUAUAUCUAUUGGUGCUAUUAUUUAUGUAAUUCUUUGGAGUUGACCCUCGCGUCUUCUGUGUGUGCUUUGGCGGACAAACGCCCUUUGUCAGAUGUCUUUGGCGGACUGGUUCACGACGGUUCACCCUUCGGGGGAAACUAGAGUUGGGAUGCUGGAACAGGAGCGCAUCGCGAUAGCGAGCGGAGGACGGAUGGUGUACAUAGACUAGGUCGUUCUGAAUUCAGGUUCGGGCGACGAUCAUGCUAGCAUGUAGGUUUUAGUGCUGGUGUGAGCUCCUCGAGAUGAGAUUAUUGUAGGAGUAGAGUCUUAGCUCUGGACGUCAUUUGUUUUCUUUAGGGACAGGGUAGUUUCCCACCUAUAGCUUUUUGUGUGGUUCUUUACGGGAAUCACAGAGAGUUGGUUGGACUUAGGAGGUCUUGCUUCAGGCCGAUGGGCCAGCCUAUUCUCAGUUUUGAGGGAUGGUGUUGCGGACACUUGACCUUUCUUUUGGAUUAUACCUUUUGCCUACGGGCGUUCUUUUCUACUACUUUCCGUCACUGGAGGUUACUCGUGACGAGGUUGGGUACUUACAGCGGGGGGGUUGUAAAUAUAUAUUGGAUAAUAGUUUUAUUGCUUUUUGCAUUUGGGUUUUAUUUAAUUCAGUCUUGUCUUAGUUAUUAUCAAAAAAAAAAUAUUUACGUUUUUCCGCAUUAAGUUUACUUUUGGUUACUAAAGUGACACCACCGAAAUCGGGGUGUUACAUUGUGGUAUCAGAGCACAGUCGAGUCUUUCGGGAGUUGUUGGGGAAUAGGUCUUCUGUGCUAGGUUGUGUGACUCUGCAAAGAGUGAAAAAUUGAUUGUCUGCAAGCGAUUUUUCGCUUAAAAAUUGAUUGAAGUUAUUGCUUAAUCAUAUUGUAUAGUUAUGGAAAUGCUAUCUUAUGAUGAGUACUAACUGUUUGUCUAACUAAACAGAGGACAUGGUGAACAUGAAUCAACUCGCUGGGGCAAUGACUGCUGUGGCCCAGGAAAUGACAAAUCAAACAGUGGAGAACGCUCAGUGGCGUGCUGACAAGGCUGAACGUGAGCGACAUAAGCGUGAGAGGGAGUUAGCCCUAGACCAGAACAGGGGACUGAAUGAUUUUAGAAGGCAGGAUCCACCCAAGUUCACGGGCGGGACUGACCCAGACAAUGCGGAUCUAUGGAUCCAAGAGAUUGAGAAGAUUUUCGAAGUACUGCAGACUGCUGAAGGGGCUAAGGUGGGCCUGGCAACUUAUCUACUGCUGGGCGAUGCUGAGUACUGGUGGAAGGGUACCAGAGGAAUUAUGGAAGCUAACGACGAGGAAGUGAAUUGGAUCUCCUUUCAAACUGCAUUCUUGGAAAAGUAUUUUCCAACUAGUGCUCGGGACGAGCGGGAGGCACAGUUUCUGACACUCCGACAAGGGAGCAUGUCUGUACCUGAAUUUGCUUCUAAAUUGGAGUCUUUGGCCAAACACUUCCAAUUUUUCACCGACCAUGUCGAUGAGCGCUACAUGUGUAAGCGUUUCGUCAAUGGACUGAGGCCAGAUAUCGAGGACUCUGUGAGGCCAUUGGGAAUUAUGCGUUUCCAAGCUUUGGUUGAGAAGGCAACAGAAGUUGAACUUAUGAAGAACAAGAGGAUGAAUAGAACAGGCACUGGGGGACCAAUGAGGUCGAACUUCCAAAAUAAUCAUGGGAUAGAGAGAUUCCGACAGAAGAAGCCGUAUCAACGUUCUGUGGCGGAAGGUUUUACCUCGGGGCAGUAUAAGCCCAUAAAUGCUGCCGGAGGAACAGGAAACAAGACUUCGGGUCAAGGAGUGACGUGUUACAGGUGCAAGAAGGUGGGGCACUACACUAACAAGUGUCCAAACGGAAGACCUCUAUGUUUCAACUGCAACCGUCUGGGGCAUCAAGCCAAGGAUUGCAAUGUAACCAAGGUUAAGCCAUCUGUGCAUACGGUGAGGGGAAGACGUUCUACUGCACGGGGAAGAGUCCAUGUCUUGUGCGGCGAGGGAGCUGAUGGAUUAGUCAGAGGAGAGCGCAAGAACGAUGGUAACUUUCUAUCUAUUCUUUCUCAUUUUAGUAUAAUAUACCCUUCGUCACCCCCGUAGCGUGUGCAACACGUCUGAACUUGCUUUUACCGCUUAUCGUUGACCUUAUAGUUAUUACGCCUAUGAAUACCUUAUUUGACCGUAGCUCGUAUUUUAGCUAUAGAAGUACACGAGGUUUAAGAUAACACGUUAAGCUUAGAAAGUAGUCUUGUACCGAUGCGUUUAAAAGGAAGCUAGAAGCUGAAGAAUGAAUCUCAUAGAGAUUUCUUAUGGAUAGUAUACGUAUGAUGUCGAGGGUGUGUAGUUCCGUAGCGACAUCAUUGAAGAAUUAAUAUCAAGAUUUUUGUGACUAUUGGAUGAUAGGAACACAUUGUCUGUUCCAGUGGGUUUUUCUAAAUUUCACCUUCAAUGUAUUAGGCUUGAUCAACUUAAUAUUGAGGGGGUGAUAUUCGGAAUCAGAGCUGGCUAUGGACUUUGAUAGAAGGAUGUGUAAGAUGAAUUUGAAUUGAUCGAGGAUUAGUCGGAUUUGGGAGGAAAGUUCGUGUUAAGUAAUUGAUUUUCUUUGGGAAGGAGUUAUCGUUGUAAGAGAUGAAUAUUCUUUUAGGAAAUGUUGGAGAGCUACAGAGCAUCAGAGAUCCAAACUUGGAAAAGGUUUAGGUUUUAAGUCUAUUAAUUCUUGUCAUAAGUGUAUAGGACUUGAAGUUUGUCAUAAUUUGAUUGGGAGAUUAAGAAGUUGAUUGACGAGAUGGUGAUCAAGUUACAGAAAAGGGAAGUGUUAGUAUUAAGAUGAACACUUGAGGUUGUCAUAUUUGGACAAGUUGCUUAAAGUCUAAGAGUGAAUGAAACUUGUUAUGGAUUUCGGUGAUACAAGCUAGAGAUUAGCGAGUGAAUUUUGCUAAGUGGAAUGAGAAUUUUAGGGUAAAGAUUGACUUCAGAAGCUGGAGAUCAUAUUCGAGUAAGAGUUUUAGUGGUGUUAUCAUUGAUGAUUGUAGUAAAACCUCGGCAAGUGAAAGAUGAUAUGUCUGUUGAGACGCCGUUGGUCAACCUUGGGACUAGAAGAGUGAAAAAAAAAAAAAAAAAAAAAAAAAAAUCGAAGGGAAAGCAGAGUGUUUUAGUGAAAAUUAUUUGGAAUAAAGACACGGACGGUGUUACGUGAGAGUUAGAGGAAAAGAUCAAGGAAUAAUAUCCAGAACUAUUACUGACCCUUAAGUUUCGAGGACGAAACUUUCUUUUUGGAGGGUAGUAAUGUAAGACCCAAGAUUUUAAGCUUAGAAUUAGUGGAAGAGAUUUCCAUUUACGAUUAGGAUUGAUGUAAUGUGAAGGGAAACCUGAACGAAAGUUUAUUAAAUGAAAUAUAUUUAUGAAGGAGAAAGUUCAGGAAAAGUUCAAGGAUUGCAUUAUGAUCGAUAAAAGUUAUAGCACGAACGUUUUACGCUUAAACCUAGGUCAGAACCCCUAGUAUAUCGCUAAUUUUCACUUUUAGGCACGACGGAAGUUAAUUCCAAAAAUCUUCAGAGAAAUGUUAGAACUUCUCUUUUUCCAUAUAUCACCAUCAUUUCGAGGCGAAACUCUAGGAUCUGCGAACGUCCGAUUCCAAUCAUCGGAAGUUUGCCGAAACCGAAUCCCUGGUAUUUCAAAACCCUAGAAUUUCUCGACAAUGAAGACUUUAUCUGUUCAGAGCUUCAAAUGAAUAUUCUACACGCGUACACCCAUUUCUCUUGAUGAUUUCAAUCUUUCUUCAGAAGGAAGUUUUCCAUUCCGACAUUCGAUGCAAAAAGCAACUUAUCGGGUAAAAUAGUUUUACACCGACUUUGCACCGACUUUGCAUUAGUUGCCAAAAAUACAAGGAGACAUCUUCUUAGCUUAGGAAUUCCUUUGCCAAAACCUAUCUUAGAAUUCAUGGAGAAUGAUGCCGGAAAAAUCAGAUUCGCGAAACUUUCAUUUUCCCGCGAAUUACCAUUUUCUAUAUAUAGCAAAGAAAGGAAGAAAAACUCAAAUUCUCCUCCAUUUCUCUCUUCAAACCCGCGAGCUUCAACAAGGAAGAAGGAAGAAGAGUUUUCUUCAUUACUUGCUUGAUCGUUGAUCCGUUAGUCGCUGCUUCAAGGUUUCGAGGUAUAGUCGCUAAUCCUUACCUCUGAUCGCUUUUUCCAUAGCUUUUCUGUAGAGUUUUCUGAGCGGAUAGUUUAUGGGUUUUUGCAAAACUAUCCUGAAUCUUUCAUUUCUGAUUCUAAACCUCUUCUAUAUGUGCCCAAGAUCACUUCUGCCGGAUUAGAUUUUCCGUUAUGUCGCCGGAAUUCCGCCGGAAUCAAUUCUAGCCUAAAAUACCCAUUUAUGUAGUUUUUGAGUAAAGUUCCAACCUUUAGGCUGUAAACUAUCGCCUUAGCUUAGUGUUAGUAGGAUUAGUUGUCAUAAACGUCGUUAGUAACGUCCCUGCAAAAUUUUAUUUUUGAGAUUUCAGUUUUGAAAAUCCUAAGUUAAAAAUCAUUACCAAAAUACCCCUGCGACAGUUUUUGAUCCGAUAAUUUUUCCGAGUUCAGAAUACCCUUAGUUACGGCUUAUGAAAGCAUAGGAACCAAGUUUGAUCGAAGAAAAAUCGAGCCCCAUAAUUAGCCAAAGUGGCCGAGCCCUAUUAAGGGGGAGGAAGAAAUUUCCUUUUUCCGAAAACUUGUCUUUCGCGCUAGAUUAUCGUACCUUAGAGUAUAGAUUACUUCGAGUAACCUUAGUACGUAUCGAUAACUUAGUUUUCGAUUGAUUCUGAUAGUAUUUCUGUGAUUUUGUUUUAAAGGAACUUUUGAGGAAUUUCCCGAGGAGCAACACUUUGAGUGCGAGGAAGCACUAGUGGAUCAUACUGGAGAACCUUCAGGUGAGGGCAUCUCACUGAAUCUCUAGUUAAUGCUUAGGGUCGAUGUUUCGACAUUGUUUAUGUAAGACCCAAGUUUUUAAGCUUAUGUUAAGUGAAUAAACUUUUUAUUCACGAUUAGGGUUGAUGUAAUGUGAAGGGAAACCUGAACGAAAGUUUAUUAAAUGAAAUAUAUUUAUGAAGGAGAAAGUUCAGGAAAAGUUCAAGGAUUUCAUUAUGAUCGAUAAAAGUUAUAGCACGAACGUUUUACGCUUAAACCUAGGUCAGAAACCCUAGUAUAUAGCUAAUUUUCACUUUUAGGCACGCUGGCAGUUAAUUCCAAAAAUCUUCAGAGAAAUGUUAGAAUUUCUCUUCUUCCAUAUAUAACAAUCGUUUCGAGGCGAAACUCUAGGAUCUACGAACGUCCGAUUCCAAUCAUCGGAAGUUUGCCGAAACCGAAUCCCUGGUAUUUCAAAACCCUAGAAUUUCCCGACUUUGAGGACUUUAUCUAUUCAGAGCUUCAAAUGAAUAUUCCACACGCGUACACCCAUUUCUCUUGAUGAUUUCAAUCUUUCUUCAGAAGGAAGUUUUCCAUUCCGACAUUCGAGGCAAAAAGCAACUUAUCGGGUAAAAUAGUUUUACACCGACUUUGCACCGACUUUGCAUUAGUUGCCAAAAAUACAAGGAGACAUCUUCUUAGCUUGGGAAUUCCUUUGCCAAAACCUAUCUUAGAAUUCAUGGUGAAUGACGCCGGAAAAAUCGGAUUCGCGGAACUUUCAUUUUCCCGCGAAUUUCCACCUUCUAUAUAUAGCAAACAAAGGAAGAAAAAACACAAUUUUCCUCCAUUUUCUCUCCUCUAAACCGCGGCCAAGAACAAGGAAGAAGGAAGAAGAGUUUUUCUUCAUCGUUUGCUUGAUCGUCGAUCAAUCAGUUGCUACUUCAAGGUUUCGAGGUAUAGUCGCUAAUCCUUACCUCCGAUCGCUUUUUCCAUAGCUUUUCUGUAGAGUUUUCUGAGCGGAUAGUUUAUGGGUUUUUGCAAAACUAUCCUGAAUCUUUCAUUUCUGAUUCUAAACCUCUUCUAUGUAUGCCCAAGAUCACUUCUGCCGGAUUAGAUUUUCCGUUAUGUCGCCGGAAUUCCGCCGGAAUCAAUUUGAACCUAAAAUACCCAUUUUAUGUAGUUUUUGAGUAAAGUUCCAACCUCUAGGCUGAAAACUAUCGCCUUAGUUUAGUGUUAGUAGGAUUAGUUGUCAUAAACGUCAUUAGUAACGUCCCUGCAAAAUUUUAUUUUUGGGAUUUCAGUUUUGAAAAUCCUAAGUUAAAAAUCAUGACCAAAAUACCCCUGCGACAGUUUUUGAUCCGAUAAUUUUUCCGAGUUCAGAAUACCCUUAGUUACGGCUUAUGAAAGCAUAGGAACCAAGUUUGAUCGAAGAAAAAUCGAACCCUACAAUUACCUAUAGUGGCCGAGAGCUAUAAGGGGGGAGGAGGAAAUUUCCUUUUCCGAAAACAUGUCUUUUCGCGCUAGAUUAUCGUACCUUAGAGUAUAGAUUACUUCGAGUAACCUUAGUAAGUAUCGAUAGCUUAGUUUCCGAUAGAUUCUGAUUGAUUUUUGUGGUUUUGUUCUAAAGGUGAUUUUGAGGAAUUUCCUGAGGAUCAACACCUUGCUUGUGAAGAAGAGUUUGAAGUUUUUGCUGGAGAACCUUCAGGUGAGGGCUUCUCACUGAAUCUCUAGUUAAUGCUUAGGGUCGAUAUUUCGACAUUGUUUACUGUUUAUGCACUGAGAUUGUGUGUGAUUGAAAAUGUUUUCUGAGGCUUCGGCUGACAAUGUAGAUGAUUCAUCUACUGAAUGUUUUUGAAGAUUGACUUACAUGCUAUGUGCUAUGUGGGUAAUCUAGGAUGUGUGGUGCAUGCUUUAUAUGCUAAGUGCUAAGUGUUUAUGAUGCGAUUUAUUGAUAUAUGACAUGUUGUUGAUUGUGAUGAUUUAAAUAUGCUUUACACUGAAAAUCUGAGAUUCUGAAUGGUGAGAAUAGCGGGCAGGUCAUGCCGAUUUUAUUUUGAGAGUUUUGAGAAAGUUUGAUAGGACGAACGAGGUUCGGGCCUUGUAUAGGGUUUAUGGAUCGAGACAUUCUCUGGAGUCAUUUGGGGAUUCGAAGAUCCCGAGAACUUAUAGGAAUUGCGAUAAGACUAAAAAUGAUAUUAUUUUGAAAAGAAAAUUCAUAAGACAUUAAACAACCUCUAAAUCUUUAAGUAAGGGUAAUAAUCUCGAAAGGAGGCUUUGGAUGAAAAUCAUAGUUUGGAAAACGAGAAGUGUCGUCGGAUCCAAGUGUUGAGUCUGUUGUUGUUGUGCUGUUGGAGCAGCGUUGGUUGUUGUGCUGUUGGAGCAGCGUUGGUUGUUGUGCUGUUGGAGCAGCGUUGGUUGUUGUGCUGUUGGAGCAGCGAUGUUGUUGGGCUAUCCUGGGGAUAAGUCCGGGGAACCGUUAGUUCCCGAGUAUGUGAUACUCUUGUGCUGUUGGAGCAGCGAUGUGUGUUGUGAAGUGUGUCUUUUGUCGCAGAAUCGACUUUACCUUAGGGUAAGCUUUUAGAGACUUUAACUUCCCUAGAACACGUGGCGACGUGUCGAGUGAGGACGGAGACGUUGUUUGACUAAUCAUUUUGCAUACAUGCAACAUUAAUGAGGUAUUAACACAGGACGUACUCUGGACCUCGUCGGUUUCCAAAAUGGUCAUAAGACCCGGAAUGCCGUGAAAGAGCGUUUGUAGACGUCUCUUGUAGCAGACCGAAAUGGCAGACCUACGGGUUACGGCUGAUCUGGCUACCUUGGUUUGGUGUAAGAGACACGCGGGCGGAAAUGGUCCCACCGUUGCUGGUGCUAGGAUUGAUCCGUUGAUGUCCAUCCCAGAGGCACGCGAGCGGAAAUGGUCCCACCGUUGCUGGUGCUAGGAUUGACUCGUUGUUGUCCAUACCUUUGCUUGGUGUAAGAGGCACGCGGGCAGAAAUGGUCCCACCGUUGCUGGUGCUAGGAUUGAUCCGUUUUGAUGCCCAUCCGUUUCCGGAUUGCAUAUUGGUUGACUGGGUUAACCUGCAUACAUAUCACGCAACAUGCAUACUGACUUAGUUGAUGAGUGUGGUUGCUAUUUGAUAAACUUACUUGGAACAUGCUAAAUGUUAUUAUUGUCAUUAUGAUUUGGUGGAACAUGCAACCCUAGGAAUGAUAUCUCUAGUUAUAAGCCUAAGUGGCUAUAUAUUAUUUGUACCUAUUGGGUUUAUUAUCUACAUAGUUCUUUAGAGUUGACCCUCGCGUCUUCUGUGUGUGUUUUGGCGGACAACGCCUUUUGUCAGAUGAGUAUUGCGGACUGGUUCACCAUGGUUUACCCUUCGGGGGAAACUAGGUUGGGAUGCUGGAACAGGAGCGCGUCGCGGUAGCGAGAGGAUGACGGAUGGUGUACAUAGACUAGGUCGUUCUGGAUUUCGAAUUCGGACGACGAUCAUGCUAGCAUGUAGGUUUUGGUGCUGGUGUGAGCUCCUCAAGAUGGGAUUAGUGUAGGAGUAGAGUCUUAGCUCUGAACAUCAUUUGUUUCUUUUGGGACAGGGUAGCUUCCCACCUAUAGCUUUUGUGUGGUUUCUUAACAGGAAUCACAGAGAGUUGGUUGGACUUAGGAGGUCUUGCUUCAGGCCGAUGGGCCAGCUGAUUUUCAGUUUUGAGGGAUGGUGUUGCGGACACUUCACCUUUAUUUUCAGUCUGUACAUAUUGCCUUCGGGCGCUACACUUUUCUUUCCGUCACUGGAGGUUUACUCGUGACGAGGUUAGUACUACAGCGGGGGCUGUUUAUGUAUCAUAUAUUAGUUCUGAUUUUGUUAUUGUUGGGUUUUAUUUAAUUCAGUCUCGUCUUAGUUAUUAUCAAAAAAAAAUAUUCACGUUUUUCCGCAUUAAGUUUACUUUUGGUUACUAAAGUGACGCCACCGAAAUCGGGGUGUUACAUUGUGGUAUCAGAGCACGGUCGAGUCUUUCGGGAGUUGUUGGGGAAUAGGUCUUCUGUGCUAGGUUGUGUGACUCUGCAAAGAGUGAAAAUUGAUUGUCUGCAAGCGAUUUUUCGCUUAAAAAUUGAUUGAAGUUAUUGCUUACUCAUAUUGUAUAGUUAUACUAGAUGCUAUCUUAUGAUGAGUACUAACUGUUUGUUUAACUUAACAGAACAUGGUGAAUACUAAUCAGCUAGCUGAGAUGAUGGCCACUAUGGCCCAAGCGGUAACAGCGCAAGCCCAAGCGGUAACAGCACAGGCAAACGAUAAUGCCAUGAGGCGUGCUACUGAAGAAGCACGUGAACAACAUCAGCGCCAGAGGGAAAUAACUCUGGACCAGAACAAAGGCCUCAAUGACUUCAGGAGGCAAAACCCACCAAAGUUCUCUGGUGGUACUGAUCCAGACGCAGCGGAUCUCUGGAUCCAGGAAAUCGAGAAGAUUUUCGGUGUUCUGCAGACUGUAGAGGGUGCCAAGGUGGGCAUGGCGACUUAUCUUCUGCUGGGAGAUGCUGAAUACUGGUGGAAGGGCACCAGGGGGAUCAUGGAAGCUAACCAUGAAGAAAUUAACUGGAACUCGUUCCGGACCGCAUUCUUGGAAAAGUAUUUUCCGACAAGUGCCCGGGAUGAGAGGGAGGCGCAGUUUUUGACACUCCGUCAGGGAGGUAUGUCUGUACCGGAAUUUGCUUCGAAGCUGGAGUCUUUGGCGAAGCAUUUUCAAUUCUUUAAUGAUCAUGUUGACGAGCGCUACAUGUGCAAGCGCUUCGUGAAUGGACUGAGGCCGGAUAUUGAGGACUCAGUGAGGCCACUAGGAAUCAUGCGAUUCCAAUCAUUGGUGGAGAAAGCCACGGAAGUGGAGCUGAUGAAGAACCGGAGGUUGAACCGGGCUGGAACUGGAGGGCCGAUGAGAUCAGGUUCUCAAAAUUUUCAAGACAAGGGGAAGUUUCAGAGCAGGAAACCAUAUCAGCGUCCUGCUGGAGGAGGGAUUACUUCAGGAUCUUACAGACCCAUGACGGGUACUGCUGGUGGUUCUGGAGAUCGGACUUUGAACAGGGAGGUGACCUGUUUCAGAUGUGAGAAGCCGGGGCACUAUGCUAAUGCUUGUCCCGACAAGAGGCCCAAAUGCUUUAAUUGUAACAGAAUGGGGCAUAAUGCCGAUCAGUGUAGAGCACCCAAGACGGAGCCAACCGUGAACACUGCUCGUGGAAAACGUUCUGCUGCUAAAGCAAGAGUUUACACCAUGGACGGUGAGAGAGCUGAAGGAUUUGUCAGAGGAGAGCGCAAGAACGAUGGUAACCUUCUAACCAAUCUUUCUUAUUUCAGUAUAAUAUUGUUCCAUUUCUCUCGUAACGUGUGCAAACACACCUAUCUUGCUUACAUCGUUUAAGCUUUGACCUUAUAGUUAGUACGCCUAUUAAUACCUUACUUGACCGUAGCUCGUAUUUUAACUAUAGAAGUACACGAGGUUUAGGAUAACAUGCUAAGCCUAGGAAGUAGUCUUCCACCGGUGCGUUUAAACGGAAGUAUAUUGCGGAUCUGACACAUGCUAUCGAGCUGGAUGACAGUAAGUUGAAGGAUGAGAUGACGAGAUGACUAGCUAAAUUCCUUGAAGUAUAGUUAUGAUUGGAUUCCUAGGGGAUAAAUCUCAUUUUAUGCGAAGUGUUAGGGAUUUCAGUAAGUCUGAGUUGGUUUGAGCGAGGAGGGUUUUGAGGACGAAGACGAUAAUAAUGAAUUGUAGAUAUUAAGAUGAAGGUUAGCUUAUAAGUUAUUGAUAAGUUAAUGUUAAAGGGGAUGAGUCUUGUGAUGCACAAGGUAUUAAGACUCAAGUUGAGCAUUCACUCCGGAGCAUAGAGAUGUACCGAGUUUCUAAUCAACAUUUUGGACGAACAAAAGCAAAGGAACGAGUGGUUAAUGUUGUGCAAUUGCAUGAAUGCCAACAAGUAUUACUUCAAACGGAGACUCAACGCAAGUGGUCGAACCGGACAACAUAGAGUUGGAAGAUGAUAUGUCUUUUGAGACGCCGUCGAAUCAACAUUGGGACUAGAAGAGUGAAACAAUCGAAGGGAAAGUAGAGUGCUUUAGUAAGAGUUAUUUGGAACAAAGACACGGACGGUGCUAUAUGGGUAUUAGAAGAAAAGAUCAAGGAAUAAUAUCCAGAACUUUUACGGACCCUUAAGUUUCGAGGACGAAACUUUCUUUUUGGAGGGUAGUAAUGUAAGACCCAAGUUUUUAAGCUUAUGUUAAGUGAAUAAACUUUUUAUUCACGAUUAGGGUUGAUGUAAUGUGAAGGGAAACCUGAACGAAAGUUUAUUAAAUGAAAUAUAUUUAUGAAGGAGAAAGUUCAGGAAAAGUUCAAGGAUUUCAUUAUGAUCGAUAAAAGUUAUAGCACGAACGUUUUACGCUUAAACCUAGGUCAGAAACCCUAGUAUAUAGCUAAUUUUCACUUUUAGGCACGCUGGCAGUUAAUUCCAAAAAUCUUCAGAGAAAUGUUAGAAAUUCUCUUCUUCCAUAUAUAACAAUCGUUUUGAGGCGAAACUCUAGGAUCUACGAACGUCCGAUUCCAAUCAUCGGAAGUUUGCCGAAACCGAAUCCCUGGUAUUUCAAAACCCUAGAAUUUCCCGACUUUGAGGACUUUAUCUAUUCAGAGCUUCAAAUGAAUAUUCCACACGCGUACACCCAUUUCUCUUGAUGAUUUCAAUCUUUCUUCAGAAGGAAGUUUUCCAUUCCGACAUUCGAGGCAAAAAGCAACUUAUCGGGUAAAAUAGUUUUACACCGACUUUGCACCGACUUUGCAUUAGUUGCCAAAAAUACAAGGAGACAUCUUCUUAGCUUGGGAAUUCCUUUGCCAAAACCUAUCUUAGAAUUCAUGGUGAAUGAUGCCGGAAAAAUCGGAUUCGCGGAACUUUCAUUUUCCCGCGAAUUUCCACCUUCUAUAUAUAGCAAACAAAGGAAGAAAAAACACAAUUUUCCUCCAUUUUCUCUCCUCUAAACCGCGGCCAAGAACAAGGAAGAAGGAAGAAGAGUUUUUCUUCAUCGUUUGCUUGAUCGUCGAUCAAUCAGUUGCUACUUCAAGGUUUCGAGGUAUAGUCGCUAAUCCUUACCUCCGAUCGCUUUUUCCAUAGCUUUUCUGUAGAGUUUUCUGAGCGGAUAGUUUAUGGGUUUUUGCAAAACUAUCCUGAAUCUUUCAUUUCUGAUUCUAAACCUCUUCUAUGUAUGCCCAAGAUCACUUCUGCCGGAUUAGAUUUUCCGUUAUGUCGCCGGAAUUCCGCCGGAAUCAAUUUGAACCUAAAAUACCCAUUUUAUGUAGUUUUUGAGUAAAGUUCCAACCUCUAGGCUGAAAACUAUCGCCUUAGCUUAGUGUUAGUAGGAUUAGUUGUCAUAAACGUCGUUAGUAACGUCCCUGCAAAAUUUUAUUUUUGGGAUUUCAGUUUUGAAAAUCCUAAGUUAAAAAUCAUGACCAAAAUACCCCUGCGACAGUUUUUGAUCCGAUAAUUUUUCCGAGUUCAGAAUACCCUUAGUUACGGCUUAUGAAAGCAUAGGAACCAAGUUUGAUCGAAGAAAAAUCGAACCCUACAAUUACCUAUAGUGGCCGAGAGCUAUAAGGGGGGAGGAGGAAAUUUCCUUUUCCGAAAACUUGUCUUUUCGCGCUAGAUUAUCGUACCUUAGAGUAUAGAUUACUUCGAGUAACCUUAGUAAGUAUCGAUAGCUUAGUUUCCGAUAGAUUCUGAUUGAUUUUUGUGGUUUUGUUCUAAAGGUGAUUUUGAGGAAUUUCCUGAGGAUCAACACCUUGCUUGUGAAGAAGAGUUUGAAGUUUUUGCUGGAGAACCUUCAGGUGAGGGCUUCUCACUGAAUCUCUAGUUAAUGCUUAGGGUCGAUAUUUCGACAUUGUUUACUGUUUAUGCACUGAGAUUGUGUGUGAUUGAAAAUGUUUUCUGAGGCUUCGGCUGACAAUGUAGAUGAUUCAUCUACUGAAUGUUUUUGAAGAUUGACUUACAUGCUAUGUGCUAUGUGGGUAAUCUAGGAUGUGUGGUGCAUGCUUUAUAUGCUAAGUGCUAAGUGUUUAUGAUGCGAUUUAUUGAUAUAUGACAUGUUGUUGAUUGUGAUGAUUUAAAUAUGCUUUACACUGAAAAUCUGAGAUUCUGAAUGGUGAGAAUAGCGGGCAGGUCAUGCCGAUUUUAUUUUGAGAGUUUUGAGAAAGUUUGAUAGGACGAACGAGGUUCGGGCCUUGUAUAGGGUUUAUGGAUCGAGACAUUCUCUGGAGUCACUUGGGGAUUCGAAGAUCCCGAGAACUUAUAGGAAUUGCGAUAAGACUAAAAAUGAUAUUAUUUUGAAAAGAAAAUUCAUAAGACAUUAAACAACCUCUAAAUCUUUAAGUAAGGGUAAUAAUCUCGAAAGGAGGCUUUGGAUGAAAAUCAUAGUUUGGAAAACGAGAAGUGUCGUCGGAUCCAAGUGUUGAGUCUGUUGUUGUUGUGCUGUUGGAGCAGCGUUGGUUGUUGUGCUGUUGGAGCAGCGUUGGUUGUUGUGCUGUUGGAGCAGCGUUGGUUGUUGUGCUGUUGGAGCAGCGAUGUUGUUGGGCUAUCCUGGGGAUAAGUCCGGGGAACCGUUAGUUCCCGAGUAUGUGAUACUCUUGUGCUGUUGGAGCAGCGAUGUGUGUUGUGAAGUGUGUCUUUUGUCGCAGAAUCGACUUUACCUUAGGGUAAGCUUUUAGAGACUUUAACUUCCCUAGAACACGUGGCGACGUGUCGAGUGAGGACGGAGACGUUGUUUGACUAAUCAUUUUGCAUACAUGCAACAUUAAUGAGGUAUUAACACAGGACGUACUCUGGACCUCGUCGGUUUCCAAAAUGGUCAUAAGACCCGGAAUGCCGUGAAAGAGCGUUUGUAGACGUCUCUUGUAGCAGACCGAAAUGGCAGACCUACGGGUUACGGCUGAUCUGGCUACCUUGGUUUGGUGUAAGAGACACGCGGGCGGAAAUGGUCCCACCGUUGCUGGUGCUAGGAUUGAUCCGUUGAUGUCCAUCCCAGAGGCACGCGAGCGGAAAUGGUCCCACCGUUGCUGGUGCUAGGAUUGACUCGUUGUUGUCCAUACCUUUGCUUGGUGUAAGAGGCACGCGGGCAGAAAUGGUCCCACCGUUGCUGGUGCUAGGAUUGAUCCGUUUUGAUGCCCAUCCGUUUCCGGAUUGCAUAUUGGUUGACUGGGUUAACCUGCAUACAUAUCACGCAACAUGCAUACUGACUUAGUUGAUGAGUGUGGUUGCUAUUUGAUAAACUUACUUGGAACAUGCUAAAUGUUAUUAUUGUCAUUAUGAUUUGGUGGAACAUGCAACCCUAGGAAUGAUAUCUCUAGUUAUAAGCCUAAGUGGCUAUAUAUUAUUUGUACCUAUUGGGUUUAUUAUCUACAUAGUUCUUUAGAGUUGACCCUCGCGUCUUCUGUGUGUGUUUUGGCGGACAACGCCUUUUGUCAGAUGAGUAUUGCGGACUGGUUCACCAUGGUUUACCCUUCGGGGGAAACUAGGUUGGGAUGCUGGAACAGGAGCGCGUCCCGGUAGCGAGAGGAUGACGGAUGGUGUACAUAGACUAGGUCGUUCUGGAUUUCGAAUUCGGACGACGAUCAUGCUAGCAUGUAGGUUUUGGUGCUGGUGUGAGCUCCUCAAGAUGGGAUUAGUGUAGGAGUAGAGUCUUAGCUCUGAACAUCAUUUGUUUCUUUUGGGACAGGGUAGUUUCCCACCUAUAGCUUUUGUGUGGUUUCUUAACAGGAAUCACAGAGAGUUGGUUGGACUUAGGAGGUCUUGCUUCAGGCCGAUGGGCCAGCUGAUUUUCAGUUUUGAGGGAUGGUGUUGCGGACACUUCACCUUUAUUUUCAGUCUGUACAUAUUGCCUUCGGGCGCUACACUUUUCUUUCCGUCACUGGAGGUUUACUCGUGACGAGGUUAGUACUACAGCGGGGGCUGUUUAUGUAUCAUAUAUUAGUUCUGAUUUUGUUAUUGUUGGGUUUUAUUUAAUUCAGUCUCGUCUUAGUUAUUAUCAAAAAAAAAUAUUCACGUUUUUCCGCAUUAAGUUUACUUUUGGUUACUAAAGUGACGCCACCGAAAUCGGGGUGUUACAGUUUACUGUUUAUGCACUGAGAUUGUGUGUGAUUGAAAAUGUUUUCUGAGGCUUCGGCUGACAAUGUAGAUGAUUCAUCUACUGAAUGUUUUUGAAGAUUGACUUACAUGCUAUGUGCUAUGUGGGUAAUCUAGGAUGUGUGGUGCAUGCUUUAUUGAGAAAGUUGAGGGGCUUCGAGUAUGUAGAUGUUGUGGUGCUGUUGGAGCAGCGUUUGUUGUUGUGCUGUUGGAGCAGCUAUUGUGGUUGUGCUGUUGGAGCAGCUAUGUUGUUGGGCGUAUCUUCGACUUUGCGGCGCGAAUCCGUAUGUCCAAACCCGACGGUUUGGGCCGAUUCGGCAAUAAUUGUUGACACGCGCGAAUCCGUAUAUUCAAUCCGAUGGAUUGGAUCGAUUCGGCGGUAGUCACUCAGGCUCGCGUGAAUUCGUAUGUUCAAUCCGAGGGAUUGGAUCGAUUCAGCGACAACUUUUCGACACGCGCGAAUCCGUAUAUUCAAUCCGAUGGAUUGGAUCGAUUCGGCGGUAGUCACUCAGGCUCGCGUGAAUCCGUAUGUUCAAUCCGAGGGAUUGGAUCGAUUCAGCGACAAUUUUUCGACACGCGCGAAUCCGUAUAUUCAAUCCGAUGGAUUGGAUCGAUUCGGCGGUAGUCACUCAGGCUCGCGUGAAUCCGUAUGUUCAAUCCGAGGGAUUGGAUCGAUUCAGCGACAACUUUUCGACACGCGCGAAUCCGUAUAUUCAAUCCGAUGGAUUGGAUCGAUUCGGCGGUAGUCACUCAGGCUCGCGUGAAUCCGUAUGUUCAAUCCGAGGGAUUGGAUCGAUUCAGCGACAACUUUUCGACACGCGCGAAUCCGUAUAUUCAAUCCGAUGGAUUGGAUCGAUUCGGCGGUAGUCACUCAGGCACGCGUGAAUCCGUAUGUUCAAUCCGAGGGAUUGGAUCGAUUCAGCGAUAACCUUUCGACUCGCGCGGAUCCGUAUGUUCAAUCCGAUGGAUUGGAUCGAUUCGGCGAUAGUCAUUGGACACGCGCAAUGUCCGUAUGUUCGACUCUUUUGAGUGAACCGACUUGGCGUUGUCAUUUGUUGCGUGUGCGAGUCCGUAUGUUCAACCCAGGGGGUUGGAUCGACUUGACAUGCCUAAUUGUUGGGCUAUCCUGGGGAUAAGUCCGGGAAACCGGGAGUUUCCGAGUAUGUGAUACUCUUUGCUUGUUGAGCAGUUGUGACCAUCGAAUUGAGAUGAGUCGGAUGAUCCGGAGAUCAUCAUGAGUUACUAUGUGGAUGUGAAGAAGUGUCUUUUGUCGCAGAAUCGACUUUACCUUAGGGUAAGCUUUUAGAGACUUUAAUUUACCUAGAACACGUGGCGACGUGACGAGUGAGAGUCGGAGACGUUGUUUGACUAAUCAUCCUGCAUUCAUGCAUACUGAUUUAGUUGUCGAGUGUGAUUGUUAAUUGUUAAUCCUAUUUGGAACAUGUUAAUUGUUAUUAUUGCUGUUAAGUUCAUUAUGGAAAAUGCAACCCUAGGAUGUUAUCCCUAGCUAUAAGCCUAAGUGGCUAUUCUCUUAUCUAUAUCUAUUGGUGCUAUUAUUUAUGUAAUUCUUUGGAGUUGACCCUCGCGUCUUCUGUGUGUGCUUUGGCGGACAAACGCCCUUUGUGAGAUGUCUUUGGCGGACUGGUUCACGACGGUUCACCCUUCGGGGGAAACUAGAGUUGGGAUGCUGGAACAGGAGCGCAUCGCGAUAGCGAGCGGAGGACGGAUGGUGUACAUAGACUAGGUCGUUCUGAAUUCAGGUUCGGGCGACGAUCAUGCUAGCAUGUAGGUUUUAGUGCUGGUGUGAGCUCCUCGAGAUGGGAUUAUUGUAGGAGUAGAGUCUUAGCUCUGGACGUCAUUUGUUUUCUUUGGGGACAGGGUAGUUUCCCACCUAUAGCUUUUUGUGUGGUUCUUUACGGGAAUCACAGAGAGUUGGUUGGACUUAGGAGGUCUUGCUUCAGGCCGAUGGGCCAGCCUAUUCUCAGUUUUGAGGGAUGGUGUUGCGGACACUUGACCUUUCUUUUGGAUUAUACCUUUUGCCUACGGGCGUUCUUUUCUACUACUUUCCGUCACUGGAGGUUACUCGUGACGAGGUUGGGUACUUACAGCGGGGGGGUUGUAAAUAUAUAUUGGAUAAUAGUUUUAUUGCUUAUCGCAUUUGGGUUUUAUUUAAUUCAGUCUUGUCUUAGUUAUUAUCAAAAAACAAAUAUUUAUGUUUUUCCGCAUUAAGUUUACUUUUGGUUACUAAAGUGACGCCACCGAAAUCGGGGUGUUACAGGUGGAUUCCAAAAUGGUCAUAAGACCCGGAUUUCCAUAAAAGAACACUACGGUGAUUCUUAGUAGCAGACGGAAAUGGCAGACCUUCGGGUUCACUAAUGAUCUGACUACACUUUGUGUGGUGUAAGAGACACGCGAGCGAAAAUGGUCCCACCGUUGCUGGUGUAAGACCCAAGUUUUUAAGCUUAGAAUAAGUGGAAGAGAUUUCCAUUUACGAUUAGGCUUGACGUAUCGUGAAGGAAAAACCUGAACAAGAGUUUAUCGAAUGAAAUAAAUUUAUGAAGGAGAAAGUUCAGGAAAAGUCUAAGGAUUGUAUCCGAAUCGGUAAAAGGUAUAGCACGAUCGAUUCACUUAAGCCUAGGACAAGAACCUUAGGAAAAGACUAAGUUCCACCCUUGGAACACUGUAGGAAUUUAUUCCAAAAAAAACUUCAGAGAAAUGUUAGAACUUCUGUUUUUCCAUAUAUCACAAUCGUUUCGAGGCGAAACUCUAGAAUCUACGAACGUCCGAUUCCAAUCAUCGGAAGUUUGCCGAAACCAAAACCGCUGAUUCAAGAUGGUUCGUCGUUCGGGGAGGAUCCUAAGCACAAUGACUGCUACUGAGCCUUCGACGUGGACCCGGACUUCAUGCAUGAUUGGAUGAGGGUCGAUGUUAGGAGUGUAUUAUAUGGGGGGAUUGUUUUCACAACUCUGAUUGUCAUUUCCCAUUUGGGGCUGACUUAUCUUCUUGAAAACUGUAUUCAUAAAACUCAUGGCUCUGACCAUGGGAUGAACUUAUUCGCCUGCGGGCACUAUCUCCAAUCACUUUAUGUUUAUUAUCUUUGGGUUGAGUCUUCAUUAUGUUAAGUCUUAUAUUUGAAAAGAAAACGAAAAAAAAAUAUUUACGCAUUUUCCGCACUAUUGAUUUAAAGUCACUAAAGUGGCACCACCGAAAUCGGGGUGUUACAUUGUGGUAUCAGAGCUUAUCGAGUCUUUCGGGAGUCUUUGGGGAAUUGGUCUUCUGUGCUAGGUUGUGUGACUCUGCAAAGAGUAAAAAAAAUUGAUUGUCUGCCAAGCGAUUUUUCGCUUAGAAUUGAUUGAAGUUAGUGCUUAAUCAUAUUGUAUAGCAUGUUAGACGCUAUCUUAUGAUGAGUACUAACUGUUUGAUUGACUUAACAGAACCUAGAUGUUAUCCUAGGGAUGGAUUGGUUGUCUCACUAUCAUUGUCUUUUGGACGAACAAAAGCAAAGGAGCAAGUGGUCGAACCGGACAACAUAGAGCUGGAAGAUGAAAGGUCUUUUGAGACGCCGUCGAACCAGCAUUGGGGCUAGAAGAGUGAAACAAUCGAAGAGAAAGCAGAGUGUUUUAGUGAAAGUUAUUUAGAACAAAGACACGGACGGUGCUAUAUGGGUAAUAGAGGAGAAGAUCAAGGAAUAAUAUCCAGAACUUUUUACUGAUCCUUAAGUUUCGAGGACGAAACUUUCUUUUUGGAGGGUAGUAAUGUAAGACCCAAGUUUUUAAGCUUAGAAUAAGUGGAAGAGAUUUCCAUUUACGAUUAGGCUUGACGUAUCGUGAAGGAAAAACCUGAACAAGAGUUUAUCGAAUGAAAUAAAUUUAUGAAGGAGAAAGUUCAGGAAAAGUCUAAGGAUUGUAUCCGAAUCGAUAAAAGGUAUAGCACGAUCGAUUCACUUAAGCCUAGGACAAGAACCUUAGGAAAAGACUAAGUUCCACCCUUGGAACACUGUAGGAAUUUAUUCCAAAAAAAACUUCAGAGAAAUGUUAGAACUUCUCUUUUUCCAUAUAUCACAAUCGUUUCGAGGCGAAACUCUAGAAUCUACGAACGUCCGAUUCCAAUCAUCGGAAGUUUGCCGAAACCAAAACCGCUGAUUCAAGAUGGUUCGUCGUUCGGGGAGGAUCCUGAGCACAAUGACUGCUACUGAGCCUUCGACGUGGACCCGGACUUCAUGCAUGAUCGGAUGAGGGUCGAUGUUAGGAGUGUAUUAUAUGGGGGGAUUGUUUUCACAACUCUGAUUGUCAUUUCCCAUUUGGGGCUGACUUAUCUUCUUGAAAACUGUAUUCAUAAAACUCAUGGCUCUGACCAUGGGAUGAACUUAUUCGCCUGCGGGCACUAUCUCCAAUCACUUUAUGUUUAUUAUCUUUGGGUUGAGUCUUCAUUAUGUUAAGUCUUAUAUUUGAAAAGAAAACGAAAAAAAAAUAUUUACGCAUUUUCCGCACUAUUGAUUUAAAGUCACUAAAGUGGCACCACCGAAAUCGGGGUGUUACAGCUGGUGCUAGGAUUGACUCGUUAGUGCCCAUCCGUUCCGGAAUGCAUUUGUUAACCAGCAUUGCAUUUCAUGCAACAUGCAUACUGACUUAGUUGCUGAGUGUGAUUGAUAAUUGUUAAUCUUAUCUGAUGCAUGUUAAUGGUUAUUACUGUCUUUUAUAUUCAUUGUGAAAUAUACAACCCUAGGAUGCUAUCUCUAACUUAUAAGCCUAAGUAGCUAUCUCUAUCUGUAUCUAUUGGAUUUAUUAUUUACGUAAUUCUUUGGAGUUGACCCUCGCGUCUUCUGUGUGUGCUUUGGCGGACUACGCCUUUUGUCAGAUGUCCAUGGCGGACUGAUUCACGAUGGUUCAUCCUUCGGGGGGAACUAGGUUUGAGGCCAGCACCGGAGCGGAUCGCGAUAGCGAGAGGAGAACGGAUGGUGUACAUAGACUAGGUCGUUCUGGAUUCAGAUUCGGACGACGAUCAAGCUAGCAUGUAGGUUUUAGUGCUGGUGUGAGCUCCUCGAGAUGAGAUUAGUGUAGGAGUAGAGUCUUAGCUCUGACCGUUAUGUUUUCUUUUGGGAACAGGGUAGUUUCCCGCCGAUAGCUUUUUGUGUGGUUUCUUUACGGGAAUCACAGAGAGUUGGUUGGACUUAGGAGGUCUUGUUUUAGGCCGAUGGGCCAGCUUAUUCUCAUUUUUGAGGGAUAGUGUUGCGAACACUUGACCUUUCUUUUGGUUUGUACUUCUUGCCUACGGGCGUUCCUUUCUACUACUUUCCGUCACUGGAGGUUACUCGUGACGAGGUUGGGUACUUACAGCGGGGGCUGUAAUUUAUAUUGUAUAUUAGUUCUAGUAUCUUUUGUCGUCUAGUUUUAUUUCUUUCAGUCUUUGGUUCCAUUAUCAAAAAAAAAAAUAUUCACGUUUUUCCGCAUUAAAUUUAUUUUUGUUACUAAAGUGACGCCACCGAAAUCGGGGUGUUACAUAUAACGUAUGUGUGUAUUAUAUAAUUUUUUAAUCUAUUAUAGUUUAGAAAAAAUAAUUUGAAGAAACAUAAUAGAUUAAAAUAAUUAUAACUAAAGUUGACUAAAUUUAAAUUUACUAAAUAAUAUUUUACGAUAUUAAAAUUAGAAAGACAUUAGCGGGUUAUACCAACAUUAACCAAAUUCAUCCAAUCCGUGUCAAACUAGAAUUUUAGUCAUUGUAGUGUUUCUUCAGUUUGUUAUAAGAAAAACAGUUUAAUGGAUAUGCACUGUGAGUUAGGCCUAGCCAGAACACCGACCGAACCCGGCGGUUCGGUUUGGUUUGGUUUGGUUCGCGGGUGGUUCGGGUGCAAAAAACCGGAUUUAGGUGGUUUGGUCUGGUCAGUUUCGGUUUGAACUCCAGACCAACCGAACCAGGUCUGAGAAAAAAACCAGCCCAGCCCAAUACUAACCUUAGUCUUUUUAGCCCAACCCACUAUAAAUACCCUCUCUUAACCCUCAACCUCUCAACUUCCAAACCCUAGUUGUCUCUCUCAACCUCUCAUGACUUUCAACCUCUAGUGUCUCUCUCAAUCUCUCAUCACUCUCAACCCUAAACCUAGCCGCCACACUCUCCCAACCUUCUUCUCUGAAUGCCUCCUGUAAGACCAAGAUUUGGUCAGGUUGUACAACUCUAUGUUUUAAUGAUAACAAGUUUAUUAUUAUGUAUGAACAAUUAUGAUACUCUAACGUUUGUCUCUUUAAGUUGUGACAAACAGGCUAUGACUCUGAUUCAAAGACGCUAUACUAAUCAGAAGUUGAAGACCAAGAGUAACCAGCACAACGCUUCUGCACAUAACUACGUUCUUCUGAAUGGUAGAAAACGCUUCAGAUCCUCUGAAAAUUAUAAGCUCUGAUGAGGACUUUGAACAUUCCAAGCUCUGAAGUUCUGAAGACCAGAUGUUCUGAGGAACGAUCCAGAAGCUGAAGACUCGGAAGCUCUAAAGUCCAAGAGUAAGCUGGCUCUCAAGACCAGAAGCACUUCAUGCUCUGAAGGCCAGAUGUUCUGAUGAACGGUCCAGAAGUAGAAGUUCUGAUGAUCUGAAGAUCCAAGCUUCGCUCUGACUCUGAUCACACGAGCUUCACAAGUUCCAACAUGAAGCGACGCCCAAGAUCAAGAGUCAACUAGGCUAAGGCAUUGUCACUGUCAUUCGUACAAAAGCUAAUGUACUAUUCUGACUGCCUCACCUACGACGAUCAGCCACAGCAGGCUCUGGAAAUUCUAGAACUGCCCUCCAACGGACAGAUUCAUCCAACGGAUACACAUUCUUUACCUUAGAGUAUUUAAAGGCUGAAGACUGAAGAAAUCAACUAAGAAACUUUGCACAUCCAAGUGAAAUACUCUCAGCGAAUAUCUUAGCAAUAUUUCUUCUUUGCUCUUAGUGUGUUUACUUCUGCUUAUUAAGAAGCAUUUCUUUGUAAACUGAACUCUUUCACAAACUUUGUUUGUAGAUUCCUUGAGAGACCAGUGAGGUCAGAAUUCUUGAGAAGACUAAGGCAAGGUUGUCUUAGUGCUGCUAGUUCAUUGUAUUGUUAGUCACUGAGCAGGUUGCUAGUGCAGUUGUAACAAUCAUUGAAUAGUGAAUUGCCUUCAUUCUAAGAAGGAAGAAAUCACCUUAACGGGUGGACUGGAUUAGCUUGAGGGAUUUAUCGAGUGAAUCAGGAUAAAAUCAUUGUGUGCUUUUCUCUUUCCCUUACCUCUUACAUCUUGUGAUCUUUAGUCCGAAAAGAUUAUCUUGAAAUCUUAGAGGGGAAAUUCAAAAAGCUCCAAACCCUAUUCAAACCCCCCCCCCCUUUCUAGUGUUUUUCAUACCUUCACCUCCGUCCAUCGCACCACCACCUCCUUCUCAUUCUCUUCGAUCCAGUGCCAUCACCACGAUCCAGCGAUGCAAAACCUUUUCCUUCUCUGAGGUCCAGAUCCGCCAACACCCUCGCACCACCAUCGUGCCAUCAAAUACCGCUGCACCAUCACCUUAGAUCUAGGUUCUUCCAUCUGUUUUCCUUUUUUGUUGUAAAAAUAUCUGCUAAAUGAUGAUUUAAGAUCAGAUCUGUUAAUUUUUUUUUCAAUCUUCAUCUCCUGUUUUGGAUUUUUCUCAAUCUUUUCAGCUUUGCAGGUGUUGUGAUUGUCUGCAUUUUAUCUAAGUGUGUUUUAUAACAACAUGUCGGACACGAUGUUGUAACAUCUUGACUAUGACAUUUGUCCCUCCGAAUCUGUUGUGAGUUGGCUAAGUAAUCUGUGAAGCUUUGUAUUGAUUACGUGGUAUUUAAGUUAGGGUUUUGAUGGAAGCUUAUGUGCGCCGUUCAAGGAAUAUAUCAAGGGUGAUCAAAUCAGUUUCAAGGGAUUUGAUCUGAGAUAUUUGUGGAAGUUUUUAUCUGCAACUAAAACGCAUCUUUGGAGAUUUUCUGCAGAUUUGUUUUAUUUACAACUUCCUGUUUUAGUGUGGACUAUUGUGCUCGCUCAAGCCCAUUGAAGACAAGCCUGGUCGACUACUACUGAUGGAGACAAAAACCUAGUUGCUAGGUGUGCUUCGUGUUGAGUGAAUUAGGUUUACUCUUGUUAGUUCACACUUGUGAUUUUUCUCUCAGCAGCUUUAUGUUAUUGUUCUAAACUGAGAGUUGUUUUGUGAGUUGUUUGAUCUUGAGAUCGUCUUCACUCUUGUUAAAAGAGUUCAAUCAUCAUGGCAGUGAUUGUGUGUGAGAAAGUGAAAGGGGCUCUCAUACUUAGGGGGGACUAAGUAAUAAGCCACGGGUAGAGAUAGGUAGAAAAGGCACUGAACUGGGGCAGUUCAAUUAAGACCUUUUGUGUACAAUUUCUCUAUUUUAUGAGAACAAAUAUAUUAUAUUAAUAACAAAGAUAGAUCAUGAGAACAAUCCUCUCAUGUAGAUUGAAUGACAAAGUUAUACCAAUAAAAACAUUCACCCCAAGCCCAAGCUUAAAUAACAAUGAGCCUAACCACCCCUUGAACUAUUUUGGUGUAGAAGACAGCUAUGCACAGCCUCAUUAAAACCCCAUUGGGAAAAACCCAGUGGGAAAAACCCAUUGGGAAAAAGCCAACACCAAAAAUAGACACUAAUAAUGAACUUUGAAUUCACAUCAGAUCUUGAUACACAGUAGCAAAAGAAGCUAGAACAGAAACCAUAUAGGAAUUAAUCCAAGCUGUUGCAUAUAUUCAUUCCUUUGACAGAACUUCCUCUUCAUGCCUUCUUUAAUAUACCCACCAAGGACCAUGACACGAAGCCAAAAAUAUUCCAUGAACCUCAGACAUAAACCAUUGUACAGACCGCAACUCUUUCAUAUUUCCAUAGAAAACCAGAGUUUUCCCCAGCCAAAAAACAGAUGAGCAACGACUCUUUUAGCCAAUUUAUCUGCAAUAGAAACUAAAAGCACACCAAAGCUCAACCAAGACCUUCAUUCUUUUUUACCCUUGGCGAACAAUAAGCUCAAUCCCUCACCAAUUGGUCCAUAACCUCCUGGAGCUCUCUCACAAGGCUGGUGACUCUAUCAGAUAUAGCAAUAGCACUCCUCCCCUUCCAACGCUAAAUUUUCUUAUACAAUGAUUUCAGUUUCUCAUGGAACGUGCCUCCUGCCCCACCUACCACCAAGAAGAAAGCCAUCAGGAUUUACCAAGGAGUUAAAAUCAUCAUCCAACAUCCAGCAGUGGUAAAACCUGAAAGGAUUUGGACCAAAGUCCACUGAACCCAUGGCCAGAGAUACAGCUCUGUGUUCAGAUAACCCCCAACUCUCCGCAUAUUGAUUCACCUCGUCAAGUUCACGAAGUAUCUCUUCACAGAUCAACCAUCGGCCUAACCGGCUCCAAAUGACAUCUUGUCUCGAUUUAAACCAUGUGAACUCAAUAUUUUCUAAAGGAAAGUCUAUUAGGUUCAACCCCAAAGUAAAAUCACACAAAUUGUGAUCAACAACCCCCAUCCAAGCCCCAACCUCUGAUCCUAAAUUACAUUUGUUACAGUAAUAUAAACAAGGUCCCAGCAAGAUAGUGAGCCCCCUGCAUAACCUUCCACCAAAACCUCAACGAAACUGAGAUUGAAAGAUUUAUCAAAAAGAUCCCCAAUUCCUCCUUUGUUAACUCCAAGCUUAGUCUCUUGAGUCAAGAUUACCUCAACUUUCCCUUCCAUAAUGCGACUUCCACAGCUUUACGUUUCUCAGCACUACCCAACCCCCUAGCAUUCCAAGAAACCCUCCUCCGUGGACGACCCAUUCAAUCAUCCAGUACAGGUUGGUCCUCUUCCAGUUAUUUUGCUAACCCUUUAAUAGCUUCUUCGCCGCUGCCGGGAAAAACUAGCCCAACGGAUUUUCCCAGGAUCCAAGCCUUUGUGGCUCUAGUAAAAUAUUUGUCAGAGCCACUCCUUGUAGCUGUUGCUUGCAAUUCUGCAAAGCCAAGGUCAAUUCCCCCAAACCCCUCCGAGAUUUCCCUAAGGAUGGAGGGACCAACUUUAGAUUUUGGUUUUCUACCCAUUUUCUUCUUGACCUGUCCCGGUUUAGCACAAUCCAGCUCCAAACACUCCAGAGAUUUGAGUUUCGAGGUCUGGCUAACACCUUGCUUUGCCCUUUUCAACCCUUCCUCGUCAUCGAGCACACUCGAUUAAUAGUGGAUUAUCUUUCUCGGGUGAAAACCCUCCAGACGUAGGUGACAUUGCACCGAACUGGGUUAACAAUCUUCUGUGUCUUGUUUGUUAUUUUUGUUCUUAAACUUGCUUAUCUGAACAUUAUAUUUUGUGUUAUGAUAUACAAGAUGUCAUGGACAUCUGGUAGAACAUCUAUCCGCGUGUGUCAGAAUUUCAAUUGGCAUCAGAGCAGGCACCCUGUUCUGGUUGGGUGAGCUCCAGGGAAAUACUAUUAUGGUAAGAUGGACAACGAAAAAGAUGUGGGAUCGAUUCAUAGGCCACCUAUACUUUAUGGGACUAAUUAUGACUAUUGGAAGGCACGCAUGGUUGCUUUUCUCAUAUCAAUUGAUGGCAAGACCUACAAGUCAUUUCUCAAAGGAUGGAAGCACCCUGUCAAGACUACUCAAGAAGGAACCUUAACCACUGAACUGAAACCAGAAGAAGACUGGAAUAAGGAGGAAGAUGAAGAAGUUGUUGCUAAUUCAAAGGUUGUCAAUGCUAUCUUUAAUGGCGUUGAUAAGAAUAUGUUCAGACUAAUUCACGCUUGUAUUGUUGCCAAAGAUGCUUGGGAAAUCCUCAAGGUUGCUCAUGAGGGUACUGCUAGAGUUCGCAUGUCAAUACUUCAACUAUUAACUACUCAUUUGAGAACCUCAGGAUGAAGGAGGAUGAAACUAUCUCUGAGUUUCACAUGUGUGUACGUGACAUGGAAAAUGCAUCCUUUGCCUUAGGAGAACAUAUGUCAGAGGAAAAACUCAGCCUAAGAAAUUUGACAUGAAAGUCACAGCUAUUGAGGAGGCACAGGACAUCAGUAGCAUCAAGGUGGAUGAACUUAUUCGCUCGCUACAAACAUUUGAAAUGUCUUUCAAUGAUAGAACAGAGAAGAAGAGCAAGAGUAUAACAUUUGUGUCCAACACUGAUGAGAAUUAUCAAAGUGAGAAAGACACUGAGGAGAAUUUGACAGAGGCUUUAGCACUGCUUGGGAGAAAAUUCAACAAAGUCAUGAGGAGGUUUGAUAGAAGACCUAGGCCAAAUGGUUUAGACAAGCGGUCAGACAUUGCCAAGAACUCUGGAUAGGCUCACAAGAAUAAGGAGGAAGACAAAUCUAACAAAAGCAAAGGAUUUCAAUGCCAUGAAUGUGAAGGUUAUGGUCAUAUCAAAGCUGAAUGUGAAACUUAUCUGAAGAAGCAAAGGAAAGGAAUGUUGGCAACUUGGUCAGAUGAUGAUGAUUCUGAAGAUGAAGACGAGAGUCAAGUACUGGGUUUGACAGUAAAAUGCCAUUCUAACAGUGAGUCUAGUGAUGAAGAAAUUUCAGAGGAAGAACUUGCUGAAACCUACAAGUUACUUUUCAAGAAAUGGCAAGAAGCUUGUGACUAUGCAAAGAAGCUGGAAGGAACUGCCAAGGGACUUCAGAAGGAAAAACAAAGUUUCAAGACAUCAAUGACAACCUUCAAGAGGAAUUAUCAGUGAUGAAAUCCAGACUUGAAGGGAUGGUAAAAUCAGUACGUAUGCUGAACAAGGGCACUGAUACGUUUGACCAGAUUCUGAAAUCAGGAAAAACAGCCAAAGAUAUGAAGGGUCUGGGAUAUGAGAGUGACACCACACCAGAAGAAACCAAAAAGGCUACUCCUAAGUUUGUUGCUGCUGAAAAGAAAAGUGAAUUCAAGAUGUCGGACAACAUGUGUACCCACAAAUACCCUAUGUGUAUCCACAGGUUCAGAAGGCAAAAAGCACUAGCUGGAAAUGUCAUCAUUGUGGUAGAUAUAUAUGGACACAUAAGACCUUAUUGCUACAGGUUGUCUGGAUUUCCAAAAGGAAAAUCUUCUCAGUUAAUAACUCAUGAAGCAAGAAAGAAAGAGUGGAAGGUUAAAAGCAACAUGUCUACUUUAUUUGCUUACACCUCUCUAAGAGUAUCCUCUAAAGAGGAUUGAUAUUUUGACAGUGGUUGUUUAAGACACAUGACUGGAGUGAAGAGCUAUCUUGGUGACAUGAAGCCUCACUCUACCAGUUAUGUUACCUUUGGUGAUGAUGCUAAAGGAAAAAUAAAGGGAUCUGGAAAACUUGUCAGUAGUGGAUCUCCUGAGUUGAAUGAUGUGUUCCUAGUUAAAGGUUUAGCAGCCAACCUGAUCAGUAUAAGUCAGCUAUGUGAUUUAGAUCUCGAUGUUACCUUUUGUAAAACUGGUUGCAAAGUAUCUGAUGAGAAUGGUGAAGUGAUAAUGAGAGGAGCUAGAUCAAAGGAUAAUUGUUAUAUGUGGAUCUCUCAGUAUAAAUCCAUGUCUUCAAGAUGCUUGGUAACCAAGGAAGAGGAAGUUAAAAUGUGGCACCAAAAACUUGGGCAUCUGAAUCUCAAGAUCAUGAAGAAGUUCAUCUCCAACGAAGCUAUCAGAGGACUACCCAAACUAAAAAUAGAAGAAGGGAGAAUAUGUGGAGAAUGUCAGGUUGGAAAGCAAACCAAGGUUUCACAUAAGAAGUUACAACUUGUGGCUACAAACAGGAUUUUGGAACUUCUUCACAUGGAUCUCAUGGGACCAAUGCAGGUAGAAAGCAUUGGAGGAAAAAGGUAUGCUUUUGUUUGUGUAGAUGAUUUCUCUAGAUAUACCUGGGGAAAGUUUAUUGCAGAAAAAUCAGACACAUUUGAUGUGUUCAAGGAACUAAGUCAACAACUUCAGAGGGAGAAGGGAUCUAGAAUUGUGAGAAUUCGUAGUGAUCAUGGCAAAGAGUUUAAAAACAGCAGGUUUUCAGAUUAUUGCACUGAGAAUUCGUAGUGAUCAUGGCAAAGAGUUUAAAAACAGCAAAUCGUGUUACCAUCAAAUUUGGAACUACAUCAAAUCAGUAUGAGUUGUGGAAAGGAAGAAAGCCAACUGUGAAUUACUUCCAUGUCUUUGGUAGUAAAUGUUACAUUCUAGUUGAUCGUGAGCAGAGAAGGAAAAUGGAUCCAAAGAGUGAUGAAGAUAUUUUUCUGGGGUAUUCUACAAACAACAAAGCUUAUAGAGUAUACAACUCUCGUACCAAGAUAUUGAUGGAAUCUAUAAAUGUUGUAGUUGAAGACAACCUAGAAGACAUGAAAAUUGCAGAGGAGAUUGUUGAUGAUCCUUUACCUCAGUCAGAUGUUGACAGACCAAAUGUCUCAGACAUCUGGUCAGACAAUGAAUCUGAAGAAGAAAAUGAAAGCUUGACUCCUCAGAAUAAAGGACCCUCUAUUCGAAUACAGAAGAUUCAUCCUAGGGAAAACAUCAUAGGGGAUCUGAAUGAAGGUGUCAUUACUAGAUCCAGAGAAGUCAUCUCCAAUGGGUGUUGCAUUUCGAAAAUUGAUCCCAAGAACAUCAAGGAGGCUUUGACAGAUGAUUAGUGGAUAAAUGCUAUGCAAGAGGAAUUAGCUCAAUACAAGAGGAAUGAGGUUUGGAACUUAAUUCCUAGGCCUGAUGGGGUAAAUGUCAUAGGUACCAAGUGGAUUUUCAAGAACAAAUCUGAUGAGAAUGAUACUAUUACCAGAAAUAAGGCCAGAUUGGUAGCUCAGGGAUACACUCAGAUUGAAGGAGUGGACUUUGAUGAAACUUUUGCUCCAGUGGCUAGACUGGAAUCAAUCAGACUUUUGUUGGGAGUAGCAUGCCUAUUGAAGUUCAGACUGUUUCAAAUGGAUGUUAAAAGGGAUUUCUUGAAUGGGUAUCUGAAUGAAGAAGUGUACGUUGAACAACCAAAAGGUUACAUUGAUUCAACCUAUCCAGAACAUGUGUACAAGUUGAAGAAGGCUCUCUAUGGAUUGAAGCAAGCACCAAGGGCAUGGUAUGAAAGACUCACUGAAUUCUUGACAAAUAAUGGGUACAACAAAGGUGGAAUUGAUAAGACUUUAUUUGUGAAGAAUGUCAAAUGAAAGCUGAUGAUUGCUCAAAUAUAUGUUAAUGACAUUGUUUUUUGAGGGAUGUCAUACCACAUCGUAGAAAAUUUUGUCAAUCAAAUGAAGUUUGAGUUUGAGAUGAGCAUGGUUGGUGAACUGAACUACUUCUUAAGGCUACAAGUGAAGCCGAUGGAGGACUCAAUUUUUAUCUCUCAGAGCAAGUAUGCAAAAAAGUUAGUAAAAAAGUUUAGUCUUGAAAGCGCAGCACACAAAAGAACUCCUGCAUCAACUCAUAUCAAACUGACUAAAGAUGAGAGUGGAGCUGAUGUUGAUGAAAGCAUAUACAGAAGUAUGAUUGGCAGUCUGCUAUAUCUCACUACUAGUAGACCAGACAUUGCUUUUUCAGUUGGUGUGUGUGCUAGGUAUCAAGCUGCACCUAAGGAGAGUCAUCUCACUCAAGUAAAGAGGAUUAUAAAGUAUAUCAGUGGAACUAUUGACUACGGUAUCUUUUAUGCUCACAACACUAAUUCAAGUUUAAUAAGAUAUUGUGAUGCAGAUUGGGCAGGAAAUGCAGAUGAUAGAAAAAUCACUUCAAGAGGAUGUUUCUUUCUUGGGAAUAAUCUCAUAUAUUGGUUCAGCAAAAAGAAAAAUUUUGUUUCAUUAUCCACUGUUGAAGCUGAAUAUAUAGCUGCUGGAAGUGGAUGUACUCAACUAUUAUGGAUGAAGCAUAUGUUGAAAGAAUACAAUGUCGAACAAGAUGUCAUGACAUUGUACUGUGACAACAUGAGUGCUAUCAACAUUUCAAAAAAUCCAAUCCAACAUAGCAGAACCAAGCAUAUUGACAUUUGUCAUCACUUUAUUAGAGAUUUAGUUGAAGAGAAAAUAAUCAUUUUUGAGCAUGUGGAACCUGAGUUGUAGUUAGCAAAUAUUUUCAACAAGACAUUGGAUGUGGCUAAAUUUGAGAAUUUAAGAGGAAAAUUAGGGAUUUGCGUAAUAACUGACUUAUAGCAGUUAUUGACACAUGUCAAGGGCAACGACUAUAUUUCCUUCUAUUUAAUCUCCCUUGAUCGCUUGUUGGAAGUUAUCUAUUCUCAUUUCCUUGAUCGUGCAAAUUGAGAUUACUCUCUCUCGCUCAAAUCUCUAACCUCAAACGGUUAUCUUCAAACUUCUUUUAAUUUCUCCUACAUCAUGUCUCAAGAAUCAGGAAAGAAGAAUGUUGCUGGUCCCAAACCUGUCACAAAUGUUCAUGGUGUCAAGUUUCUUGGAAUGAAGUCUUCAUCGUCCACACCUUCUAGGGUGACUCGCUCCUCUGCUACAAUUGCAUCUCCAGAAUCUUCUGGACCUGCCAAGAGGGCAAGAAGUAUGAGAAUCAAGCAUGUUGCAACUAAGAAAGGAACUGGUAAAGCUUCUAAUGCUCAGAACAUUUCUGAUGACUCCGUGCCUGACAACAAUGUUGAUGUUGGUCAAGAAGACGAUGUUCCAAAUGUUGAAGUAAACAAAGUGACAAUGAUGUUCUGGAGACCCUUGCUGAUGCUGCAAUAGCACCAGAUGUUACACCACAUGUCGAGUCUCAAGAAAAACACGGUUCUGCCACUGGUUCUGAAGAGAGAUCUCGUCCUCUGUGGAGGUCACUCCAAAGAAGAAUCCUGAACCUUCUUCUAGAAAGGGAAAGGAAAAACAAACUGUUGUUCUAAUGAUGAGGAAUCUCAUGAGGUACUAAUCACAAAGGUUGUUGUUCCUGCUAGUGUUGUGAAGAAGGUUGCUGUCUCUGCAAGCAAGAAGAUUGCAGAUGGAAAGAAGAAAAAGAAGGAAGGGUCAUCUCUCAAGACCCCCAAGACGUCUAGAAGUUCUCAGGUCUAAGAGUGUGAGAAGAAGAAAAAGAAAGAAAAGAAGAAAGAGAAGGCUAAAGCCACUGCUGGAAGAAAAAGAAAGCAUGUCUCUGAAUCUGACUCUGACUCUGAGUCAGAUGUCGUGCCAGAUGUCCCAUACAUCUCAACCACUGCAAGGAAGAGAGUGAAAGGGAGGAGAAUUCCUACCAAUGUUCCUGAUGCUCUAGUGGAUAAUGUGUCGCUCCACUCUGCAAAUUUUGCACAGAGGUGGAAGUUUGUGGUUCAUAGGAGGCUGGCUGUUGAAAGAGAACUUCAUGAAGAUGCCUUGGAACUCAAGGAGAUUGUGGAUCUGUUGACUGAAGUUGGCUUGAUGAAGAUUGUCAAGGAUAUUGGCAGGUGUUUUGACCAAUUGGUCAGGGAGUUCAUUCUGAAUAUCCACACUGACUGUGAUGAUGAGGACAAUGCUGAGUACAAGAAGGACCACCCUUCUCAAGUAGGAAAAGCAACGUUACACAAAAUCAAAUUGCUACCAAAGUAGGAGACUCUCUAUUGCACUCUAUUUUAGCUAGAUAAUCUGAUAAUAAAUUUUCUUCUCUAUAGAUAUGAACUACUCCAACACAAUCAAGCCAUCCCACCCAACCUACAGCUAGCAAAAGAAUCACUUUUGACCAUAAUAUGUUUAUGAGAAAACUGUUUCCAAAAGAGUAGUGCUUUCAAGAUGACCUUCACUUCCACUUCGUAAGCCCAAAGGGCUCUCAAUAAAAGACAUUAAAGGCCAAGAAUUUUCCAAUCGUGAUUCCUCAGCCCUACUCACUCGCAUGGCCCAGCCUAUAUAAGGCCAAGAAUAGCCUUAUAACGGGCCAUGCGAGUGAGAGAGAGUGGUCGAAUGAUCAUCUAGGACUUGAUCUUGCACCGCUCAAAAUGCAUGCAAUAUGACAUAAAGCUUGGUUCUCUCUUCCAUGAAGCAUGAGAAAAUCGUAAACAUGUUAGUGAAUAGAGAAAUGAUGAGAACAUAGUUAUAUUGAAGGUAUGGUGAAGAGAAAUAGUAAAUAAUAUAGUGGGUUAAGGGUUUUGCUGGUGAAUAGUGAGAGCAGUGAUGGUGGUUGGUGAUUUAAAGAAAGAUUAGAUUUCUAACUCAAUUAAAUUUGAGAUAUCAAUUAACAAGAAUAUUUUUCAUUAAUUUCCUAUUUUUUAGAAAUUUACUUAUAUAAAAUAAUAAAAUGGAACUAUAAUGAAGUGUAAAUAAAUCAAUACUCAAUUUACAUUUUUUUUUUUUACAAAUACUCAAUUUGCUCACAAGUACAUUUAUGUUUUUUAUUUUUAGAAAAUAUGUUAAUAGCAAUGGUAAGUUUUGACCUUGAGCUAGACGUCGUUAUUGUUUUAUAAUUUAGGCAAUCGAACUAACUAUUAAGUUUCCUAUAUUUUUCUUUAAUUUCGAGAAAUUCAUCAGGACAAUCAUUAUUCUAAAUGUAAUUAUUGCAGUUGCAAAAAGAGGAUUUUCUCAUGUCUAUUAUUUUCUCAUAUAUGGUUUUUUUUUGUUACAAAUGGAACUACCUCAUAUAUGUUACUUCAACAUUAAAUAAUGCAAGUUCAAAAUAAAAACAUUAAAUAGUGCUAAAUUGUUUUAUAAAAAAUUGAAUUAAAUAAUGCUAAACAAAGACAAAAACACAAAUAAAUAAAAUAAUUGCACUUCUAUAAAAAAAAAAAAAAGCUUAUCAAAUUCAUGUGAUAAAAUAAAACGAAAAACCCAUAUGAAUUGCACAAGUCACAAUACUAGUGAGCAAUAAAGUAUAAAAGUAAAAAAAGGUAAAUUAUAAAUAAAAAAAACAUAAAAUAUAAAUUGAAUUUUUUUCUAUCAAAAACAUUCAUUUCCAUCUGCUGAAAUCUUCCAUGCCUUUUUUUUUGAAUUAAUAAUAAAAACAGAUAAACAUAUAUGGUGUUCAAGAGUAGCAAAGAAAAUAAAGAAACCUCAAAAUUAAAGGUAUAUCCAAAAACAUAUAGCGCAUAUCCAUCAACGAAGCCUAUCCGACAUAUUCGACAGUUCACUCAGCUUAUAUUCCGAAAGACUCAGUCUCAGGCACCAUUCUAUCAAUAAGCUUAGCAUACUUAUUUUCUUUCUUUCUAAAUUUCUUUAGAUACUUCUCAUGAUAUUUAGUUGCUACUUUGAUAGUUUCUUCAUUCCUCCUCAAGUCAGACUUCAAUUCUUCAAUCUGGGUCCAGAUUGCUCUAGUUUCUGGAGGUAGAUUCUUCUGGUUCACACAAGGGAAACAUAUAAAUGGAUCCCUAAAAAUUAAAUGAUUAGUGAGUUUUGAAUGAAAGAAAAAAUCAGUGACAAAAAUCACACAUAGGUAAAUAUGAAGGUUAAAAGAAACAAAACAAUCACAGAAAUUCUAAUAUGUCAUACAUGGCAGUUUUUAUAACAUUAUUUACAAUAUAUAUUUCAAAUAACUGAUGAAGUUAAUAAAAUUCCGACCAAUAACAGGGAGAAUCUUGUCAUAUGUCCGAGGGAGGGUAUAAUGAGAUAUACAAGACUUUCAUCUUAUAAUAAAACGUAUUGAAAAUAGGGUGUUGUAAUCGAGAGGGUUUUAAGAACACCGUUGUUACUUUUUAUUCUUCCAAUAUGUUUCAUCAUAUAUCUCUUCUUUUUCAUCACUGACGUUUAUAUGGAGUAAAUCAAGAGUAACAACAAUGACCGGUAAACUUAGAGAAAAAUAAUGAACAGAAGACAUUAUUUCUCUCAAAAGAGGAAUUUCAAAGAUGACCAUUUUUCCCUUCCAAAUUUUAAUUUGGUUUAAGAAUUUGGGUGUGGGUAUUAGACUUAGGGAGGCCGAACUCAACCCAAAAGUCCGAGGGAGGGUAUAAUGAGAUAUACAAGACUUUCAUCUUAUAAUAAAACGUAUUGAAAAUAGGGUGUUGUAAUCGAGAGGGUUUUAAGAACACCGUUGUUACUUUUUAUUCUUCCAAUAUGUUUCAUCAUAUAUCUCUUCUUUUUCAUCACUGACGUUUAUAUGGAGUAAAUCAAGAGUAACAACAAUGACCGGUAAACUUAGAGAAAAAUAAUGAACAGAAGACAUUAUUUCUCUCAAAAGAGGAAUUUCAAAGAUGACCAUUUUUCCCUUCCAAAUUUUAAUUUGGUUUAAGAAUUUGGGUGUGGGUAUUAGACUUAGGGAGGCCGAACUCAACCCAAAAGUUAGCUCAAGAGUUGAGGUUGUUCUACCCUUUAUAAGCACUUAUUUGGCCACAUCUCUAGCCAAUGUGGGACUUCUAACACACCCCCUCACGCCUAGGGCUGAAUAUCUGAAGCUUGGAAUUAACAUAAACGGGUGGCCCAAAUAUGGGAGGUCUCCACAACAAAUGGAUCUAGGAUAGGCUCUGAUACCAUAUUAGAAUUAAUGAAUCUAGUAUGGUAUAAUAUGUGGAGAAAAUGAGGUUAUCUUCUAUUUCAUUCACGGCAGCGGCGCAAGGACACAUGUUUUCCCUGGCGCACCGCAUAGAGAUCGCACCCUAAAGGGUUUCAACGAGUAUGAGCUCACCUACUACUCUCUCACUCACAACAACACUCUUUCUCUCAAUGGUCUGUCUUCUUUUCUCCAUUUCUAUAUGGCAAUGACAAUGUCUUCUUUUCUUUUUUCUAAAGGGAAGUUAAUUUACGCUUGAGUGUUAGAAUAUGCAAAAGAUAUCUCAUAAUAUCUCUAUCAUAUCAUUAGAGUAGCUUAUAAUAUCUUGGUCUUAGCUUAGAGUAAUUAAGGCAGUUUAGAUUAUUUCGUAGAUUGAUGGGCUUUUACUUAUUUAAUUAGGAUUAAGAGUAUUAAUAAGUUUCCUAAUUUAACAAAAAUCAAAAGUCUACUCAUUACUAUAAAUAUGGGUAAGUAGUUUAUCUUUUAAUAAAGCAGUUGUUCAUAAUGUAAACCCUAGCGGACUUUCACUUCCACUUCCCUUCUCUCUUCUUUUCUCCCUCAUUCCUUUGCAUUGUUUCUCUGAACAUGGUAUCAGAGCAUCUAUGAUCAAGUGGUCUAGAGUGCGACCUUUGCCUUUUUCAGCACAUGCUAUGUGGGCAUAUGCAUUGUCCACGCUUCACGCCCAAGUGGGCUCUUACGUGAAGAGAUGUGUUUGAAAUAUAAUAAAAAAUUAUGCAAAGUUAUUCACCCAAUAGCUUAAACUUUUUGGAUAAUUGGUUCCUAACAAUACCAAAAAGUAGUAAAAAAGAGUUGUCUAAAAGACCCUAAACAAAUUUGGUAACAAUCACCCUAAGUUCUAGGUGGACCAAUGAUAUUUAAGAUAUGUGGACCACCUAGGAUUACCAAUGGUCAUUUGACAAGCCCUAAUAAAAAGAAAACAGAGCCGAGUGAAUAUUGAAGAUGAAACAGAGCGAGAAAGAGAGAAUAUAAAUACCCAAAACCAAGUGAGUGAAUUCCAUUUUCCCUUAUAAUACCACCAUCUAACGAAACAGCACCAUCCUCUAUAGAAGCACGGGCAGCUUCCAUGCUCUUUUUUGUAUUGUAAACUUGAAGCUUCUUGAAAAGGCUAAACAGCACUGUCUCCCGAAGCCCAUGACCUGAAGCUGUCCUCGUCUGCAAGUGAUUGAUGUCGAGGUCAACCAUAUUAACUGCAUAGCCCAUGAAGCCUGGUGGAGUACUCCCAUUUGGUAACCUAGGAUUAGGCAACGCUAGCUUUCUCUGAGAGUCAUUUUCUUGCAAAUACCGCGUGUAAGGCCUGUCAAACCAAUGCAUGCACAUCUCAAGGAACUAAAAAGCAGCAAGCCACAAGGCCUUAUCAUAAAUAUUUGAUAAAAAUAUAUGAAAACUUAAUCAUAUAACAAUUAAAAUUACUGUCAUGGCUCAUUAAGCACCCUAUUACCUUAAUUCUUCAAAGCAUAUAACAAGGAAACGCUUGCUUAUAGCUCUUCCAAGAUCAGCUGCUUGAGCAUGCAAAGCUUGCUCAGAAUCGAUUUCGCCAUUUUGAAUAUGGUUCUGAAGAGAAGUUGCAGUGUCAAAAGAUCUACAGAUAACACCUAGCAUUCUAUCUUCACCAAGAUACUCUGCCAACAUUCUGCACAUAAAAGAUAUAAAUUCAGAAGUAAAAUAGAGCCGAAAUGCAAGAAAUUUCUGUUUCAUCUUUUAUCUUUUCUUUGGGAAGUAAAAGGGGGGUGGGGAUUAUACAAACCUACUAAGCUGAGGUCUCUGAACGGUACCCAGGAGGGCAACGACCCCAAUAAUAUCUUCCAUAAAAGGUUGCUUUUCUUGGGUAGAAAGAUCACAAAACACAGAAGAUGCCCAGUUUUCCACGCGUUUAAUUCUGGUCACAACUUCAUCUUUCGUAAACAAAGAGUCCAUAUUGCCCACUUGGUAAUGUUGAACCAUCUCUGUGAAAAAUUAAAACAGACAUAAAUCAAAUCAUUUCUGUCAAACAACCACAUAUCCCAAAAGGGGUAAGGGCCACAUCAAUGGUUUUAUAUUAUAUUCUAAUACGCCCCCUCACGCAAGAGCCAUUUGGGCUUGAAGCGUGGACGAAUGCACAGGCCCACCUACCAUGUGCUUAAAUUCCACUUUUUAAUUAGAACGUGAGGGGAGCAAAGAUCGAGCUCUAGACCGUUAAGUUAUAGAGGUUCUGAUACCAUGUCAAAUAACCACUUAUCCCAAAAGCUUAAGUUGUUGGGUAAGGUCCACAUCGAUGGUUUUAUAUUAAAUUCUAACAAUUUAUUUAUUUUGAUCAAUUUUUAGUUUAAGGCGUUAACAGGAAAAAACUAGCAUUCAUAAAUGCACAGUGGCAUCAACAGAUAUAACUCAAGACAUCAAGUGCCAAAAUUUCAUCCAAUAAACAUUAUAUUAAAUACUCUAUGCCCUAUCUAGCUUUAAUAACAACAGCUAAAAAUAGAGAGAGAAAAGAACCCAGUAGUUUGAACAUCUCUUGCUCAGCUUCGGCCUUUCCUUCAUUAUAAAGAUUAAGACGCUUUUCAAGUUUAGCAAUUUUCUCACCCAAUCUGAUGAGUUCACCAAGUUUCUGCAAACAACAUGCACAUGAAGACAGACGUUUUGAAGAAAAGAAUUUAUUGAAAGAGACUAAAAAGCGUAAACAAAUAGUUUUCUGUAACCAAACAAUGACUAUGUAAGAUGUAUAAAAACAACCGCAAAACUUUCAUACUUCACCUAAACAUAAACCCAAUCUCACACUAUCACCUAAACAUUUCAGGAGAUAGUCCAUGACUGACACUAUUCAACAAGUUCAGUGUAUCAUGAAUUACUACAAUUCAUGAUAAAAAAACACAAAGGACAUUCUUUAUUCACAGAUUAAACACUCAUAUCAAAGAACAAAGCAGAAUUCAACUUUGAUACCUUGUCAUCAUUAUCAUUAUUUACAACGGAAAGCAUUAAGUUACAUUCUUGGUUAAGUACUGGAUCAUCUUGCAGGAAUAUGAUACUCUUAUUGGGGGUUGGAGGUAGAUCGAACUUCUUGUUUGGUGUUUUAAAAACAGGAACCUGCACACAAAUCUUAACAAUUAUUAUUCGAAGCGAGGCCAAAAAUAGGUAAAGACAUAAAUGAUAUAACCUGAACAAUUAGACAGAGCUCUGAAUAUUGCGAAUGAGCAGCUUCAAAGCAAAAAAUCCCAUCGUUCACUGGAAUACGGAUUAAAGGGACAGUACAGCGUCCAUGCAUAAAAGUGUAGCGAACAGAUUCCUCUGCAUUUAACAAGUCCGACUUAAUUGUAAGCAUAUGAAACUGGCCAUCUUUAUCGCUGUGAUGAAUCUUUCUAUCUACUUCUCCAUCAGGAUUGACAAUUUCAAAAUCAAUGUUUUCCAAGUGACCACCAGCAGCACAAAAAUCAGGCACCUGAAUUCAUGUAAUAACCAUUGAAACAAACGGGAAAAAAAGCUAUUUACACUUUUACAAAGGUGAUGAAAAACCAACCCCUGAUGCAAUUCUCAAAAUCCUUCUCACAGUUGAAAAAUCCUGCUUGACCAUUGUUUUAUUUUCAAACGUAAUACAUAUGGACACUGCACCAUGAAGCAAACAAAUUAGACCAUGAGGUGGAAAUAAGAAAAAUCGAAAACAUUAAAACAACAUAGUGAAUCUGCAUAAAAUAGUUGUCAAGACAUGUCUUCACAGCUUUCAAAAAAGAAAACAACUUACAACAAUGUAGAAGAUUUAAAAGUUAGAGGGAAUAAUGAAAGUUACUAAGGGCAGCCAAUUAAGACCAGUAGCUUAGCUGAUAUCAAAACUAAAUACUACGUACCAUUUUCUCCAUAACCUGCUGUCAAUUUCAGUAGACCACUAAGAUUAAUUCUUCCUUCUUCAUCCACCUGUAUAUAAGAAUUUUGAUAGACCAAUUAUAUCUCAUAAGAUUAAAUCUAAGGGUUCCCAAGUCCCAACUAAGCUCGGUUACCAAAACAGUUAACAUAGUUCUGACAGAGUCCUAACAGUGUAAAAUAAUUAAAUAAAAAGAAGGAAAAAGGAUAAUCAGCGUCAUUAUAUUGAUACGAUGAUAUAAACAUAUAUACAUGUUUAUCACAGUACACCAUAGUUGGUACAAAAGCAUUACCUGGUGCACUGUACCUAAAUGAUUCAGUAGGAUGAAUCCAGUCAGAGUAAUAGUAACCUCCAAUCCUUUAGGAACAUGGUUUCCAUAACUAUCAAACAUCUGAAUGAUACACAUCAAUAUGUCAGCUAGAAAUUACCAUUAAUGCAAUUCCGAAUAAUACAUAAAAAUUACAAUAACUAAAAGCUUCUGAUUAACUCUUCAAGGAGAUUAAAAAUAAAUAAACAACCAAUUUUAUACAAAAAAAAACGUAUGAACUCAAGGUCCACUUGAUUGUUUGCAUGGUAUGAACUCAAGAUCCCCUUGAACAAGCGCUUAUUCCAUAAGCUAUGAGUCCAACUUUAAUAGUAAGCCAUCAAAACCAUUUGUUGGGUUGCCUUAUUGACUUUUUACAGUAGAAUAAUCACUAUUAAUGGCUGUGAUGACUUACUGGACCAUCUAAAGUAAACUAUCUUACUUUAGAGGAGCUAAAUCCAAACAUGUUAAAUAUAUAGAAAUUCAGAUACCAAUCAAAAAGAUACACUAUGAAACUCUUAACACAAGAUUUCAAUAUUGUUGUCUAUAGAUUGCUGUCACAUAGAUUCCAGAGGGUUUAGUUUUUAGUAGCUGUCACGGCAGCUAUAGAAAAAGAAAAUGUAGCGGUGUGGCAUCUGAUGGGACUUGUGAAAACUAAGAAAUUCCCCUCAACUGAUAAUGUUAGGCUUUUUUUACUUUAGAAUUAAUCCAAAAAAGGCCCUGUUUGAGAAAACCCUCACUCCUUUGUGCUUUUCAUCCUUUCGCCAUCCAAGUAGACCGACCAAUCGGGCGACCAAACUGUUGACCUGCUAAGGCUUUCAUCAGCUCAUACUCCAACAUGAAAGUGCUGAAUGUCUGCCUGCUGUCUUAGCUCUUGAUCUUGAAACAAAUGUUUACAAGUUGCAACUUAAGAAUCACCCUAUCUCCAGCCACUAGAUCAAGUGGUUUUUGCUGCAUAUUGCUUGUUUGCUUCAUCUACUCACCAUGAAAAGCAAUACUGUUUCGUAGAACCAAACAUAUGAUGAGCCCAAAAGAUCUUUUGUGAUAGAAAUAGUGGUCUCAGCACUGAAAAUCAACACUAUUUCAUGAGACCCAAGUUUUAAAGGAUACAUCGAAUGAUGCCUCAAGAUCUGUUCUUGCCUCAUUGUACAGGUCCAAGUCUUGGCGGGGCUUCGUGACAUUUUACCUUGGUUAUACUUUGUUUGUUUGAGGUGAUUUUAGAUGGAGAGAGGUUUCUAACAUUGUUAGGUAGAAGAGAGUGAUAGCGGGAAGAGAGAAAUAAUAUGUGGGACCCACCAACUUUUUGGGGUCUCUCUAAUUUGAAAAGUGCAGAAGAGAGUAAGUUUUUUUACACACUUUCCCAUUUUAUCCCUCCAUUAAUAUCAUAUUUAUUUAUAAAUGUUUAUUUAUUCAAGGUAAAAAUAUCAUUUCUUAAAAAAGUAUAAUCUCUUCUUCCAUUCUCUACCCAACCAAACAAAAAAAACGAAGACACGCCUCAUUCUUUCUCUUGUCUUUCAAUCAUACCAAACAACUACAAAAUCCUAUUUAAUGCACCUUGACAGUUGAGCGAAGCACCCAUCCAAGAAUAAGUAAAACCGGAGAAAUUAGAUAAUGCCAAAAUAUAUAACAUUCAACAUUAUAACAUUCAACAUUUAUACACAUUCUAAAAUACCUCCAACAUAAACUCUUCAAAAAUGUAACCUGGUACUAGUUGAUCUUCAGUUAUUUUUGGCUUCAGUUCAACAAGUUUAAGAACACCUGGAUAAACUGAAUAUGAAACAUAAAACAAAGAUGAGCAAACCAGAAAACAAACUCAUUUCCUGAUGAAGAAGAAGUCAACAUCAAUAAUGAGCACCUCGACAUGGAACUGAAAGCACAAAUGGGAUACUUUUUGAUUCAAUAAACAAAGAAGUUCUGUAGCUUGGCCGUAUCUUGUCAAGUUCAUUACUUAUGACCAUUGCAUCCUAUGACAUGUACCAAAACAAUUCAAUAGGCGUUUUCUUUCAAGCUAUAAGAAAAAAGAAUUACAUAACUAGCAUACCUCAAUUUUUAAAGUCAGUUUGUCAGAAGUAAUCGUAUUUUUCAUUCCACAAACAUCAAAGUGCAAGUUAUUAGCUGUCUUAAUUUUGAUUGUUACAUCCGAAAUUGAUUGAAAAGGUACUCGUUUAUCUUGGCUGUCAUAACCUGCAAUGGCUAAGGUUGGAAAAGGAGAACCAACCCUGUCCAGAAAUUAUAAUCAAUUCAACAAGGGCAUAUUAAUGUAAACAUAUGAUAGAUCAGAAGUUUAACAGUACAUGUGCAGGAAUGUAAAAUUACAGAAUAUAUUAGAAUAAGGAAAACAGCUAUGUCUGAACUAGUACAUCACUGGAAAAAACUAUAAAAGUUUUGCUGUGAAAAGACGUUAUCUAAAGUGAUCGUACCUCACAUCUAUUCGGUCACCAGUUUGAAGGCUAAACUUCACAGCAGCAAGAGAAGGCUUCACAAUCACGUUUCUCUCAUAACUUUGACAAUUUGAAUCAAUCUAGUAGACAAAUUACCAAGAAAACUUAAUGCAUGACGCUUCCAAAAAAAAAAGAGCAGAAGAGAAAAUCAGUUUGUGCUGCUAGACAACAGAACAUAGGAAUAAAUGAAAAUCAGCCCUGCAAAACAUAUUAGGCAAUUUGCAUGUAUAGAUAGAAAGAAAAGUCAACCACUAAAGGUAUGUUUGGGGGUAUUCGUUCAUUCAUCCCAGAGCAAACGGAUAAUAGCACACAUUUCAUGGUAAAUGUUUUUAUUGAUUUACCUAGUGACCAGAAUUUUUUAUUGAUUAAGAUAAAAGUAUAUUAGGGUAACGUGGAGAAGCUUGUGGAAAUCGGUUAAGGUGGUAUGGACAUAUACAAAGAAGACCUUUGGAGGCACCGGUGAGAAGGGUUGAUAACAUGGUAUUUAGUCCUGUGAAGAGAGGUAGAGGGAGGCCAAAAAGAACUUUGGGAAAUAUUGUUAAAAAUAAACUACUCCCUCCGUUCCUAAUUAUAAGCCCUAAUACAAAAAAUUGCGCUUAUUAAGAAAGCAUUAAAUGUGUCAUUUUCUCUCACUAAUUAAUGCUAGGUGAUAAUUAAAAGUUAAAACUUUGGAAUUGAAAACACACAAUUAAUGUGAGGGUUAUAAAUGGAAGAGUAGAAUACUUUUUGCUAGAUUAUUGUAGAAGGUCUUAUAUUUUGGAACAUGAAAAAUCUAAAACUAGGUCUUAUAAUUAGGAACGGAGGGAGUAACUAUCAAUAAUAUCUCUUAUACACUGGUUUUUAUGGAGUUCAAUGGUGUAGUGUGAUUCAUAUAGCCGACCUUAUUAAGUGGGACAAGGUUUUUUGUUGUGGUUAAAUAAGAUGAAAGUUUGUUAAUGUUGCACUCAACUGGUAUCCAAACAUACUAAACAAUUAACAUUUUUAUGAUAAUACCAAAUUUCAUUUAAUUUUUUGUACAUAUAGAAAUACCAAAUUUGAAAUAACAUCUCAGCCUACUUUUAACAAAAAUUUUGUAGCCACUUUAGCAUGUAAAUGGUUUUGCAGUAGGAAGUCUGAUGAACAUUGACCUCCAAUUAGGAAGGUUUAUGAGAGGAGAAAUAGGAGAAAGGCUAUAGCCUAGUUAAAUAGGGAUAACUAAAAUUGUAGGCAGUUAUUGCCAGCUGGAUCAGUUAGUUAGUUCAGUUACUGUUAAGUCAGUUGGGGAAGGGUAUAAAUAAAGGGAAAGGAGAAGUUAGAGUCAGUUAGAUAUUCAGUUGGAAAUAGGAGAGACUGGACUCUCGAAUAUUCCAGAGGGAAACUAGGGUUCUUCAUUCACCAUUAUUGUACUCUGAGCUUUGAUUCUCAGUUUCUGUGAAUCACAGUUCCAAUUCCAUCAAUAAAAUCUCAGUUCUUGUUCUUGAGUUCAUCAAAGUCUCAUAAACACUACAGGAUCAAUGCAAAAAGAGUAGCUUGAGAGUUUAAAAUUCUAGCAAUUUUAGAAGGUCAAUUUAGCUUCCAUAUAAAAAAGUCACUUCUCAAGGAAUGUGUUAACAUUCUGAAGGAAGGACCUAAAGAAAAAAAUGUAUUAGAGGAUGAGCAAAAAAGGUAUGUUGCUAGCUAUAUUCUUAGCUGGUAUAAUGCAAGCAAAGAGACAUUUCUACGACAGAAUUGCAGUUGCGGUUAGUGAUUUCUUUUGCAUACAGCAUACCCAACAUAACCCUUCACAAUGUUAUGGUAACAUAAACAUGUCCUUUAUAGAAAGAUGUUAAGUUUCUCAAAAUAUCCAUCUGAAAAUUGUUUAAUUUUUCUUAAAUUUUCCCUUUGUUGAGUCCAGAUUAUAUUCAAGUUAGUUGUGAAAAAUUUAUAUAAUGAAGUCAAUAUCAGCAGUGGCAUAAAUGUUAAAUAAAAAAUGUGCCUGCAUUACAGCUAAAACCAACACAGAUUCAGCGAUUUCUUGUUUUUACAGCAAGAUUAAAGACCUACCGUCAGCGGACAUAUAAACAGGAUCACAUAAAAAUAUAUAGUUUAACAGCUUAACUAAAGGAAUAUAGGCCAGAUCAGUUAUGAGCUCAAGAAACCUCUUUGACAAAAAGAAACAUGAAAAGCUAUAUAUGUGCAAUACAGGUGUUGAUUAAGAAGAACAUUUGUAAUCGAAUUUUUCGUAAACCAGUACAGUUCAAGAAUUGUAAUCAGUAUUUUUUUUGUAAAUUUGGCGAAUAAAUUAAAAACUAUGCAAAUGCCAAAACAAUUUACAGGAGAGAAGAAUGGAAAAAAAUAAUACUAAGCCCAAAAACUACAGAAUCUUUGUAAUGGUUUGAACACAGCAAAUCAAUCAAAGCAGGAGAUUUCUGCUGUUUCUUAUUAACUUGAUUAUCCCAUUUAGUACUUUUGACAGCUACGACUUGAUUAGAAAUCAUAUAUCUUUCCAACUGCAUAAUAUAAAAUUUAGGAUAUACAGCCAUUUUCUGAAAGCUUAAAUAAAUGAUUAGAAGAUUGUAAUUUUGAAGAAUAUAGUGAAAGAAACUUUCUAUCAGCAGAAUGGGAAGAAAUAAAUAUACCAACCCCAUCAACCUCCGAAUCUUGGUAAUGGUCUGAACCCAGCAAAUCAAUCGAAGCAGGAGAUUUCUGUUGUUUCCUAUUAACUCGAUUAUCCCAUUUAGUACUUUCGACAGCUACGAGCUGCUUAGAAAUCAUACGUCCUACCAACUGCAUAGUAAAAAAUUUAGGAUAUACAGUUAUUAUCUUAGAGUUUAAAUAAAUGAUUUGAAGAUUGUGCAAAAAAACGAUUGUUUGAAGAAUAUAGUGAAAGAUAAAUUCUAUCAGCAGAAUGGGACAAAAUAAUAAUACUAACCCCAUCAACCUCUGAAUCGUGGUAAUGGUCUGAACCCAGCAAGUCAAUCAAAGCAGGAGAUUUCUGUUGUUUCUUCUUAAGACGAUUUUCCCAUUCAAUACUUGCAACAGCUACGAGCUGUAACACGUUAAAAUGCUUAGAUAGCACAUAUCCUUCCAACUCCAUAAAACAAACUUCAGUAAAAAAAAAUUGUAGAUUGUGCAAUAAAGCAAUUAACAUUUUGAAGAAUUUAUAUAAAGGGAAAUAUAAUUUCUAUUCAAAUGAAAUUAUAAAAAAAAUUGAGAAACCAGAGAGAAAACUGAGAAGAAUUUUAUUGAUUCUCUCUGAAUCUGAAGAAGAAACAGAGGAAACUCACAAGCUCACAGAACAAGUCACUGGUUAUUUGAGACCGGUCUCUCCACAACUCUCAACAACCCAAAACUGACUCUAACUACCCUGCUAAUCAACCUUUAUAGUAGGUGGUUAACAGUUACAAUUUGCAAACAGAAUAUUACGCCUCCCUGGAGUUAGUUACAGAGUUAUUAUUCCCUGCUACUCCUCUCUCCCUCCUAACAUAGACCUUCCUACAAAGUAGUUUGGGUCCAAAAUGACUUGAAACUCUUGAUGAGACGAAGCAUAGUCUCUGCUGCUCCUCCUCUCUCCUCCGCUGCUUUCCUCACCGGUGCGGCUUGAAGAGGCGAAGCAUAGUUGCCGGCUCGCCGCUGCUCCUCCUCUCUCCCAUGUUGGAUGUUGGUUCUUCUUGUUUUCUUUGGUGGUGACUGCAAACAAGGCUGUGUUGUUCAAUUUUAGUCACCAUCCCCUCCAAAAGUCUAUCCUUUCCUUCUUCUUCCCUUGUUCACUUGUUACCCGUGAAAACCGACCAGUCCAACCCGUCCACCAACCCAACCCGCACCCGAGUUCCGAUUCUUGAUUCGGUCGAAAAUGGGUUAAGAUAUCCUUGAUUUAAAACCGUCCAAACCCGACAAGUCUGACCCGAACCCGCCCGAUGCUCAGCCCUAGUCCUUAUGAUGAAAUGGCUGCCAAAAAGAUCACGUCACCACCUCUGAAUAGCCCUUACCACAGCCAUCAAUUCCCUUUCAUAAACAGAUUUCCUCUGCCCUUGAUCAGAUAUGAUGGAACUCCAAAAUGCCAAGGGCCUUCACACCUGUAAAAGGACGACCCCAGUCUCUCAAUAACAAAAGUUAUUGAAAAUCAGGGACUGCCAAAGCUGGCAGGUCAAUCAUGGCAUGCUUGAGCUGGUCAAAAGCUAGUCGUGCCUCCUUACUCCACACAAAACUAUUCUUUUUCAGUAGCAAAGUCAGGGGUCUAGCAAUCUUCCCAUAUCCUUUCACAAACCUUCUAUAGUAGCCUGUGAGCCCCAAAAAUCCCCUUAACCCCUUGACAUCCUCAUGGGGCAGUUGCUGCCCCAUGAGAAAUAAUCCAAAUACUCUAAUUUCAAUUGGCCAAACAAACACUAAUAUUAUGGCCCAAAUACUCUAAUUUCAAUUUCAACCCAUUCUGAAACAGUAGUUCAAAGAUCUACCUCAAUUGAAUAAUGUGGUCUUCCAGAUACAAACUAUACACCAAAAUGUCAUAAAAAAAAAGACCAAAACAAAUUUCCUCAGUUGGGGCUUCAAAACCUCAUUCAUCAAAGCUUGAAAAGUGGAUGGGGCAAUAGUGAGCCCAAAAGGCAUCACUAAAAAUUCAGUGGCCUUCAUGGGUCCUAAAAGCUGUUUUUUCUAUGUCACAAGCGGUUUUUAGCCUCCCCCAAUUUAUAAAGCAACUCAUCAAUUAUAAGGAUGGGGAAUUUAUUGGGUAUGGUAAUCUUGUGAAAAGCCCGGUAGUCAAUGCAAAAUCUCCAGCUACCAUCCUUCUUUUUAACUAAGAUAACUAGACUAGAAAAUUGGCUAAUGCUAGGUCUGAAUAUUCCAACAUCUAACAUUUCCUUGACUAACUUCUCUAUUUCAGAUUUUUGGUAGUGGGGACACCGGUAUGGCCUGAUAUUUGGAAUUGCAGCUCCCUCUUGCAAGUGAAUGGCAUGAUCCUGCACUCUACUGGGAGGUAAAUCCCAUAUGGUAGAGAAUAACUCAGAGUAAUCCCCCAUCAACCCUUGCAACUGCUCAGGUACAGCUACCAACUCUUCUUGUACCUCAGCCAGAUGCUGAAAUUCCACCCAAAACCCCUCAGCCUGUUGCUGCAGAGCCUUAACCAAGGAAGAUAAAGAAGCAUUCUUCCUAAUGAGACCAAGUUCACCUCUCAGCAACACCUUCUCCCCCACAUGAAAUCUCAGACUCAGCUCCUCAAAAUUUGCUCUAAUGUGCCCCAAACUUGCAAACCAUUACAAACCUAGAACCACAUCUAGUCCCCCCAAAUUAAACAGAAAAAACUCUUGUUCAAUUGGGAUGUGUUGAAUACUUAAUUGAACAUCCCUGCACUUCCCUUGACAUUCCACCUUAUGUCCAUCUUCAAGCUCUACCAUAUAAGGAGUUUCCACCACUGGAAAAUGCGCAGAAGACAUUAAUUCUUGAGAAAUGAAAUUGUGUGAAACACCACAAUCCACCAGAACAAUCACUCUCAGUUGUCCCAAUUCCCCCCAAACUUUCAAGGACCUUCUAGAGGUAAACUCGGCUAUGCUCUUGAGAGACAAUUGGAACAUUUGGGCUUCUUAUUUGUCGACUUGGAAAAUACGCUUUUUCCAACUCCUCAACCUCCUCUUCUGCCCGCCGCAAUGGCGCGCUAUUGACAACCCUGCUCCAAACUCUUCUUGACCAUAGAAAUUCGAUACCACAUCUCCUGCAUGGAGCUCUGAUACCAAUUGAUAAACCAGAGAGAAAACUGAGAAGAAUUUUAUUGAUUCUCUCGGAACCUGAAGAAGAAACAGAGGAAACUGACAAGCUUACAGAACAAGCCACUGGUUAUUCGAGAGACCAGUCUCUCCACAACUCUCAACAACCCAAAACUGACGCUAUCUACCCUACUAAUCAACCUUUAUAGUAGGUAGUUAACAGUUACAAUUUGCUAACAGAAUAUUAACCCUCUCUAGAGAGUUAUUAUUCCCUGCUACUCCCUCUCCCUCCUAACACAGACCUUCCUACUAAGUAGAUUGGGUCCACGAUGACUUGAAACUCCUGCUUCUCCUUCAGGUCCACAAUGACUUGAAACUCCCUAAGCCUCAGGUCCACGAUGACUUGAAACUCCUGCUACUCCUCUCUUCCUCCUAACAUAGACCUUCCUAAUUAAAGGUCUACUUAUCAAAAGUGCAUUCAAUUUUAAAAAUCAAUUAUAAUAUUUUUAAUGUGUUAAUUUUAAUUUGAGAUGCACAAAAUAAGAAUAUAUAUAUAUAUAUAUAUAUUUCUGACUAUUUUCAAAAGGUAAUUUAAGUAACUUCGUGAAAUAAACUGCAAUUAUCCUUUAAAAUCAAAAGAUAAUUUAUAUAAAAUCUCUAAACAAAAUCAACUUUUUCUCACAACUUUAGAAUCACUUUUCAUUUAAAUUUUCACAUACAACUAAAAAAAUUCUAUUGUUCCCUGAAUCUAAUCAAAAUAGUUUCCCAAUUUCUUUUUUCAUAUUCAGACUUACUUAUAAUCUUAAACAGAUUAAAAAAGAUUAAAAAAACAUUUUUUUUCAAAAUAAAAGUAUCUUUUGUUGAUAAAAAACACGAAACAAUCAGACUCAUAGUUACGACCUUUCCAGAGUCGAUCACGCCGAUAGGUAUAGACAUAGAACCACGAAUUUCCAAACUUGCAUUUUCAUCAGUGACUGAGAGGAGACAUCCAUUUUUGUCUGGAAUAUCCAUUGACCUUUAAAAUCAAACAAGAAGCAGUGAUAAUUCUGGAGGUGCAACAAUUUUAGAGAAAACACUGGCUUAGAGAAGGUUUUGCAAAAAUGUGUACAACUAACCUGCAUAUGAUUCGGGAGUCUCCUAUUAACAAAACGAAAAUAAAAGUGGUCAGCUUUAAUCAUGUUAUCAUAACAUAAUUUCAAAUGUGAAGUUAAUAUCUUGGUUACAGCAUAUUAUUUUUUAUUUAUAUAGUUAAUAUAGUUCAGUUGAAAGGGAAUAAAGUGUUUAGCUUUUUGUUGCUUCUUCUUUAAUUUUAGUACAAUAGGACCAGUCCGCAGUUUAAAAUUAAACCACAGUAAUUGGAUGUAAUUAUAUUUCAAAGUAUGAACUAAACGACAUAAUUUCAGUUUCGCUACUUUUAGGUUUUAGAAUUUAAUAGUUAUAUAAACAAAUUUUAGACAAACUUCCAAUCAAAUUCCAUAACUUUACAUUCUUGGGUUAUUUUUAAUUUUAAUAUAAUUAUAAAAUGUAAAGAGGGUGAAAGAAGAAUGGACGUCCAUGUAAAACUUGUGCAGUUAUUAAAUUCUUUUUUUUAAUAGACAUAUAAACAUUACAGUUAAACAUUAAAAAUUAAAAUCAACCGACAAUUACAAAGACAGACAACUGAUGGGGAACUCGCCGCUGUCUGUUCGGAUAAAUCUCUAUCAAGAGUAAAAUUACAUGAGUUUGAAUUUCUGUUAGUUUUCAUGUACUUUCAACAAAGGUUUUAGGAGAUUGUAACGGAAAUUCAAACACAAAGUAAAAGUAACACAAUUAUUUGUAUGCAUAUAAAAUCAAUUCUAAUGUAGAUGGAAUUGGGUUUCAAAAACAAAAUGUAGAUGGAAUUGACUCUACAACUAAUAGUUGAAACUUUUACAUUUUCCGUUGACAAAAACAAUUUUAGAUAAGCAACCCACAAGAAAUAUCUACCUCAACACCUUAAAAGAGACUACAGUUGUUUAAACUUUAAAAUAUCAUAACAAAAGACAUCAAUUUUAUUAAACUUACUUGAUUUGAAAUUAAUUCUUUCGACAUCAAUUCUUUCAAAAUCAAUUCUACGAAAACCAUAGGCAAACAGACCCUAGGUAGGUUUCAGUGUUUCGUUGUUCAAAAUGAAAAGGGAGAUAAUAAAUUAGCAUAUCUUUCUUAUUUGACUACAAACCUACAAUAUUUAAAAUUUAUUCCAUGUUGAACAUUAAAGAUCAACAGAAGAUGAUGAGUUUGAUUAUUAUGUAAAAAUACUUUUUUACAUGACUCCUGAAAUAUAGGAUUUAAAUUUUAUUCCGUGCUUAUUGUUGAAGAUAAAUUCAAACGAUGAAAUAAACAAAUCUCACAUAAAAAAUGCAUUACAGUAUUCCACCAAUAAGACACUGUUUAAUCCCAUGACUUUUGCCAACCAUGUUUUUUUAAUGCCACAAUCAUGUUAACUUUCAGUGUAAUAUGGUACAUCGACUAAGAUUCUGACCCGUAAUUGUUCCUUUAGCAUAUGAAAUAAGAAGACUUAUCAUUAUCACCAAGCAGGACUGAAUUGCUUAUUAAAAAUAAAAGAAUUUAGUUCACAACACAGAAGAAAGGGUGAUAAGUCAAAAAUUAAUGCUUUACUUAUGUACUACAAUCGUCCCCGAAGGAUAGCUCAAGUGGUAAGAGCUAGGGACAUAAGGGUUAGGUGGGGUGAGGAUGAAGGGUCCCGGGUUCGAACCCGGAGGAGGGACUAAUUUACUAACAUUUGCCUAUCAAAAAAAAAACUUAUGUACUACAAUCAGAAAGCUUACCACCAGCGUCUCCUUCAAAUCCUUCGAGCAAAAAGUACUCUAUGGUUGCAAAAACAGUGUUCUUGUGACACCCAGCACAUGCGCCCUUUUGCACCUUAAUUCUUUCUCCGUGCUUCCAUAAUUUUUCCUUUCUCUUCAGAACCUUAUGAACUCUGAUAACUGCAUAUAAUAAGAAAGAUAAUCAGAUAAAAGACUAAAUUUUUUCAGUAGUAGCAUAUAUAAAACAUACACUGGUAUUUUCACUACCCUAGACUACAAUAGAAUGGUUUGUGUUCAUAUCACAAAAUUACUGUUUCAGGAAGAAUUGUUUUUUAUUUCAUGAGUUGGAAACUAUUUUUUUAACUAUGGUUUGAACACAUACCAUCUGAAGAGAUCCGAAGUUCCUUUUUGUUUGCAGGAUUAACAAUAAUAACUGCCUGAUCCUCACCAGAAUCAGCCUCUUCAUCAUACUGACCAUGCAUUUGCAAUAACCACUCCACAUACUCUUUUUCUAGCUGUAAAGGAGUUAACACUUUUCGAUCCUUAAAAAUUUCAAUAGCAACAUCUGCUGAUUUUAAAUAACUAGUUAGUUGGGUAUCUAAAAACCUUGACAAUAAAGUUGUAACAGUGUAAUAGGAAUUAAUAAGAAUACCCUUCUGAUUGUCUGAAAUUUUAUUGCCUAUGUUCUUCAGAGCAGUGGUCAAAGGACUGUGGUGAGCUAGAUCAGUCUGAAAAGGCAAUAACUUCUUGAUGAUCAUUAAAUCAGGAAGAAAAUAAAAUACAAGACGGGUUCAUUUUUGUAUAUAUUUGUAGUCAGACAUUAAAAACAAUGGAGCAAACCCAUUGCUUCUGUAUCCAAUGGUAAAUGCCUUUAUAUUGAUUUCCAAUUUACUCUACCAAGGUUUCAUCUCAUCGGCGUACAUGCAUAAGCAAAUAUAAAAAAAAUCCAUUACAAUUCAAGUUACGUAGCUAUGCUCUACUAUUUAUAAUGAAUUAUUUAGUCAUAUCUCUAGUCAAUCUAGGACCUCAACACACCCGCUCAUGUUAGCUCAGGGAUAAGGAUUGUUCUCCCCUUUAUAAGAAAUUAUUUAGCUAGCGUAUAUGAUACAAAGAAAGAUUCAAUUCAAGCAUGACAUAAUAGUUUAAAUAGCUCCAGUUAAUCAUUAAUUGGCAAUAAACUUCAAAAAAUUAGUUAGUCCUGGUACUAGCAAGGAUAUUACAACGAUGUUAUGUCUGGUAUAGAUCAUUACAUAGUCAGAAAAACUUAUAACUUACUUCAAAAGUAGUUCAAAAAAAGUGAAAUUACAUAACAGUUAGAGACAAAACAAGAACACAGGUCAGGUUAGUAAAGGACACAAAAUAGUAUAUUCAGUAAUAUUAUGCAAGUAUUGCAGGUCUAACCUUGGUCUGUGUUGGCUUAAAACCAGCAUCAGUUUCUGCAAAUUAAAAAGUUUGUCUUAGAUGGACAAGCAAAGAAACAAAAAGUAAAUACAAAGUAUUGGUGACGGAUCACUAAUACGAUAUACCAAUGAAGCAUUUCACCCUCAGCGAACAUCUUUUCAAUAUGUUAGCUCUAUUUCCCUUUUUGUUCCUAAUGUCCAUAAAAGGAAGUAAAGUCUGUAGACAAAAAUGAAAAUGCAAGUCAAUAGCACUCUAGGAAUUAAGAUUCAGUAUGAAUAAAAUGAAAACACGAGAGUCUACUAAAUGGAAAAACAUGUAAUCUAUAUGAACAAAAAGCAACAUUAGAAUUGUCAAAUUUCUUAUUUAUUUGAGUCCCGUUAUGAUUUAGCAUACUCCUAUUGAAGCCUGCUGGCAGUCAGUGUUGUGCUUGUUGCCCAAUUCUGAGAUGAAGUGGCUCAGAUAUGGUACAAAGGAAGAUUCUUCAAAAGCUCAAGCUCAAACCAACAAGUAGGUCUGAUUGUAUAAUGUCUAGUCAAUACUUCUCCUCAUGACAGCAGCAUGAUAAACCCAACAUACAAAAAUGGUUUGAAACAAGGCAUGAUUUCAACUUAGCGGCAACUACUUAAAAAGAAAAUUUGCUAAAACCAAACAAAAAAUGAGCCAAUGGAAAAAAAUUGAUGCAUAAUAUAUAAAAUAAACAAUAAAAAUGAAUCAACAUAGAAACACAUUUUAAAGUAUGCACGUGCUAAGGAAGGAUGGAAAAGAGAAAAGACAUUGCAGAAUAAAAUUAAUUGAAAUAAUGAGUUAGGAAUAGUACAAGUCCAGUCAUACGUAUAGUUGUGUUACAUAGGCAAAAAUUGAAAGGACAAGACGAAUAAGAAGUCUUGUUUGCACGACAAAGUAAAUCAUAUGGCUUUAAUAAGAAAACAGCUGCUGGAACCAAAGUACAGGGUAAAUUUUCACUGCAAGUUCAAAGCCAAGGUUGGAAGUUUACCCAGCGAGCAUCAGGAAGUAGACGGCCAAGCCGCCUCACAGAUACACGACUAAAGUUUAGGAAGUUUUCUCUGAUUACACAACCAUCAUCCGCUAAUUUUUCCAAAAUCCUCUCGAUAUUCUCCUUUCCCUGUAAUAUAGAAAUACUCAUUGAAUUGGUUAUGAAUUUCAGAUCUAAAUAGACAAAUACUAUAUGUUAUCUGUAUUACCUUUGUGAAGGGGAAAUACACAACCCUCAGCCGUGCAUUUGCUACUUGGAUUUCCCUUGAACCUGAAACACAGUUAUUCAAAUGGAACUUGAUAUCCAUAUUUCUUUACAGAUUUACAGAUAACUAAAUAAAAUGAUUAAACUGUACAAAUAUUAGGGAUACAGCUAAAGAAAUACAACAAUGAUUUUCUCAAAUCCUCUUUCUCUAUCACCACUUUUAUCGUUCAUAUUUUCUCUCUCGAAAAGAAUAAAUUAGCUGGAAGAGGUAGAAACUCUAAUUAAUUACUCAGCAGUGUUCUUGGAAUUUUUCUCCUUGGUUUAUGAGUUUUGUAGAGGGCUGGAAAUUGGGAAUUCAUCAAUACAGAAUUAAGUUUUUUAGCUUUCUAUUAAUGGUUCUUACUUCCUACUGGUAUCAGAGCUCCACCCUGGAACUGUAGUGUAACUAACUAACUAGUGAUAGCAAGAAAAUGAAGGAAAGGCAAGCGAUUGAGAAAAAGUUGGAGGCAUACAGAGGGAAGAAGAGGCGGGGAAGAAGGAGCAGGAGGCAUGGAAGAGAAAGAGAGGCAUGAUUCAAGAAGUUGGUAAGGAUGUUGGCGGAAGAGAGCUAAAGAAGUGGUGAGAAAAACUGAGGCGAGAAGGAGAAAACGACUAACUGUACGAGUAUCGAGAGGGCAUUGCGCGUAUCAAGGGUCUAUUAGAGUAUACUAUAUAGUCUGGUAUAGUUACUGUUAGUAGUGUUCUAAUUACAGUGUGUUACUGUUAAGUAGUUAGUUACCCUAGCAGUUAAGCCUAGCUGUCAAGUUAGUUAUCUUAGCUGUCAAGCUUAGCUGUCAUAACAGAAUUAGUUAGCUUCUUACGCAAGCUUUGUAAACUCUCUAUAAAUACAGAGAUCAACUCUUGUACUCUUUAGUUUUACAAUCAAUGAAAUUCGGUUAAACAUUUCAGCAUUUCUAACAGGGUCGACGAUGGAGGACGAAGGGUGACGAAGAACAAUGAGUGAGUCACGCAUCUCACGCGAGUCAGCAGGGCAGGAACUACAAGGAGUUGUUCAAGUCGUACUCGGCUCCAGACUCCACAGGCAGAGUUUGGAGGCGUGGAAAAGUGGAUGGAUGAUAACGAGUAUGUCAUCCCAUUCCACCAACCAUGGCGACCGUAACAACCCAAACCUGAGUCAUGUAUAAACCCGAGUCGUUCGACAACUCCUGAGCAUAGCAUGACUAAAAAGGCAACCAAGACACAUGUAAUGAGUUUCAAUGAAUUGGUUUAAAAGCUUUGAUCUUCAUAUUGUAGGUUCAGAUUUAUAUGGGACCAAUAAUUCUAACCCACGAGAUGAGUGCUGCUUUCACAAAUUGAUAGAAGCUCAUAUUAUUGAGUUCGAGAAAGUUCGAACAGAGCUGUCAACACACAAGAUAUGAGAGGCAUAGGAGCAUUGUCUGAACUUUUGGUACACUGAGUUGUCUCAACUAUGCAAACCUGAACAAACAGUUCGACCUUGCCCUCUUCUCCCCAUGUCAAUGAAGGUCACUCUGAUGAAGAUGAGGAUGAAGGGAAAGUGACCCAUUGUUGUCAGACUGCAGAGGAAGGAUUUGAUGGAGCCCUUUUGUAGAUAAGUGGAGAAAAGAGACAAUUUCUGAGAACAAAACAGUGCAUUCAUUUGGGUUUGAAAUUAUUGGUCAGAAUUUGAGGUGGAAGGAAAUUUCUGAGAAGAAACCAGUGGAUAGUUCUUAGAGUUGAAAUGGGAGUUUAAAUGAUCUCGGCCAAGAGAUUGGCUUGGAUUGUUAUUGACCGGAUAGUCCUAUGGAUAAUAGUUAUCAAUUUCUGAAGAUGAUAUAUGGUUUGAAAGAGUGGAUUUUGGUUUUUAAUGUUGUUUAUGGUUGGAGAUAAAGAUGAUGAGAUGAAGAAGCUGAAGAAGGAAAAUUUUAAAAAAUUAUAUUUGUGCAAAAAUAAGUAAAGAAUAUAUAAGCUUGGGCAUCCAAUGUCUUCAGAAUUUUAGUGAAAGGUGUGGUGUCCUUCACUAAUCUAGUUCAAUCUUUGUCUAAUGUGGUAUGCAGAAAUACAUCUAUGCCUCCCUCAUGACACAACUCGUUUUCAGAAGAAGACAGUCUUGGAAUAUUGUGUCUUCAGCUAUAAUGGUAUCUCUUAGUUCCCAGCAAUGAGACCCAGACAGGAGAUAGAAGCUGCUAUACUAGGUUCAGCAAACAGGUGGUAACAUAAGGUUGGCCUAGUACUUCCAAUGAACUUAGAUUUCCAAGCUUAAGAUUCCAAGUGUCAAGAGUUCAAUAUUCAAAAGUAGAGGCAUGAAGAGCCAUUUUCGGCUGCUAAGUUCAUAAGGAUCUUUUUUAUGUAGCAUUACUGCAGUGGUGAAUCCCACAUGUUGCUUGUCAAGUCACCAAGACAUCUCAGAAAGGGAACUCCGAAUCAAUUGUGCUUCUAUUGAGGGACAAUACAGUUGGAAAUGUGAAGCUGAAAAUUAUAGUUGCAGUCAUUUUAGACCUCAAAUGAUGGGAUCCAGGAAAAAGUCUUGUGGCUACCCAGUUGUGGACAUUUGGGAAGAAUCAAUAGGUAGCAACUCUGCCUUGAGUGAACAGCCAUCAGAGUGCAUUUGGUUGUAUAGUUCCUUGAAACAUAGUGGGACUAGAGUUCAUCAUGAACAGUGCAAACCCCUACAAUGACAGGGGAUUUCCAAGCCACUACAAAAGAUAAUGAAGGAGUAUUUCCAAGCUUCAGCUGAAAAUAUGAAGUCAACUGCUAUUGGAGUCUUUGAAGAAGACUAAUGGAACCAUGAAGGACACUACUAUUUCCUAUUUGUACCCUGGUUCACUUGUUUCAAACAGUUGGACCAAGGUAGAACAUUGUUUCAGGUAACGGUUCUGGUAAGCUCAAAUGGCCACUUAGCCAACCAUCAUCAUGGUUGGCCCAAAUAACUACAAGGAUGGUCAAGCUGGUUAGCCAGGACGACCAAAUUUGGAGCACCUAUUUGUUAACCAAUUGGCCCAACAUAACGUUAAGGUGAUAAAGCUGAUCGAGUGAUUCAACUUAGCAAGGUUAAAAAUCCUCGACACCGUUCACUCCAGCCUCUAUAUAUACAGGUUUGUCAUUUCAAAAAAAAAAAUUGAUCAAAUUGUAAGAUUUAAGCAUAGCUCAAAAUUGUUUUCUCAUUGCUCUUCUAGACUCUAUGUGAGUUCUCUCUCUGGUCCAUCGUUGACUUAAACGUCAAAGUGUCUUUUGCAAUUACCUCCGCCGUGGCCCAUCCUUUACCACCAUGCCCUCAGCCGCACUUUUCACCGUGCACUGCCAUACAUGAUCAGAGGACCAUCUCACCAAAUUUUCUCGAAGAAUACAGGUCCUCCUGUAUGAUGGGAAGAACCACAAAUUCGAGGACAACAAGCAGAGGUGUGGCAGAUCUUGAGAACAGGAUGAUCACUUUUGGUAUUGAAAGGAAUAAACCUCCAAUAAGGAAUGUCUAUUAGAAGGCGAGAGGAUGACAAGCAGGGAGAGAAUCAAAACCGUUUGAGGGUUAGUUGGUUAUAGAGAUUGGGAAGGGUGAGUUAAUGGUUACGACAUAGGAGGUUAGGAAAGACAUUGAGCGGGGGACACAGUGUAAUCGAGUCUCGGAUUAUUCAGCAAUGUUCUUCUAUUCUUUUCAUCAUCCGUCUCUCGCUCUCUUACGUACACCAGUCUCACACUUGUAGAUGUGAUGUGAAUUCAAGGAAAUAUUACAUAUCUCACACACAAAAAAUUGCUAGAGAUCAAGAAAUUCACACUUGUUGAUGUGAUGUGAAUUCAAGGAAAUAUUACAUAUCUCACACACAAAAAAUUGCUAGAGAUCAAGAAAUCAUAGAGAUAGAAAUGGUUACUUGCAGUUUUGAUGCCAUCACUGUCAGGUGAAAAGGAAAGACGAAGCUGAAACUGAAAUUCAGGACCAUUGCAAGAAUGCAAAUUGGUGAUUGCAACCUCCCCACCUUGAAUCUCAGUCAAAUCAACACUAUUGACCUGUAAAAUUACCAAAUUUGAUGUGCUUGUCCAUAGCUACUAGUAACCAUUCAAUGGGGGAAAAAUUCAAAUAUCAAAACUAAAACUUGUAAAAUUGACUAUAGCGUAAACAUUUUUUUCAUCUAUUGAAACUGAUAAGAAUAAACCUCCUUUGAUCCAUGUUUAUCGCCGGAAAAAGAAGAAUUUCAGGUCUGGAACCACCAUGGGAGGUGGCGCAGCCACUACUGUGGCCAUGGAGACUGCUGAGCAGCCAAAACAGCAAGGAGAAAGGGGAAAUUCAAAUUUGGCAGAUGGUUUAGAAGCAGUUACCAGUCAGUAGUUAUUAGGAGUUAGCAGUUAUUAAGUGUGUAAGUUGGUUAUUAUGUGUGUAUGUCAGUUUGUAUUCAAAAUAAAAACUGCACUAUGCAGUUGUAUAAAUAAUAGGCGCAGCCUAUUAGAUGGUUGUCCAGAAAAUUAAAAGUGUGGUAGUAGGGAGAGAUCAGGCUCUCGAAUUCCUGCUGUAUUGUACUAUUUCCGGUAGAGAUUCUUCAUCUCUGCAGUAUCAAUAAUAAUUAUCCAUUACUCUAUUUCCUUAUCUUAUCAGAAACAGUGAAAAUAUGCUCUAACGUGAAAACUGCUAAGCUCAUAGUCUCAUAUAAAAGAAAAAUAUAUUUAGAAGAGAGAAAUAAAAAAUAAAGAGUUCAAUAUCUGCAUUAUGAUCUUGUCAUCUUUCUUCUCAUUAAGAUUUGACAUGGGCUUGACAAGACUGCCACCAAAAGAAUAACAGAAUCCUUGUACAGAUUUAGAAAAUUAGGUUUUCAAUAUAUUUGGAAAAAAUUUCUUGGAUAGUCGAGAGUAUAAACAUGACUCCAGAUUAAUCAUAACAGUAUAAGUAAGCAGCUCACGAAAAUGAUGGUAGAACAAGAACCUGAAACUUGAUUGGGGUAAUAGUCUUCCCUCUUUCAGAUAAUUCAUCGCACUGAAUGAAUACAACAAUUAGAAACAUACACCUCAAGUUAGUGAAGAACAAUAUGUUUCCCACAAAAUUCUAAGAAAAAAUAUUCUGAGCACUUGAACAUUAAAAGCAAAUUUCUCUAACAUUAAUGUAAAAUUUAACCCCUUAGAAACAUGAAAAACUAAUUAAAAUAUUUGGAAAAUCCAAUUCUACACAGUUGCAAUAUAAUAUAAGGAAUAAACAGACACAUUGAAUGUAUUCAAACAUAUACUUAGUGUGUAUUUUAGAUACCAGUUGAAUGCAAUGUGAAUGGACUUUCAUGUCUGUCCAUUCAAAAUUGUUUUUUUUUAGUUGGUGCUAACAUCUUUCGUUUGAAGUAUUUAUUUUCCUUUAAAACUGAUGAAUUCUGAAACCAUUUUUACUGACAGGCAUUACUCUCAUUUCAAAAAGUUUCCCCAACGAGCUCUACUAAGUAUAAGCAUCCCUAUGACAAUAUCGGAAUGAACAGAAACAUGAAUUCAUAAAAUCUGAUAAGAAAAUAUAUCAUCUCAUCUGAAUCAUGAAUUUUAUUCACUAGCGGGUUAAUCAAACCUGAAUGUAGGGAAAAUAAAUAUCUUUCAGGUGGCACUGAAGUCUGUUUAUGUCAAAAUCUUUUACUUUAGGGUCGAAAAUUUCAACCUGCAACAGGACCAUAUAAUGUUUAUAUGACUAAAAAAUGACAAGAUAACCAUUUGCGCACGUAAGUAUAACAUAAAGAAGAAACUAGAAAGUGAGAGAAUUUUGCUGGUUGUGCUUGUACACCUCAAUAUAGAAUUCCAUUAACAAGACAAACACAAACUUAUCCAAUAGCAUCAAUGAAUUAAGAGAAUACAAAACAAGUGGAGCUAGCAAAAUGGCAUCUCAAAAAUAAUGAAUUGUCCUAACAAUUUAGAAUAUUCAUGAACAUCUCUUUACAAAUGACAUUAUCUCUUUGUGAAAAAAUAAAAAUGUUAAUAGUUGUGGUUAACUACAUAAUGCACUUUAAAUUAUAUAACAGGUGAAUACAACUUUACUUGCUCAUUUUAGAGGAGCGUAGAGUACUAUAAACAAGUGAUCAUCUUUAAAUCUGCCUUGCAUCAUGGCUACGGAAAAUUUUCGACUUACAGAAGCAAAGAAAGUUUGAGGAUUCUCAUAAAACUCAAGAAUAAAUAAAUGAUAGCCAAAAGAAAAAAAAAAGAUAAGAGAUACUUUGCCAGGAAGAAACAUCAGGGGAAAUGGAAGGAAAGGAAGCUUACCGUAAAUACAUGAUUAAGUAAUAUCAUAUAUGAUUAAGAGGUUAAUUAACAACUAAGGUCAUAUCCACAAUGCCUAAAAUGGAUAAAAGGACGACAAUAUGCAAAUGAUAGAUAUAAUGAUAUACCAUUGUAAAGCUUCCAUGACAGUCCUUGAUUUCGUCCUUUGAGGGAUCUCUGAUGCCACCAUCAGUCUGAAUGAGAAAACAAAAAUCUAUCACUACACAGAAUAUUUGAUUUCUCAUUCUCAUUUAUUAUGAAGUCAUGUUAUCAUUUCAAUUCUCAAUUAUUCUUAUAAAAUCAUGCAAUCAUUUUCAAUUCUCAGAGAACUAAAAAGUUAAAUAAAUUGAACAUAAAAUCUAGACAUUUGAAAUUAAGUUUUUGAAUAAGAUCAUACAAUUUUAAAUACAAAAGAUACAUAAAAAGAUUUUCUUAAUUUAAAUUUAAAAUUCCUGUUGAGAUAGUAAACAAAGGAAUUUGUUUUUGUUUAAAGAAAUGACAGAUGAUGAGUGAUUUUUAGGGGAAAAUAACAAUACCAAGAGAAAGUAUGUUAAAAUGGAUUGGACGAGAAACUGGGUGUGAAUCUAUCAAAACCCAUAAAUAAAUAAAUUAAUAAGAGAGAAGAAAAAAUACAUGCAUUGAUAGGGAAACAUGAAUACCUUCCAUUUGACUUCAGAGCAUGUAUUUAACAAAGCUUCCCUCUCAAGAUGUAACAUGUAGACUUUCUUCACAUGUUUUGUUUUGGAGGAAACUGAAGCACGCCUGUUAUGUGAUAAAACAUGAGAAGGAGCUAUGAAGAGAUAAAUAUAAUUUUGGGGAAGUGCUUGAACAGAAGUAGGAAAACUGUGUUAUUACCUCCCCAAAUGCAUAGAUGCUAUAGGUCCACCGUAUCCAAACAUUCCAAAGUAAGGCUGCACAAUCACUAAAAUAAAUCAUUUUAAAUAACAGAGCUGAAAUUAACCUGCCCCCCUCUGAUUAACAUAUUGCAUAAAGAAAAUAAUUCCAGUUACCAGUACAUGUCUUAUAUAUGUACGCUCUUGAAGCUUAAAAAUACUUGUACUUGUUUAAGCACGUUACAACAAACAGACACAACAAAUAUUGAAAUGCAAAAGUGAACAAAAAAUUAAGAGCACCAUCAAGUAUGGAGGUUUUCCUCCAAUAGCCUGCAAUUUUGAAUUUCUGUGAAGUGAAGCACCCAGCUUUCCCCUGUCAAAGAGAAAAAAAAGUAUAUAUAAUCAAGAGAAGACAGUGCAGCUGACAGAUGUCCUGACUGAAGUAUUCUAUAAUUUGAUUGAAAGUGGUUGCAACUGAAUCUUUCCAAACCAUCAAGUGUAUCAUGUAUUCAUGUAUGAUGAAAGUAUAAACAAAGAUAAACAUGCAAUUACUCUUGUACUAUGAUUGAAAACGAGGUGUCAUUUAGAAAACAACUAAUGUGUGAGCACUGAGCACUAGCAGAAUUGAGACUUCAGAGCUGUUUCCUUCGAGUUUUGGGUAAACGCUUCUGUCUACAUUUCAUGUUUCGUUAAGAAUAGUAAAAAGUCUACUUUGUUUCCUGUUUUAAAGAAAUUGUAAUAAGAUGUGGUGAAAACAAAAAAUAGACAAAAAUUAAAGUGAUAUUUUUGAAAAUUACAACAAAAAGCUGAAAAGGAAAUAUUUUUUCCAAACAUUUACUCAAACAACUUAAUAUGAUCAUGUAAUUUGGAACUUUCAGAAAAUUCAAGAAAAAAUAUAUACAAUCAGAUAGCUACCACUUCACUAGGGAAUUAUCAUCAGUGUCAUCCAUGCCAGGGCCAUUGUCGAAAAUUGAAAUCUUAUCUGGACCAACAUUUACUCUGCCAAUCAAAAAAUACACAUAAGCAGGUGAUGAUUAGACCGGGGUGUGAGAAACCAGCCAAGCAAACAGGAGAAAACCAGAUAAUUAAUAUACCUAUGUACUUUUAAUACUAAAAGGAAAGUUGAGAUCCUAAACGAACUGAACUGAACGGUCAUACCUAAUUAGCUUUCUACUAUUUCCCCCAUUAGACCACACAGCUUGCAAGGAAUUAUCCUGUAAAUGAUCAGCAGUUUUAGUGUCUGAAUGAGAAAAAUAUUUAUAAUUAUGAGAUUAUAGUCUCUGUUCUGUUUUGUUAAUGUUCUCACAAUCAAGUCUGCAAGGGCUGUUUGGAAAGAAUAUUCCUCAGGAAGCUCCAGAAGCAGAUCAAUAUCUGGCGUCAAAUCCCACAUAUUCUGCAUUGCAUUUCAAACAGAAUCAAAAUAUCCCUAAAAAACAAAAGAAUAGUAGGCUAGUAGCAAGGACAAAGAAACUACGAUAGGAAAUCCUAACCUCAAAAGAUUUGGCAAUUUCAGUUCUCCCAUCCUGAUUCAGAAGAAACAAGAGUAUAAAAAACUGAGCAGAGGAAAAAAACCUAACUCAAAAUUAAAGAAAUAACUAACAUGAAGCUGUAAAAUGUGACAUUUGUGAGGCUUAUAGUUGUGGAAAUCAAUAACGUUCUUAAUCUUAGCGUCAGUGGAAUCGUGCAGAAACAGAGGAGCACCAAUCCAGUUAAUGUCCUUUUUCCUUUUCAUUGAUUGAUUGUGCUCUCGAGCUCCAUUGUAAGCAUCUUCCACCAAUUGUAAAAAAUCCGGCAACGGCAUUUGAGGUUGAGGAUCCCGCAAUGUGAGUUCCACACUAGUCCCGUUAGGUAACAAGAUUUUGAACCUAUAUGCCUUUCCAGUAUCAUCAUCGUCCUUCCUCAGCACCAGUUUCCUCUUUGCAUUGCCAUCCAUGUCUGUUUCCAAUACAUAUGGCGGAGGUGAAACGAGGGUUUGUGAGGGAGAAUUUGCUAAAAUUGGGAAGAGAGAAGAAAGAGUGAGUGAGAGAGAAAGAAAGAAAGAAGGGAAAAUAAAACGACGAUGGAGGGAGGAGUUAAAGAGCCUGCGGUGAAGUACUGUUGGCCAAUAAAAGGUUGACACGUAGCAUCAUGGUUAGAGAGUGCUGGACUGCGUGCUAUAGUACUACUAUUUAUUAUUUAUUAUGCGCUCGUCGUUUGGACUCAUUGAGAAAAACAACGAUUAUAAAAAAUAAAAAUAAUAAAAAAUAAAGAGUAAGAGGAAGACCAGUAGUCGUGAUUUCGGUGACUUGCGAAGGAAGUCAAAGUGGAGCCUUCUAUAUCUAUCUACUGCAUAUAAUUAGCAUGUUGAAGUUAAUUGUAUUGUUAUUCGGAGUGAAUGCUAAUACUUAGGUAGCGUUUGGCCCAGUUUUUUUAGAGCUUAAAAGUUACUUAUAAGUCAAAGUUAAAAAUAAGAGCUUUAAAAUUAAAGCUUUAGUUGUUUGGUAGUUUACAUAUUUUUACAUUGUAAUUGUAACUUUUAAGCUAAAAAUUGUUUGAUAAAUCAUCUAUAUUUUCUCAUAUACUGGUCUUAACAUUUUAUCAAAUGGUUGGUAUGCACUACAUUUUCCAUCUGAGUGGCCUUCUUUAUACACCAAACCAUCAAGCUUACAUAAGAAACAAAAAGCAAACCCAGAUUAUCAGAGACCCUGAACGGUUAUCUUAAUACACCCCUAAGGAUUCCCUAAAUCAUUAAAAUUGACAACCCAACUCACUAAAAACAUACUUCUAAUUGUUACUGUCUGCAUCUUUCCAAGCAUAAACAAUAAUUGGUUCCCAAUUGCUACCGUUUGGGAUUACCUCGCACACUCUCCCAAUAGAAAAAGGCUCGUGUCCAAUUUGGAUCUAAUUUGCCAUCAGCAAAUACAGUGAUGAUUGGAUCUAAUUUGAUACCGUCUGCAUCUUUCCAAGCGGACGAAUUGGAUCUAAUUUGCGAUCAGCAAAUACAGGAUUUAUUAUUCUGCAGAGCAAUGGCACGCCAAGGAUCGACCAAACAGGGAAGGGAACAAGAACGAGAUGGAAAUUUUUAGAGGAAAGUUUGUGAGUUACUUUUAAGUAAAAACUCCUCUCAUUAACUUAUUCUAAUAAUAACUUUUCUUUAUUUUACACUAUAAAAAAUAAGCUCCUUAAAAUUUAAGACCUUUUUUAAAAUUGUGUUUGGCCCAACUUUAACUUAUGAGUUACUUAAAAGUAAAAAAAAAAGCUGGGUCAAACACUACCUUAAUUAGAAAUAUGAGAGAGAAAGUUAGAGAGAGAGAGAGAGUGGGAGUGGGAGAGGAAUCGUUGAGGGGAAAGGAGGCAAUGCAAUCCGCGACAGAGAAGGAGAAGGCUGGACUAAGGUACAUGGCAGAAAGAAUGGGCGUGAAACCCUGGUCACCGGCGAUAGCCCCGACCAGUAGGGUAACCUGGGUGCGGUGUUCAGGCAUCCCGUUACAUAUGUGGUCACUAGAUUGUUUCAAGUAUAUAGUGCUACAACUUGGUGAUGUGGUUAAGGUUGAUGAUAAGACGAGUACUCUCUCCAUCCUGGAGUUUGCGAGACUGCAGAUUAGAACUACGGCACUUGAUUUCAUCACCCUGUCAAGGAAGAUUAUGCUAAAUGGCACCAGUUACACGGUCAGGAUUAUGGAGGAAGUGGGCAUAUCUGACCAUCAAGGUUGUUGUAGCAUCGAUGAAUCAGAGGAUGAGGAGGAUGAUGACUACUCAUAAUGGUCCCUGAACGGCGGUGCAAUUUCACCAGAAGGCUCGGAGGUUGGCGGUGGUAACGGCGAGAAAAACCUAGAGGAGGACGACGGUCAGCGCAAACCACAAGAGAAUCCUAAUCAUUCCCUUGGGGACAGAAACAAUCAUAGUCCCAAGGGAGGUGCAAUCACUCCUACCACAGUUGUCGAGAAAGCCAAUUAUGAGGGAAUUAUCAGUGGAGGAAAAUGUGGAAACUAGGAAUGAAGCGGUGGGACCGACAAGAGGGGGAAAAGAGAAUGAAGAACUGUUUCAAACUGAAUUACAGGAGGAGGGUAAUAUGGGUAAUGCACAGGGGGAGAGGUAAUUCUCAUUCCUACCCUGAAUAAAAAUGGAGUGGGCCCGAGUCAGUCAAAUAUUUGGGCCCCGGGUGUGGAGGUGGGUUAGGAGAACCCGAUCCAAAAAGGAACAACCCAAGUGCUAGAGGGUGUGGAGGAUAACGCACGUGAAACAACUACAGAUAAGGCCAUAGCUAUUGUUGGUGCUCGCAAGAAAAAUAGAGCAAAGCCAAUGUUGAAUCUGAAUCACUCCUUCUAGGGAUCCUCGAUGGACUCGGUUAGAAAUCCUCAAGCAUCUCAUCUUCCGUUCACUCUGCUUCGACAGACAUCGACGAACUCAGGGAGACGGAGCGAUGAUCUUCAAAUUGUUGCAACAGUGUCGGGAAUUCAGAGGAACGAUGGUGGAUUCAGAAGUUCACUGUUGUCCGUUAGUAAUUCUAAUUCAGGAACUGACUUUCAUAAUUGUAAUAAGGAUGUAUGGUUGAGAGGAGUGGAGGAGGAAGCUAAGAGGAUCUGGGAACUUGGGAAAGAAUUUGGGGUUACUGCAACAGGUGAUGAAGGGGUAGUAGUCUCAAAAUUAGUAGAUAUGGAGCAUAGAGAUGCCAAGGAAGUAGGCGACUUGGUGAAUGUGGAGCCAAGGAGGGGUGAAGAUGGUGAACAAUGAAGAUUAUGUCAUACAAUGUUAGAGGGCUGAGGAGCACUGCUAAAAGGCGAAUAAUCAGGGAACUAGUGGCAAAAGAAGGAAUUGAUAUGUUGCUCAUCUAGGAGACCAAACUUGAGGAUGUGGACUUACAAACAUGUUCUCAGGUUUGGGGGGACGCGGAUUAUGAAUGGCAGGCUACAUCGGCAGUGAAUAGGGGAGGCGGGCUAUUGUGUAUUUGGAAGCGGGGUGUAUCUCUCCUUCAGAAUUGCGUGAGAGGACAAGGCUUUCUUGGACUGAUUGGCACUUGGGGAGAUAUGUCAGAUGUGUCUGUGAUUGUGAAUGUUUACUCUUCUUGCAGGCUUGAGGAAAAGAGGAACUUAUGGCGUCAACUAGUUGAUUGGAGGAACAACAGCGACGAGGUCACGUGGUGCUUAGGAGGAGAUUUUAAUGCAGUAAGAUCAUAAGGGGAACGCAAGGGAGUUGCAACAAAGGUGGGUUCACAGAGACGUGAGAUAGCUGAAUUUAAUAAUUUUGUAGAGACAAUGGAGGUCUUGGAUUUACCAUUGGUAGGACGUAAAUUUACAUGGUAUAGGCCGAAUGGACAAGCCCAAAGCAGAAUUGAUCGGUUUCUGAUUUCUCAUGAAUGGCUAUUACAAUGGCCAGGAUGUCAACAAGUGGGUCUUUGUAGAGAUAUCUCUGAUCACUGCCCACUUGUAUUGAGAUCUGUUUUGCAGGACUGGGGACCGAAGCCAUUCAGGGUACUAAACUGUUGGUUGAAACGUCCUGGAAUUUCUGGGUGUGUGGAGAAAACAUGGGCGGAAACACAGGCAGUAGGAUGGGGAGCUUUCGUGCUCAAGGAGCGCUUAAAAGAGCUAAAAUUGAAAUUGAAGGAGUGGAAUAAGGAGGUUUUUGGGGACUUGACAACCAAGAGGAAUGACUUGGUGCAGAAAAUCAAUGAUCUGGACCGCAAGGAGGAAGAGGGUGGGCUGACUACGACAGAAGUGGAUGCAAGAAAGGUUCUGAUUGGUGAAUUCUGGUCAGCCAUUAAACACCAGGAAUCUCUUCUACAUCAAAAAUCCAGGUCCCAGUGGUUGAAAGAAGGAGACUAAAAUACAAGGUACUUUCAUUCUUUGAUUAAUUGGCAGCGAAGAUCUAACUCGAUAGUAGGACUUAUGAUUGAUGGCAAAUGGGAGGAGAAUCCGCAGAAUGUGAAGGAGGAGGUAAAAAAGUACUUUGAGAGGCGAUUUGUAGCUGAAAAGUGGGCGAGCCCGGUGUUGAAUGGAUUGUCUUUCCAAACACUGUCUCAGGCUGAUAAUGAGCUACUUACUAGUAGGUUUGGUGAGGAAGAAAUUAAGGAGGCUGUUUGGGACUGUGGUGGGGAUAAAAGCCCGGGACCGGAUGGAUUUAAUUUUAAAUUCAUUCAGCAAUUCUGGGAACUAAUGAAGACUGAUUUUCAGAAGGUAUUGGAUGAGUUUUGGAGUAGGGGGUGUGGUCGAAAGGUAGUAAUGCAUCUUUCAUUGCAUUGAUUCCUAAAGUGAGCUCUCCGCUUGGCUUAAAUGAUUUUCGACCCAUUUCCUUGAUUGGGUGUAUGUAUAAGGUGGUCUCAAAGGUGUUGGCAUUAAGACUGAGGAGAGUACUACCAAAGGUUAUUAGUAGUAAUCAAUUUGCUUUUCUUGGGGGCCGGAAUAUGCUUGACAAUGUGGUGAUGGUUAAUGAAGCUCUACAUGCAGCAAAGAAAUUAAAGAAAGCAACUUUGUUCUUCAAAGUGGACUACGAGAAGGCUUAUGACUCAGUGAGCUGGGAAUUCUUAGCAUACAUGAUGAGGAGAAUGCAGUUCAGUAAAAAGUGGAUUAAAUGGAUUAUGAAUUGCAUCAAAUCAGCCUCUGUCUUUGUAUUAGUUAAUGGGAGUCCAUGUCAGGAGUUCUCAAUGAACAAAGGCCUUCGUCAAGGUGAUCCACUAGCUCCUUUUUUAUUUUUGAUUGUGGCUGAGGGUCUUAAUAAAUUCUUUGCGAAGGCAGUGAGUAUGGGCAGAUUUCAGGAGUUCAACUUUGGAGGAGACGCAGGGAUUAGUAUCUCUAUGUUGCAGUUUGCAGAUGAUACUGUUUUUAUGGGUGAUGCAACAAUCCAAAAUGUGUAAGUUGUCAAAUGUAUAUUGCGGUGCUUUGAACUUAUUUUUGGUCUUAAAAGUUAAUUUUCAUAAGAGUAAAUUAGCAGGGGUGGCAGUGGAUCGGGACUUUUUAGGGAGGUUUGCAGCUAUUCUUCAUUGCAAAAUAAUGACUAUACUCUUUGUAUACCUGGGAAUUCCGGUAGGAGGUAGAUUAAAGAGCUUGGAAUUGUGGGAUCCGGUUAUAAAAAAGCUGCGGGGGAGACUCUCAUCAUGGAAACAAAAAUAUAUCUCUUUUGGAGGACGGGUAUGUCUUAUUCAGAGUGUAUUAUCUGCAUUACCAUUAUUCUUCCUCUCCUUUUUUAAAAUUCCAGUUGGUGUGCUUGAGAUUUGUACUGGAAUUAUGAGGAGAUUUCUUAGGGGGGGUGUCGCUGCGGAGAGCAAAAUUAACUGGGUUAAAUGGUCGGAGGUUUGCAAACCAAAGGACCAUGGUGGGCUUGGUAUCAAGGAUUGGAGGCUGUUCAAUAUGGCACUAUUAGGAAAGUGGCACUGGCGAUCUUUGACGGAGCCUUAUAGUUUAUGGUGUCGUGUAGUUAAGGCCAAUUGCAAUAGUUGUGGUGAAUCCUCAUGGUGGAAGGCAGUUCAAUCAAUCAGCCAAGAAGAUGGUUGGAAUUGGCUCCAAGACAGCUUACAAAAAACUGUUUUUGAAGGUAAUGAGACAAAAUUUUGGGAUGAAAAUUGGCUGGGCUUAGGAAGCUUGGGUCUCCGCUUCAAACGAUUAUAUAAUUUAUCCUGUCAGAAGCGUGAAUGUGUAAAGGACAUGGGACAGUGGGAGAAUUGGGUAUGGAUAUGGACAUUUCGGUGGAGGAGGAAAUUGCAAGGAAGGGAACUAGUUUGGCUAGCAGAGCUGAAGGAGGCGUUGUGUAGUGCACAACUAGUAGAGGACAAGAAGGAUCGCUGGGUAUGGAAGCUGGAGGAGGGUGGAAUUUAUUCAGUUAAUUCCUCUUAUGUUUUUUGCAGGAACGAUUUUUAGAGGAACCUGAUUCUGUUUUCCACUAGAUUUGGGCAGCACCAGUUCCGUCAAAUAUCAAGGCGUUUGCAUGGCGAGCUAUGCUGGGGAGGCUUCAAACUUGUGAUAAUUUACGCAAGAGACAAGCCAUUCAUGAUGCAGAGGAAGCCUUAUGCGCAUUUUGUAGAUUGGAGGAGGAAUCAUGCUCUCACCUACUCCUAUCUUGCUCUGAAUCUUUGACAAUCUGGUAUGAAUGUUGUGCUUGGUUGGGGGUGUCUACUGCCCAAGUUCCAGUUCCAAGGACUCACCUACUACAAUUCCCUGUGGUUGGGAGAAGUAAAGCUCAAAGGUUAUGCGAAACAACAAUUUGAUUGGCAACUGUAUGGUCGAUCUGGUGUGUGCGUAACAGGGUAAUAUUUAAUGGAGGUGGGCUGGAUAAAGGUCAAGUGUUGGAUCAGAUUCAAGUGAAGUCCUGGCAAUGGUUAAAGGCAUGGCUGGACAAUUUUUCUUAUUCCUGGUAUGAGUGGAAAUUAAACCCCCGUGUGUGCAUCUUGUCCUUAUAGCAAACAGGGGCGUGAAUGGAGGAUAUGUGGAUUGUGCUACUGGUAGAUGUGGUGUUUAGUCCAUUAUGCUAAUACAAAGGCGUUGACAGAAUGUAGCUGCUAAUGUUUCAUAUUUGAAGUGGCUGAAGUUGGUUAUGUUGUUGACUGAACCGAGAAGGAGUACCUUAUGAUCUCUUGGAUAAGGGUUGGGGAGAUGGAUCUCUUGUGGCUUCAUUAUUGACUUUAAAAACCUUGUACUCUUUUUCCUUACUAGGUUUUCCCAAGGGGGUUUUCCCUAGUAAGAUUUUAAUGAGGCAUUGUUUUAAAGUCUUGCUCACAAGAGAUUACUCUAGGCAAUGUUAGAGGGUUUUUUCUUUGUAAUUGUCUUUACUUUUCUUGCUUUUAUCUUUCCUCACUUUGUAUUGGGUUGAAGUACCCAUUGUACUUCAUUUCAAUAUAAUUUUUGCUUACCAAAAAAAAAAACUACUCUUAAUUUCUUUCCUCCUCUUACCUUAUUUGUAUUGGGUUGAGGUACCUGUUGUACUUCAUUUAAUAUAAUUCAUAUUGCUUAUAAAAAAAAAUUAGCAUGUUGAAGUAUUUACUGUGAAUCACUGUUAAUUUGAGUUUGCUUGCCAUUUGUUUUUUUUUUAAAACUUCCUCCCUUCUUUCCGGUUUGACAAAGAUUGUUAAAGAAAAACUAAAAAGAGAUUGAAUAACACAAGUUCCAGUUCAGUAGAUGAAACGUUGUGAAUAAAUAUAUCAUAUGAAUUUCAUGAAUCACACUUAUACCCCUCACGACACGGGUGUAUCCAGGAUUUUCUUGUUGGGGGGCGAAAUAUAAGAUUAAAAAAAUCAUUAGGGAAUUGUUAUUCAGACCCCCCUGAUAGCUAUUCAGACCCCUCAAAAUUGGCGAAUUGUCCAAAAUGCCCCUGUUUAAAAAAAAACUUCCCACUUUCCCCACUAAUUCCCCCCCCCCUCCCACUUCUCCCACUUCUUCAAACUUCUGAAACCCCCCUCCCCCAAACACAUUUCACUCAUUCAAAAUCUCUCUCCCUCUCUCACGCAUCUCCUCCACUGCCUCCGCCUGCCACCGCCAUCGCCAGCGACACCGCAACCGAGUGGAGUCGCUGCCACCCCCAUUGCCACCUUCUGCUGCAACAUUCUUCCCGAAACCCAGGUUUGUUACGCGACCCGACCCAUUCUGUUAUGGUUUUGAUCGCACCUUGUAGAUGCGUCUGUGUCGCAGCUUGAAGGUGCGUGUUCAGAAUGCACGCACCUUAAGGGUCCGCUUGAGACGCACCUUUAAGGGGCGACACAGACGCACCCUGAGAGUGCGUCAUAGACCCUUAUAUGUCAAAGCUUCAAUGCCUUUAUGUUUUUGUUCUGUUUUGAGUCUUAUGUUUCCAAUGUUGGUUCAGAUAUGGCAAGAACAAAGAAUUUGAAUGUGCCCCCGGCCAACGAAAGGAGAAUCCCCCCCCCACGGCAUCGGUACGUAAGGAGCGUGAAGCCGCCGCCCUACGAAAGAAAGAAGAAGCACGUAAAAGGCGUGACGAGGCAACCCGUAAAAGGUGUGCAGGUAGUGCAACGACUGCUGCCACUGUAUUGCAUAAACAACUUGGUGUUACACAAGCAGCUGCUGAAGAGGAGAUCCGGAAGUCCUUAGGACCUUAUGCUCGUUAUACAUGGUUGUUGAAGGUGGCUGAGGACAUGGCUAACGAAGGGAAGACCAAGAAAGUUGCUAGAGCCUUCUUGCUGCGUUUGGUGGGGAUGACGAUCUUCUGUGGGAAGACAAACAACAAGGUGGAUGUUGCAUAUUUGGGGAUGUUCAUGGACUUGGAAAAGGUUGGGGAGUAUGCAUGGGGCGCCAUGGCAUUGGCUUUCCUUUAUGACCAGCUGAAGGAUGCCACCAGGUCUGCACCACUAGCCUUGAAGGAUUGGGAAGCCUUUUUAUAGAGCUGCGGUGACCUAGGUUGUAACGACGCACUUAAUGACUUAUUUAAUGAGUUUUACCGGUUGUUGACUCAUGGUCAAUGGCUGGUGCGUUUUUAAUUCACUCUCAAAGUGCGUCAACAACGCACUCUUAGUGUGCGUUAGUGUCGCACUCGGAAAAUGAGGUUUGUAACACCCCGAUUUCGGUGGCGUCACUUUAGUAACCGAAAGUAAACUUAAUGCGGAAAAACAUGAAUAUUUUUUUUUUGAUAAUAACUAAUACAAGAUUGAAAUAGAUAAAACCCAAAAGCGAAAAGCAACAGAACUAAUGUACAUUAUAUAAUACAGCCCCCGCUGUAAGUAACAACCUCGUCACGAGUAACCUCCAGUGACGGAAAGAAAAGUGUAGCGCCCGAAGGCAAUAUGUACAGACUGAAAGUAAAGGUGAAGUGUCCGCAACACCAUCCCUCAAAACUGAGAAUAAGCUGGCCCAUCGGCCUGAAACGAGACCUCCUAAGUCCAACCAACUCUCUGUGAUUCCUGUAAAGAAACCACACAAAAAGCUAUAGGUGGGAAACUACCCUGUCCCCAAUGAAAACAAUUGAUGUUCAGAGCUAAGACUCUACUCCUACACUAAUCCCAUCUCGAGGAGCUCACACCAGCACUAAAACCUACAUGCUAGCAUGAUCGUCGUCCGAAUCUGAAUUCCAGAACGACCUAGUCUAUGUACACCAUCCGUCCUCCUCUCGCGAUCGCGAUGCGCUCCUAUUCCCGCAUCUCAACUCUAGUCCCCCCCGAAGGGUGAACCGUCGUGAACCAGCCCGCCAAAGACAUCUGACAAUGGGCGUUUGUCCGCCAAAGCACACACAGAAGACGCGAGGGUCAACUCCAAAGAAUUAUAUAAAUAAUACCACCAAUAGAUAACGAUAAAAAAAUAGCCACUUAGGCUUAUAGCUAGGGAUAACAUCCUAGGGUUGCAUAUUCCACAAAACAUAACAACAAUAAUAACACUUAACAUGUUCCAAGUAAGGUUAUCAAAUAGCAAUCACACUCAUCAACUAAGUCAGUAUGCAUGUUGCAUGAAAUGAUAUGCAGGUUAACCCAGUCAACCAAUAUGCAAUCCGGAACGGAUGGACAUCAACGGAUCAGCCCUAACACCAGCCACGGUGGAGCCAUUUCGGCCCGCGUGCCUCUUACUCCAACAACAGCGGUAGUCAGAUCAGCAGUAAACCCGUAGGUCUGCCAUUUCGGUCUGCUACAAGAGACGUCUACAAACGCUCUUACACGGCAUUCCGGGUCUUAUGACCAUUUUGGAAACCGACGAGGUCCAGAGUACGUCCUGUGUUAAUACCUCAUUAAUGUUGCAUGAAUGCAGGAUGAUUAGUCAAACAACGUCUCCGAUCUCACUCGACACGUCGCCACGUGUUCUAGCUACAUUAAAGUCUCUAAAAGCUUACCCUAAGGUAAAGUCGAUUCUGCGACAAAAGACACUUCUUCACAACAACACAUAACCCACGAUGAUCUCCAAAUCAUCCGACUCAUCUCAAUCCGAUGGUCACAACUGCUCAACGAGCACAGAGUAUCAACAUACUCGGGAACUAUCAAUUCCCCGGACUUAUCCCCAGGAUAGCCCAACAACAUAGCUGCUCCAACAGCACAACAACAAUAGCUGCUCCAACAGCACAACAACAAACGCUGCUCCAGCAGCACCACAACAUCUACAUACUCGAAGCCUCUCAACUUUCUCAACACUGGGAUCCGACGACACUUCUCGUUUUCCAAAACUAAGAUUUGACUUCCACGCCUUCCUUUCGAGUUUAUUAUCAUUAAUUAAAGAUUUAGAGGUUGUUUAAUGUCUUAUGAGUUUUCUUUACAAAAUACUAUCCUUUUAGUCUUAUCGCAAAUCCUAUAAGUUCUCGGGAUCUCCAAAUCCCCAAAUGACUCCAGAGAAUGUCUCGAUCCAUAAACAUCAUAACAAGGCCCGAAUCUCAUUCGUCCUAUCAAGCUUUCUCAAAACUCUCAAAAUAAAAUCGGCAUGACCUGCCCGCUAUUCUCACCAUUCAGAAACUCAGAUUCCAGUGCAAAGCAUAUUUAAAUCAUCACAAUCAACAACAUGUCAUAUAUCAAUAAAUCUCAUCAUAAACACUUAGCACUUAGCAUAUAAAGCAUGCACCACACAUCCUAGAUUACCCACAUAGCACAUAGCAUGUAAGUCAAUCUCAAAAAUAUUCAGUAGAUGAAUCAUCUACAUUGUCAGUCGAAGCCUCAGAAAACAUUUUCCAAUCACACACAAUCCAGUGCAUAAACAGUAAACAAUGUCGAAAGCAUCGACCCUAAGCAUUAACUAGAGAUUCAGUGAGAAGCCCUCACCUGUAGAUUCUCCAGGACGAUCUCCUAACACUUGUCACAAUCAAAGGCUUGCUCCUAUGGGAAUUCCUCAAAAUCACCUUUAGAGCAAAACCACAGAAAUACUAUCAGAAUCUAUCGGAAACUAAGCUAUCAAUACAUCACUAAGGUUACACGAAGUAGUACAUACUCCGAGGUACGAUAAUCUAGCGCGAAAGGACAAGUUUUCGAAAAAGGAAUUUUCCUCCUCCUCCCCUAUAGGGCUCGGCCACUUUUCACAAUUGUGGGAUUCGAUUUUUCUUCGAUCAAACUUGGUUCCUAUGCUUUCAUUAGCCGUAACUAAGGGUAUUCUGAACUCGGAAAAAUUAUCGGAUCGAAAACUGCCGCAGGGGUAUUUUGGUCAUGAUUUUUAACUUAGAAUUUUCAAAACUAAAAUCCCAAAAACCAAAUUUGACAGGGACGUCACCAACGACGUUUAUGACAACUAAUCCUACUAGCACUAAGCUAAGGCGAUAGUUUUCAGCCUAAAGGUUGAAGCUUUACUUCAAAAACUCCAAAAAUGGGUAUUUAAGGCUAAAAUUGAUUCCGGCAGAAUUCCGGCGACAUAACGGAAAAUCUAACCCGGCAGAAGUGAUCUUGGGCAUGUAAGGAAGAAGUUUAGAAUCAGAAAUGAAAUAUUCAGGAUAGUUUUGCAAAAACCUCAAAACUAUCAGCUCAGAAAAGUCUACAGAAAAGCUAUGGAAAAAGCGAUCAGAGGUAAGGAUUAGCGACUAUACCUCGGCACCUUGAAGUAGCAACUGUUGGAUCGACGAUCAAGCAAGAAAUGAAGAAAAUCUUCUCCUCCUCCUCUCCUCUCAAACUCGCGGCCUUGGUGGGGAAAAUGGGUAUGGUUUUGUGUUUUUUCUCAUUUCUUGGCUAUAUAUAGAGGUUGGCAAAACGCGGUAAAAUGAAAGUUUCGCGAAUCUGAUUUUUCCGGCGACAUUCUCCGUGAAUUCUAAGAUAAGUUUUGGCGAAAGAAUUCCAAAACUAAAAUGAGGUCUCCUUGUAUUUUUGGCAACUAAUGCAAAGUCGGUGUAAAACUAUUUUACCCGAUAAGUUGCUUUUUGCAUCGAAUGUCGGAAUAGAAAACUUCCUUCUGCAGAAAGAUUGAAAUCAUCAAGAGAAAUGGGUGUACGCGUGUAGAAUCUUCAUUUGAAGCUCUGAAUAGAAAAAUUCUUCAUUGUCGGAUGAUUCUAGGGUUUUGAAAUACCAGGGAUUCGGUUUCGGCAAACUUCCGAUGAUUGGAAUCGGACGUCCGUAGAUCCUAGAGUUUCCCCUCAAAACUAUUUUGAUAUAUGGAAAAAGAGAAGUUCUAACAUUUCUCUGAAGAUUUUUGGAAUUAACUUCCAUCGUGCCUAAAAGUGAAAACUAGCUAUAUACUAGGGUUUCUGACCUAAGUUUAAGCGUAUAACGAUCGUGCUAUAACUUUUAUCGAUCAUGAUGCAAUCCUUAAACUUUCUCCUUCAUAAAUUUAUUUCAUUUAGUAACUCUAGUUCAGGUUUUCCCUUCACGAUACAUCAACCCUAAUCGUGAAUAGGAUUCUAUUCACUUAGCAUAAGUUUAAAAAAACUUGGGCCUUACAAGGUUCAAACUGCGACCAUCACGCAAUUUAAAGGUGCGUUCGAAAUGGGUAAUUUCGGGUUUCAGAAAAUUCCGUCGGUCUGAAUAGCUGUGGGGGGGAGGGUCUUAAUAACAAUUCUCAAAUCAUUAUUGAAUAAUAUAUAAAUUUUAAAUAAUAAAAAAUUAUUUAAAUACAACUUUUUGUUCUUUCAUAGUGCUAAAUUUAUCUAUUAUUGUAUCAAUAGAGAUUUUUUCAGCAAUUUCUCUUUCGAUAGAUACAACUAAUAAAUUUCUGAGAAGAUCAUCUUCAAUUUUGUUGCGAAGCCGAGUCUUAAAAAUUUUCAUUGCAGAAAAAGAUCGCUCUGUAGAUGCUGUCGAAACAGGGAAUGUCAAAACAAGACGUAUCAAUAUAUUAACAAGUGGAAAUAUUGUUACUUUUUCAGUUUCAACUAACUUCUGGUAAAACUCGGAUAAACUAGAAAUUUUUCCUAAAUUAGGAUCUCGGGAAACAUUUGAAUGAUAAUGUCUCAAUUGGAACGGAAAAUUCCUUCUUUCUAGCUCGGAAAAAUACUUAUAGUCGGUGAACAUUUCAAAAUUCUUGGGAGGCGAUGGCCCCUGCCAGCCCUGCCCUAGAUAUGCCCCUGCCCUCACGUUGUAUAGUCUAAAGGAGCAACGCAUGAAGAUGACAAGAAGACGACAUCUCCAAAGAAGAAGACUGGCUAAAGCAUACAAGGCUAUACAAGAAGUUAACUCAAUCAUGAACGAGUAAGAGCAAAGCUACAAAGGCAGACGACACAGUUAAAAGAAGUCAAACAUGUCACAUCGUCUGAGCAUCAACAACGAAGAGAUUGACCAAAGCGUCAAGACAAGAUGAACAAUGAAAGGAAUGCUGAGUAUGCUAAAUGGAUCAACCAGAAGAAUCAAAGCAUCAAGGCAUCAUGAGCCAGCAAAGGAAUGCUACAUGUGCAAGCUAAUUAAGCAAAGAAAAGCGAUAUCUGUCAGAUCGUCCAUCCAUAGAAAGAAGAAGAAGAGAUCAAGAUACAGGAAAAGUCAAAUCAACAAGAUCGUCUUCAGAAGGAAAAGUCAAUGCAUCAAGGCUCAUCUACAUAAGAAGAAUCAAAGCUUCAAGGACACUACAUGCAAAAACAGUCCAAGCCAUAUGGUCGUCUAAAAAGACUGUACUUGAAAUUCUGGCAACCGUUGGACAGAUAUUAUACCAAGUUUCUAAGACAUUGCAUACGUCUUCUUGCACAUAAAACAUUUAAAUUAACAAGUAGAGAAACAAAACAGAAAAGGUAAACACAAGAAGUUGGCAACCUAGUUCAGUGCAACAUCACCUACGUCUGGAGCGUUUUCACCCGAGAAAGCAAAUCCAUUAUUAGUGUAUAGGUACAAUGAGUGUAUUAUUAUUAUUAUUAUUUUUUUUUUUGGAAACGGAAAUGAUAUUAUUAAUAAUAAAGCAACCAUGAGCCAAGAUCCUCAAGGCUGAGACAAAAUACAAGCACACUGCUACACAAAACAUGGAUAGCUAAACAAACGAAGCUAUUGAGCUCUCCCCUGGCAGCUUCCCCGCAAAACGGCUAAGAACAGAAACCUAAGCAUUAGCCUCAAUAAAAUCUUACUAGCAAACGAAGCUAUUAAACCAUCCUCUGGAAACUUCCCCACAAAACAGCUAAGAACAGAAUCCUAAGCAUGAGUCUCAUUAAAACUUUGCUAAGAAAAACCCAGUGGGAAAAAACCUAGCAAAGAAAAAGAGUACCACAUCCCUAGGAUAGCCAAUUUUGCCCCCCUUACAAAUAAACAGAACAUUAAGUCGCCAGUACCCUGAAAGCACUUGAAAAUACUCCUCACGACACCUAGAAAAAAAUGUUGAAACGCCACCAAUAGCAACAACUGCAAAUUUCACACAACUCCAGCCCCCAAACACCAGCCAUUUCGUGACAGUAAAUUUCCGGCAGCAAUAAACGUAAUUUUCGUAACAGCAACAGCAGCCCAAAUUAACAAUAAUUUCUGCCAACAGCAACAGCAAAUUCGUGACAACAGCAACAACAGCAAAAAAUGGCAGCAACAACAACAACACCAUAUCAGCAACAAUUAAACCAAACGCACCAUCAACAGUAAACCUACAGCACCAGCAAACAUAACAACAUCAUGUGUUUGAUAGCAACAUCCGCAGCAGCACCAACGUUAUCCCCACAUGCCUGCAUUAGAACCAAAAAACAAAACUACACAAACUUGAUAUUUUUUCCAAUGCAAGAUAGCCUUCUUUACUACCUCCCACCUUGUCAAACCUCCUAAACCACAUACGUUCCAAGUAAUUCACAGCACAGGCAUCUCAACGGAGAUGAGGAUGGUUUUGUCGUAUCUGAGCUUCUAAACUUCUAAGCAUCAAAGCUUCUGAACCUCUUGGCUUCAAACCCAGUUGUUUACCAAUCAACCACGUUCGCUGUGCACGUGUCGUGACGCCGUCUUCUCCCGGAACUGGUUCCAAGAAAUCAACUGGCAUCGGCUGAGUCUUGUUCUUACUACCUUUAGGGCGACCCCGUUGAGAGCUGCUUUUUCGUGAAGAAUUUGUAUCCCAGUCCAAUCCAAAAUAAAGCUCCCGAACUCAGCAAGUUCCUCGGGCGUCGUACUCAGUUGUGAAACCUCACCAAUUGCUCCAAAGUCUCUUUCCUCAGCUCAACUCGUUCCAAACCUUAAGCAAAGUAUCAUUGCUUAGUCGCUAAGAAACAAUACAACUAAUAACACUAUCAAAACCCGAAAAGAAGCUGCAACAUUUUGUUAUGGGUAGUACAAUCAAAUCAUAUAUGCCCUCCUCAACUGUAUAGUCCAUCCCUACACAGUCUCAGAAUACCUCUUGUUCGGGUGUGAGAUCGGUUCAGUCAUGUGCCCCUCCGCCUAGAAGCCUUCCAGGAGCCGCUACUUGUCCGUGCCUCACUGCACCGGCAAUCACUCCCCGCCCUCGUCGGCCUCGAGUGUCACAGGCCCACCAACUUCCGCUUGGUUCGUCCCUGAACCGCACCGUACUGGGAGAGGUCGGCUCAGAUACCACAAUUGUAACGCCCCGAAUUUCGGGUGUCACUUUAGUAACCUAUUAAAGUAAAUAUGCAAUAUUUUCCAAACGAAUGUAUAAAUAAACACGAGUAUAUUUUUUUUUCUUCUUUUCAAAUGUAUUUCCAAAACAUGUCAUGCAUACUCCCAACUACAAAACCUAACCAAUAGAAACAACUCAACAAAAACUAUUCUGCAAUGUCAUCAUGAAUCCGACAUACUCCCUACGAUCUCCACAUCGGGGAACCGCAGGAAAGCAAUGCAUCGAAACCUACCCGAAACCUCAAAUAUAAAUUCCUAAAACCUUUAUACAAGCUUAAACCAAUAACGGUAAGCUCUCUAACCUAAGGCUCUAGCCUUAAACCCGACUCUACUCGUCGAGUACUCCACUGUCCUGCAAGUCCUCAUCUCUACUUGCACCAAGGUUAAGCUCCUUCGAAGAUUCUCCAUCGCCUAAUAGCGUUAAACGCCCAAACAACAAGUAGCAAAUAGAAAGGGUUAACUCCAUACAACUACCACGUAUAAAAGAGAAAAACAUGUUAUUCAAAUUUAAGUGCAUAUCAUGGCACAUAAACUAGCAACUUAUUUCAAGAUAAAUGACAACAUAUAUCCAACAACAUGAGAUCAAAUCAUAUAUCAGCAAAAAUCAACGAUAUGAAUUUAACUCAGAUAUCAACAACUUAACAAUGUAACAUUUAUUCAGACAUCAACUUAACAGCAUAUAACAACAAAUCAGACAUCAAUAAUCCUCAACAAUAUAACAUCAAAUCAGAUAUCAACAAUCCUCAACAAUAUAACAACAAAUCAGAUAUCAAUAAUCCUCAACAAUAUAACAUCAAAUCAUAUAUCGACAAACCUCAACAAUAUAACAACAAAUCAGAUCUCAAUAAUCCUCAACAAUAUAACAUCAAAUCAUAUAUCGACAAUCCUCAACAAUAUCAAUCAAACAAUAACGUCUCGCAAGACGGGACAAUCACGUGGGACCAACCCACCUCAUCGCCACUUUAGCGUCUCAAAAGACGGGACAAUCACGCGGGACAAACCCACCUCAUCGCCACUUUAUAACGUCUCGACAGACGGGACAAUCCCGUGGGACAAACUCACCUCAUCGCCACUUUAGCGUCUCAAAAGACGGGACAAUCACGCGGGACAAACCCACCUCAUCGCCACUUUAUAACGUCUCGAAAAGACGGGACAAUCCCGUGGGACAAACCAGGGGCGUAGCCAGGAUUUUAACAUCGGGGUGGCCAAAGAUCAAAUAAAAAAUUAAUUUUGGUUUCUUAUAUCUAAACAAUAUAUUUUGAAAUUACUUUUACGUAUAAUUUAUAUACACACAUUCAAUAUUUUAUCCUUAAAUUAAUCAAAUUUCAUUAUAUCAAAAAUAAUUUUAUCGAACAAUAAUCCAAACGACUCUACAUGUGUAAAUCAAUUAGAAAUUGAUAUUUUUUAAAAGUAGAAAAAUAUAUAAUUAGUUUGACUAUAAUAAAUACUAACCAAUCAUUUUUUUUCUCCAUCGGGAAACCGAUACUAACUAAUCAUAAGUUUGUUAAAACUGAAAGUGAGAAAAAAUAUUUUGUUUAGAUAUUAUUUAUAUGUAUGAAUAUGAUAUAUCAUCAAAUGUAACUCUAUAGCCGUGCCUAGCUUAGUGGUAAGACAAGUAGAGGAAUCCAAAGUGUUCGGGGUUCGAUUCCUAUAAGUAGUUUUUUAAAAUUAUGACAGCGUUUUUUUCCAAAAAAAUGAAAAUUUAAUGGCAUAAGUAAGAUUCGAACUCGGGACUGCAGGGAAAAUCAUUGGUGCGCCUACCACUGGGUGCUAAUUUAAUUAAAAUUACAUGAUAAUAUAUAAAUAUAAUGACUGGUGCCAUAAGAAAAAUAUGCCUAGUGUCCUACUGAAAAUCGAAAAGAUGGGGGGCGCGGAGGCACCGGUGAGCCACCCCGGUCCCUCCGCCCCUGGGACAAACCCACCUCAUCGCCACUUUAACGUCUCAAAAGACGGGACAAUCGCGUGGGACAAAUCCACCUCAUUGCCACUUUAUAACGCCUCGAAAGACGGGACAAUCCCGUGGGACAAACCCACCUCAUCACCACUUUAACGUCUCAAAAGACGGGACAAUCGCGUGGGACAAAUCCACCUCAUUGCCACUUUAUAACGCCUCGAAAGACGGGACAAUCCCGUGGGACAAACCCACCUCAUCGCCACUUCAACCAAACCAAAACAUCUCAUCCAACUCAGUAGUCACUCAAACAACAGUCUCAAAUCCAACAAUCAAAUCAAGGUAACAACAUGUUAUUCAUAACCUCAACGAACAUAAAUCAAUUCAAUGCAUACCAACUCAGUUCAAUGACAGAAACCUGUAAACGGUCGAAGCCUCUCAGAAAACGGAGACACACGUCUCAAUAAGUUUACUCGUCCGAAGCCUUCAGAAAACAUUUGGCACAAGCCUCAGAAACAGUCAACAUAAGCAAGCAUACAACAUUGCAAGCAUAAUAAUCAUAAUCCAAUGCCAGUCAAUAUAAACAUCUUCAUCUCAAACGCAUGCAGUGCGAUAAAAGCAGACAGGACUCAAAGACGCUCUAAAACUGAGUUACCCUUACCUUAGCCAAUUUCUCCACCCAAGCUCAACAUCCCAGUCCAAUCCAAAAUAAAGCUCCCGAACUCAGCAAGUUCCUCGGGCGUCCUACUCAGUUGUGAAACCUCACCAAUUGCUCCAAAGUCUCUUUCCUCAGAUCAACUCGUUCCAAACCUUAAGCAAAGUAUCAUUGCUUAGUCGCUAAGAAACAAUACAACUAAUGACACUAUCAAAACCCGAAAAGAAGCUGCAACUUGUUGUUAUGGGUAGUACAAUCAAAUCAUAUAUGCCCUCCUCAAAUGUAUAGUCCAUCCCUACACAGUCUCGGAAUACCUCUUGUUCGGGUGUGAGAUCGGUUCAGUCAUGUGCCCCUCCGCCUAGAAGCCUGCCAGUAGCCGCUCCUUGUCCGUGCCUCACUGCACCGACGAUCACUCUCCGCCCUCGUCGGCCCCGAGUGUCACAGGUCCCAUGGCUGCCAAUUAAAAUUUGAAGUCAGAAUCAUAUCUUGAGUAUUGAAAGAGUAACCAGUAACAACAGAAUUUUGGGCAAAAUCUUUGGCAUAAUUUUGUUGCUCUUUACUCAAGAUUUGAAUAUCCUCAUCAGUUUUUUCCUGAGUCAUUAAUGAAUUUUUCCAUUCCUCAAUUUUCCUGAGUCUUUUAACUGUUUCCCCUCUUCCUCUCCUGCUUUCAUGUCAGAGUUCAAACGUUGUAACUCCUCUAUUGCUGAGAACGUAAGAGGCUCCUCCUCCCCCACACGCGUUUUUUUCUGAAUUUAUCCCCUCCAUCAAUUGCAUCUGGUCUUUUGUUCCUGGAUUGAUGGUUGUUAAUCCUACGUUUAAAGUUUCCAGACUCGGUUGCCAAAAAUCCGCCACCGACUCAGCCUGAAUCUACGCCACCCCGAGAACAUUCACGUGAGAAUUCAAAUUUUGAAACUCAUGUGAUGGUACUAGCAUGACACGCGUGAAACUUGUAAUAACCACCUUCUCUAACAGUUCCUGGUCUUUCAUCCCUGAAUUGAUGGCAGACGUAUCUGAAACAAAUGAUUUCCGGAUCACAUGCGAAAAUUCUGGCUUGCCGUGGUCACUCGCCGGCGACCCAGCCAGCUUCACCACCUCCACGUGACCUUCCUCUGAUACACCACCAGUCGCCCCUGCACGAAGACAGCCAAGGCCCUCUAUUCUAUCAUCCUUGUACAUUUCAUCUUCCUCCUCUGAAUCGACGUCAACGGCAGACUCAUAAUCUUUGUCAUGACCAAAUUCCGGGGCGGUAAGCACACCAACAUUCACGGUGUCAACAUCUAAACCACCAUCUGCAUCGUCUUCAUCUGACACAUAAUUCUUUACCAGCGUUGACGGCAUAUCCUCGACGCUCCCAUAAUCAUAAAUCGCGUCUUCCUUCUCAACCAAAAUAAUACAUGAAGUCCCGCCGACGUCGACAGACAUAGUAAAACAUUGCAAUAACAGAUGAUUCAUACGAACUAAAAUUCUGGAAAAAUCAACACGAUGCCGCGACGAAGUUGCAAUAUCAGACGACAGAUAGGUCCCCAACCUAUUUCCCACUGCCGUAAAGAAGGAAUCAGUCCACAAUCCCAACGGAACUUGCCAUAACCGAAUCCAAACAAGGUGUGCAGCCCCAAAAGUAUGCACUGUACACGGUCUAAUAUCAGAUAGCUUUUGCUCCAAACAAUAAUGACACUCUAUAAUCGUGACCUACAUCUCAUCGUUAUUUUCAAAUUCCAAAAUCGCUUCAUUUGCCCCUAAUGGGAUGAAGCAAAAAUUAAACAAACCGAUCUUACUGAAUUCCUCCUGCAACUCAUCUAACGGCAUAGCUACAAGAGUAUGUGCUUGAGCAUAUCUUUGAACCCACUUCUCAUCCAAAUCCAACGCCAUGAAACUCAACUGACUACUUUCAGACUUGUGAUUAACCUCCUUUGGCUUAUCUGGGAUGUCUUUUUUCUUCAUAUCUGGGAUUGUGAUUAACCUCCUUUGGCUUAUCUGGGACGAAGUUGCAAUAUCAGGCGACAGAUAGGUCCCCAACCUAUUUCCCACUGCCGUAAAGAAGGAAUCAGUCCACAAUCCCAACGGAACUUGCCAUAACCGAAUCCAAACAAGGUGUGCAACCCCAAAAGUAAGCACUGUACACGGUCUAAUAUCAGAUAGCUUUUGCUCCAAAAAAUAAUGACACUCUGUAAUCGUGACCUGAAACUCAUCUAACGGCAUAGCUACAAGAGUAUGUGCUUGAGCACAUCUUUGAACCCACUCCUCAUCCAAAUCCAACACCAUGAAACUCAACUGACUGCUUUCAGACUUGUGAUUAACCUCCUUUGGCUUAUCUGGGAUGUCUUUUUUCUUCAUAGCUGCAACCGGUCCAUCCGGAGGAUGUUGAGCUUUUGGACUACGAUUUCUCCCCUUGAUUUCAUAUUGAUACCGGUCCGGAGACGGAACCUUGAAACUCCGAGAAGGUUGUUGAUACUUUGCUUUUUGUACCAUUAGAAAGUUCCCUUCCAAAUGUAAUCCAUUAAACAUCUUGAUCGCCCUCCAAGCUUCAUCAUCAUGCUGAAAGCGCACAAAACCGAAGCGAAAGCGUCGUUGGAGUUUGUUUUUCUGUUGAAUAAAAACAUCACACAAUCUCCCCGCUUUGCCAAAAAUUGAACGAAGUUUUGCCAACGUAAUUCAAUCACCCAAGCCAUCCACAAACACAGAGAAGGAUACUUGCUGCUCCUUGGAAACAUGCUGCUGAUUCGAAACUUGUCGUACACCUCUAUUAUGGACUGGUUUCCUUUGCUGCCUUUGCAUUGAAUUCGCAAAAAAAGCUCCUGGCCUUGAGGUGCGUUGAGAUCCCCCAUAACCAGCAAAGUUUUGAUUCCAGUUCUGCGUAUCCCAACGCUGCUGUGGGCGCCAGCUUCCUAAGACCUCCGCUGAUCGUCGACAUGGCAGAAACCACCGUGCCGGAGGCUCCCUUCCAGAGCCUCUCUCUCUAAACUCUCUUAUUAUUAUUAUUAUUAUUAUUAUUAUUAUUAUUAUUAUUAUUAUUAUUAUUAUUAUUAUUAUUAUAUCUCAAUUUACUCUAGGAGUAACUCAUUAAAGCCACUCCGAAUCUGAACCGUUUAUUAUUUUAAAAUCUAAUGGCUUAUAUUCAUCUCUAACUCACCUCACGUGCUCUCAAAAUACAGAGUUUGUAGCAUCGCAGGAACAUCGACAGAUUUUUUUGUAUUUGGAUUUCAUUUAAUCGAUUUGAUUAUUCCUUUGGCAGAUCUCAAUUGCGAUGUUGACAAUUGCAGUUUCGGUGGAAGAGAAGCGAGGUUCGCGUUGUACAAUGAGAUUAAGGCAAGAUGGGUUGUGAUAAUUUGAGUUGUUGGGUACGAUCCUUCAAUUUAAGGCGAAAUGAGAGAGAGAGCGAGAGAGGGAGAGAGUAGCAAUCGUCGAUGCCGAAGAGGAAGAGGAGAAAGCAGCAACAUUGGUGUGGUUGGGAGCGAGGAACGACGGCGAGGCGGCGAUGUAUGAAGACGAGAGAAUUGUUGUUGUUAUUCGUCUUCGCUCGUCAGGUGCGCUUUCUCAUUAAAAUUUGUAUAUUCUAACAUUCACAACUGAAACCAUGAUAAAAAAACCCCAAUACAAAGAACCCAAAUCAAUAUAAUAAUUAGAUCAAAUCCAAAUUGUUGAAAUUAUAAUUUUUAUUGCUAACUAUUAAAUUUGAGUAUCAUUAAUUGUGUACUCUAAUAUUGUUUAGGCAGAGACUAUUUGCGCCUCCCUGUUUUGCUAAGUCCGCCAUCUCCUUUUUUAAAAAUUCCAACAAUGCCCUUAGUAAAAAAACAUAAAAAGGUAAUAUUUAAUUUUUACUUCCCACACACCAUCUCCUUCUUCCUCCUCACCCUCCUCCUCACUCUCCUCUUAAUCCUCCACUCCUCCACCCCCAAGCUCUUUUGGGUGAUCUCAAGUCAAGAAUAGAAGCUUACCCAUGUAAGUUUUUACCUUUUUCCGAGCUUUUUUUCAGCUUUUUUUAGCUUCCAUCGCGAUUUCGCGACUUUCUGACGUAACUGGAUAGUCCCGCCCUUAAAACUGCGGGAAUGAAACAAAUUACACGCUCCCGUUAACAUACGUGCGGACGUGUUAAAUUUAUACCUUCCGCUAACUUGUUAGCGGAAGUCAAAAAAACUUAGUCAUUUCAAUCGUCUUAAGUUCUGGUACUGCUACUAUCUAAAUAAAAGAUUUGACAGGCGUACCGCACUUAAACAUGCGGUAGGUAUAAAAGAUUUGACAGGCGUACCGCACUUAAACAUGCGGUAGCCAUAAAACCUGUCCGCGGUUUAGAGUGCGGGAAAGUCACGAAACCUCCUCCCAUUGCAGAAUCAAAUCGAGGGACUGAAAUUUAACACGAAAUACAACCUAAGCCUCGAAAACUUGUAAGAAAUAACUUACAUUGUUGUUCUUCUUGUGGGUUAUGGGUUGUUGUUGUAUUUUGUGGGUUACUCCUUCUUGACUUGGUCUCCUUCUUCCUCUUCUACUUCAACUUCUUCUUCUUACUUCUUCUUCUUACUGGUUGUCCUCCUUUCUCUUCCUCUUCUUGACUUGGUUGUGGGUUUGAGAGACUUGAUUUUGUGAGGGUUGAAACUUUUGAAAUUGGGUGGGAGAGGAAGAUGGUAUACGGUUGAAAGAGGGGGGAGGGUUUGUAGAGAUAAGGUAGUUUUUUUUUUUUUAAUUUAAAUUACUGAAGGGUAUUUUAGUCUUUUCGCGUGUUUGGGGAUGGCGGACUUAGCAAAAAAGGGGGCGCAAAUAGUCUCUGCCUAUUGUUUAUUCGAACAAAGUAUUUUUUAUUAUAUUUAUAAUAUCAUUUCAAAAAAAACUAAUAAUUGUUUUAGGCUAUUUGUUGAAGUUUCUCAUUUGGUUUGAUUUUCCUAGUCCUUUGUUUCUAGAUUUUGUUUGCCGUAGAUGCUUUAGUUUCUUGUCUUAGUCUUUUUUUUUUGUCCUUUGACCACCAGUCUCCACGGGGGAAAGGGGCCCCACGUGACUAAUCUGGCUCAAGAUACGGUAGUGAUAUUCCUGACCACAAAUGUAUUAUUUUUUUCCUCAGAGGGGAUCGGACCCGGGCCAAAAGCCUAGGCAAAAUCCAUUGAGGAAAUGCACAUUCACCACUUAUGCCACCCCUUAUGGUUUUCUUGUCUUAGUCUGCUAUGCUUUUAUAUUUUUGACUUCUGGUUGCUUUUCUUGUUCUUAAAGCUCACUUAGAAAAGCAUGUUUUCAAGACUACCUUAUUAUCAAUUUGAUUCUCUUUUCUAAAAAAAUUUAUUUAUUUAUUUACAAUAUAAUCAUUUUUAUACAAUAUUUAAAAAAUAUUUUAAAUAAAUUCAUGCAACACAUAUACUAUAUCUACUAAUUUUUUUUUUGAUAAGCACUAUAUCUACUAAAUGAAGUAAUGGAAGCAUGAAUCACAAUUUACAAGAUUUUUUUUUGAUAGGCCACAAUUUACAAGAUAAGGAGAUAACAUAAAGGUCUAAGUGUCCCUCCGAUGAAAUAUCGUGAUUUUUUUCAUUUUUUUGUACAUUAUUAUUUUUCUGAAUUAGAUUCUAUAACUUUUUUCAUUUAUUAGAUGAUGUUAAGGAUAUAUUUACCUGCUAUAAAUUGUUGUGCUUUUGGUUGGUUUUUCUUUCAUCUAAUUAAAAUAUUUUCACAAUUUACUCCCCCCCACACACAUAUUAGUUGCGGUGCAAUAAGAUAACUCAAGUAGUAGGAGCUGGGGAACAUAUGGAUUGGAUAGGGGGAGAUCCAAUAUUCGAUUCCUAGCGGGAGCAAUUUAUAUUUCCGAUGUAUCAAAAAAAAGUUGUGGCGCUAUUAUUAAAGUUGUCAAUACAGGCCACCACCCUGAUAGGUUGGAAAAAAACUAGUUGGGUAAGUUCGAAUCGCGUUUAAACAAGUCAUAAAUUGUUGAACUCGACUCGACCCGUCGCGGGUAGGCAAGUUCGUGAGGUGGCUUGUUUGUUUUAGGACAAAAAGUAAAAAUAAAAACUAAAAAAUGGAAAAACUAAAGACGUCAUCAUGAAGAAUAUGGCGACACAUUGAAAGGAUGUUCCUUCUUAUAUUUUCACGAACCCUGAGAGAUGAUUGUCUUCCUUUUUCGGACGAGAUACACGAACAUUUUCGCUAGCCUUAUUUGAGCAAUUCGAUCUUGAACCUGUAAGACCCGGAUUUUCGGAACAAGUUAAUUUCCGACUCACGCGUGGAAUCAGUGUAAGCGUGACAGGAGUUUGAUAUUUGAGAAAGAUUAAUGAAAAAGAAAGUUCAGGAAUUGCUCGAGGAAUGUGGCGUUGUUUCUUUCGGAGCUAGUGCGAGUCGUCUGCACACCUGCCUUAUGGCGAGCGUGUCCAGAAUAGGCUAUUUCGCUCUUAAAGCAACGUUUUGAGUGAGAUUUCGAACUCUCGGAAAAUUUAAAGUUUCUCUUUAUUUUUCCAUCGACCAGCGUUUCAUUUCGGAACUUUGGACUGUACGCACGAUAGGUUUCACUUUUCGGAUGUCCGCCGACGCUAAUUUCUUUGCUUCGAAACCCUAUUUUCGAGCAAUGGAUGAAGACUUUUUCUAUUCGAGACUUCUAACGAAGAUUCCGUCCGCGUUGCCAGAUUUUUUUCGACGUUUCCAAUCUUUCUUCAGAUGGAAGUUUUGUCGUCCGGCGAUCACAGCAAAAAGUAGUUUUUCGGGACAGAUUUAACUUACACCGCUUUUGAGAUUUUCGAUAUCGUUUUUCCCAUAUCAUAGAUAUUUGUUUUGAGUUCUGGAUUUCUGACGCCAGAAUCUCUCUUAGAAUUUCUCGGUGAUCGUGCUGCAAAAAUUGGAAUCGCGAAAUUUUCAUUUUCCCGCGAUUUCACCCGCCUAUAAAUAGCGCGAAAAAGCAAAAAUCCUCUCAUUUUCACCAUUGGAGGCCCAAAUUCGUGGAGAGCAAGGGGGGAGGAGAUUUUCGCGAAAACUUGACCAAUCUUCGUGCAGUUCGUCCCUACUUCUAGGUAUCAAGGUAACUAACACGAUUCCUACCUCUAAUUGUUGUUUCUGUUGCGUUUCUGAAGUCGUUUCUGUGCUCUAAGUUUUGAGCUUUUUCUAAAAUUGUCCGAUUUCUCUGAUUUCUCGCUUGGGUUAUGUUCCUUAUGUUCCCCUGAGUCUAAAACCUCUGUCAGUAAACUCUGAUUGCGAUUCAGUUGUCCAGGAUCUGAAAAAUUGACUCAAAACUCUUUUUGUCUCACAUUUCGAAACUUUAUUGUCGUAAAGCUAUAAUCUGACUUCGUGCCUUUAGGAUUUGUUGUCACGGAUGUCAUGAGGAUCGUUGCUGUCAAAUCUGUUUUCAGAACGGAUAACUUUGAAGUUUUGAGCCUUUAUUUUGGACCAAAAUGCCCCUGCGUAGUCGUAUUUCGGCCCGAUUGUCCGAAAAUUGUUCUGACAGUUUCUUUGCCUUAGUUUUACCCUAAAACUACCUUGUGAAUUGAUUUGAUCAAAGAAAAAGAGCCGAAGCCCUUUUUCCUUUGAGGCCGUGGACUAUUUCCUUUAGGGGGGAGUUUUUCGGUUUCGAAAACUUGUCUUUUCGUACCUGAUUGUCCUAUUCUGAAGCUUUAAUGCUUUGUCUAUCGUUUAUGUAUUGUUUUGCGAUUGAACUAAUCGAUAUUGUUUGGAUUCUGCUUUGUUUUCUCCGAGGUUCAGUUGAAGGAACUUUGGAAGGUUCAGAGCACUUGAGUGAAGGAGCUUGUGAUUUCGAAGCUAGAUCAGCUCGAGGUUAGGGCAACUUGCUAUAUUUAGCUAUGAUUGCAUGAUAGGCGUCGAUAAAUUCGACUUAUGCUUUAUCUGAUGUUGUUUAUGAUGAUUGUUUUCAUAACUUAUGAUAUUGAUGAUGUGUUGAAUUGAGCGUUUCGACGCAACUUCGGAGUGGAGGUUCAUUGAUCUGGUGAUCUUUGACAUUUCGGGUUGGAUGAACAACCCUAGGCAAGUCCAAAUGUGGUUUUGAGACUUAGCCAUUUGUUGGGAUUCGUUGGAAUUCCUAGACUUUCCCCGAGAAGUGUAUUUUGGGUGGUUGAUUUUUUGGAAACUUAGAAUGAUAGAGCUUUCGAAGAAUAAAGACUUGGGAAACUUAGACUUUGAGAAAUAAACUCAUAACUUGGAUAAUUCGAAUUGAAACAAUUUUUAUUAACGUUUAAGCAUAGGAGAACUGAAGGGGAAAAUAUUUACGAAAGGCGGGGAAAAGUCGACUUAUGUUGUGGGUUUGGAGAGUUUGGAAUUGGGGAAAGCCACUGAGGUGAGCUAUGGUGAUGAUUGAAAGUCACCGAGUACUCUAGUACUCCUGGUAGUGUUGUUCGAGUCGUGUUGUAUUGACCGGCAUAGACUCUGGGUUUUGUUUGUGGGUUUUGUGGUGGGAGUUGUGUUGUAUUGACCGACACUAACUCCGAGUCGUGUUGUAUUGACCGACACUGACUCUGGUUUUGAUAAUCAUAUUGCACACGUGCAUAUACGCGAUGAAGUGCCAAGCAGAGUACUUCGGUAUAACAGGAAGUAACGAUCAGCCAUGCAGAGUUGAAUCGGUCCUGACUAUAUCUGGCACAACAGGAGGUAACGAUCAUCCAUGCAGAGUUGCAUCGUGCCUGUUGAUGUUCGGCAUAGCAAGCAGAAAUGGUCAAACCAUGUAGAGUUUGUACCGUCUUGACUAUAGCCAAAGGUGAUAAGCGACGCCCGAGCAGAAAUGGUUAAACACGAGGCCAGUGUUACGACCGUCUCGAGGUGCCCAGCCUAUAAGUGGCAAUACCGUUGGUUUGUCCCGUCGCCAAGCAGAGUGACGUCGUUGAUUUGUUCCGUCGCCAAGCAGAGUGACGUUGUUGAUUUGUUCCGUCGCCAAGCAGAGUGACGUUGUUGUUUUGUCCCGUCGCCAAGCAGAGUGACGUUAUUCGGAUUUGUGUCAGCAUAUUCUGCACUGGCACGCAAUGCAUCUUAUUAUGAUUGAAUUGUGUAAGAGAUUUGAUAACAUGCUAUGUAUAAACCUUAGGGUAAGCAGUGCAUAACUUAUAUGUAUAUAUACAACAUAUAUAUAUAUACCCCUUUUAUCGCAUGUUGAUUGUAUAUCUAUUGUAUUCUGUAAGUUGACCCUAGCGCCUUGGCUUUGUUUGUAUGUUUGUGCUUGGGCGGUCGGCCUGCUGCCAGGCGUCCGUCAGCCGGUUCGUGAUGACUCGUUGUGCGGGAAAGACCCGGAGCGGAACGACUAUUACUGAAGCUUUCGACGAGGACCCGGACUUCAUGACUGAUCGAGGGAGGGUCGAUGAUAGUAGUGUGGGUUAUGGGUGGUUAGAGUCUUUUGAGUUGGUUGUUACUGUAAUAGCUCUGAUUCGUCAUUCAUAUUUUGGGACAGGGUAGGUUCCCGACGCAUGGCUUUUGUGUGGUUCUCUUACUGAGGGAUCACAGUGAGUCAGUCGGACCAUAGGGGUCUUUGCUUAGGCCAUUUUGAGGCCGACUUCCUCCUAGUGGUUUGUAAUUAUAAUUUUCUCACUCACACAUCUGGAUCUGUAACUAUUUGCCUACGGGCACACUACUUUGGAGUCACUGCGAGUGCGCGUGACGGGAGAGUGCAGCUGAGGUUGUACAUGUGUAUAUAUUUGUAUAUUGGUUAGUUAGUGUUGGGGUUAUGUCUUUAUUUCUCUUUUGCUUGAUUUAAAAGGAAUCAAACGAAAAAAAAAUUACCUGUUUUCCGCAUAAAGUUUACUUUUGGUUACUAAAGUGACACCUGGAAAUCGGGGUGUUACAGAACCAUUCAUAGGGAAAGAGGAUACCGUGAAGUACAUGAAUAUUUACUUGUUGAACUUUGUAUUCAUUGGAGAAUCGAGCAAGAUAUCUUGUAGAAUUUAUCCUUUCUUCCCACAAGGGAAAGCCUUGUCCUGGUUCAUGUCUUUACUGCCUAAAACAAUCCAUAACUAGAACGAGCCAUAUUGCAUGUAUUUUUGGUACCAGGCGAUGGGUGAACGAGAAGAGAGAGAAGACAACUGCUGAGAAUAUGAGUUAUUUUUUUUGUAGGAGAAAUCAAAGGUACGAACUUUGAAGGGGAAGCUUUGAAAGGGAGAAAGGAUCGGGUGGGUGGUAGCUUCGGGUUUGGUAGGAACUGUAGAGGCCAUGGCCAAGGAUGAUAGCUGGUGAAGCCUCCUCAACGUUAGUGCCGCCAUUACCUAGAGCUUAAUUGCGAUAACCUUCACUAGAAGGACUGUCAAAACUAAAUGUAGGUUCUCUUUUGGGUGUUUUCUUGACUAGUGUCAUGUAUACUUUAGCAUGCUAUUUUGCAGCAUGUUUCUCAAUGUAUCAACUAAAUUGAAAUAAAUUUUUUUACUUAAAGAUCUGAUAGAAAAUGAAUAAAAUGUUGGAAAAAAACUUUGAUACACAAACUACAAACGAUUAUAAUCUUCAGUGUAGAAUACAGAUUCCCUUGAUUGGUGUAUGAAUAUUACAUUCAAUUCUAUUUAUAAAGAUCAUGAUUGGAAAGUCGAGGGGUGGGGAUGGCAACCAGAGGUGUUUCCUUUUUUAGAACAAUACCAAAUUUUUCAGACACAUCUAACUUUUCUCCUUCUGGUACUGUCCAAUCAAACAAGUGCACUAGUGUUGCUAGAAAGUACAAAACGGACCUCUCUGCCAUAGCAAUUCCUGCACAAAUUCUUCUUCCAGACCCAAAGGGAAAGUAAUUAAAGUCAUUCCCACUAAAAUCCCAUUUAGCAUCCAAAAACCUUGUAGGAUCAAAUUCUAGAGGGUUCUCCCAAAUGGAAGGGUCCCUAUGAAUAGCCCACACAUUCACAAACACCCUAGAACCCUUUGGGAUCGUGUAGCCUCCUGCAGAAGUGGUUUCACUUGGGCAGUGUGGAACUAAAAGUGGAAGCACAGGGUGCAACCGAAGAGUUUCCUUCAUCACAGCCAACAAAUAGGGAAGCUUAUGAAUAUGAGACUCUUCUACCAUGUUAUCUCUCCCAACUACACCUUCUAAUUCUUCUUGAACUCUCUUCAUUACCUCUGGCUUCUGCAUCAUUUCCGCCAUCGCAAACUCAACUGUGUUGGAGGAUGUGUCACUUCCACCUGCAAGCAUGUCCUGUUUAUGCUCAUCCAACAAUUUCCAACAGUGUUAGAUACAUUCAAUCUCUUUCAAUUUUUCUUUUCCCAUUGGUAAAAGCUUUAAAAUAGUGACACCAAAAGUUUCAGAAUUUAAAAAGAAAUUCACACCAAACAAAAUUGGAAAGUGAAAUCAAUCAAUGGAAACAAACGUACCAUGAGAAGGGCCUUAACAUGGGUGAUGGAAAGUGGGGUCUUGGAAUCACCCUCUUCCUUCAAAUUCAACAAAAACUGCAGAAAAUCCUUGCUUUCACUCCUCUUCCCCUCCGACUCCAUCUUCACCCGUUCACCGAUCAUCUUCUCAAAUAUUCUAUCAAAACGCGGCACCACCUUAUGCAUCUGUUUCUCCACUCCUUGCAAAUCAAACCGGGCCAACCCGGGAAAGAAAUCCGACAAGUUCGGUUUCCCGAGAAGAGCCGUCAUAUCCGCCACCGCCUCCCUGAACUCCGCCCCCAAGGUCUCCCUCUCCGCCCCUUCCACCGACCCUCCCCACAUCAUGUUCGUAAUCACGUUCAGCACCGUCAGAAAUACCUGCUCCCCCACGUUCACCGGCGACCCGGCCCGGCUCCGCAGGUACCCGACCGUCUUCCGAACCUCGUUGCGGCGGAGAUCGUACACGGAGUCCAGCGUGGUGUUGCUGAGCAUCUUGAGCACGCAAACUUUCCUCAGCAUCCGCCACUCUGGUCCGUACGGGUUCCACACGAUGUCGGCGCCGCCGUAGGUUGCCGCUCUCCCGGCGGCGGGGACAUCACGGUUGGCGAAGACGGUGUCGUGGUCCUUGAGCACGUGACGCGCCAUGGAAGGUGAGGUGACGACGAUUCCAAGCUUGCUCCCAAGCCAGAGCUUGAAAAUGGGGCCAUGGGUACGGGCUAACCCGGCGAAGUAAGUGUGAAGUUCCGGGUCGAGGGAGAGAAGGUUUCCGAAGAUGGGGAGGCCCGGUGGGCCUGGUGGCAGUGGUGGGGUCUGGGCUUUGGGUUUGAGGAAGAAGAGCCAUGUGUACCAAGUGAUGGCUGAAAUGGCUAAGGUUGCUAUGAUCAGGUUUGUGGUGUCACUGUACCAA
rnacentral:lncRNA from 1 species